rnacentral:lncRNA from 1 species
GCAUGUCAACUUUUAACUGGAUUGUACUCGCCCAUGAAGUGAAAUAAAUAAGCCCUACUGAAAUUUUCUCAAGAAGCAGACUCAUGGUUGUAUAGAACUGAUUAGAACUAAGAAUCUUUCCUAGCACACUUGCACAGGACAUUAAAAAAAUGGAAGAGGAUGAUGCUGAGUAACAAAGAUAGAUAUUUUUAUUACAGAGAAACCAGAACACUACAACAUUGGUCAACUCUAGUUCUCAGCAACAUCACUAAAGGAACAGGAUGCUGAGUGGAACCUUUAUUACAGAGAAACCAGAACACUACAACAUUAGCUACUCUACUACUUAUUUCCCAAGUAGGGCCUCUCCCUCCAGCUUGCAAAACAGCCGCAUCAUGUCUUCAAAUGCAUGAAUUCCAAAACCCCCAACCAGAGUGACAAUGUUAACUAAAUUCUUAGUAUUGGACUACUUAAACUUUGAUCUCUACUGACCAUCUGUACAUCUCUUCGUCUGGAACUGGGAUGGUAAUGGUCAUUAAUCCAGUUGCAGAGUCAUAUUCGAAGUCAGUCUCAGCAUUGUCGACAGUGCACUUCAGUGGACGCUGGGAAAGGUACGCUCCAAAUCUUCCACAUCCUCUGGUUUUGAGACCAAUUGUCGCAGUUGGAGAUCCAUUCUCGCAGAGAGAAGUGGUAUCUUCCCCAUUGGAAAGCUCUGGUUUCUUGUCAGAAGCCAAAUGGAUUUCAACCUGCUCCACAGCAGCACUGACAUUGAACAUGUCAAGUAGGCCUAUUGGAGCAAAUGAGAUGUUGGAUGUGAUCUCCUGCAACAGACAAAACCAUAUCAUUUAGUAAACCCUUAGCAACAAUCGGAAUUUCAGCAUCUAAUAGCGACUAUAGAUGACCAACCUUGAGAGGACAGAAAUGGAAAAGCUCAUACUCCAGAACAUUAAGACUCACAGGGACCGAACCACCUUUUGGCAACCGAAUUACCUCACCUGACAGUCAAUAAUGGUUCAUAAUGUUAGAAAGCUGAAUACAAUUUAUAAUAAAGGUAGGUAGAUUUGUUCUUAUGAGUUUUGCAAUUAUAUCAUUUUGUUCCUAUUGACAGUCAAUAACGGUUCAUAAUGAUAGAAAGCUGAAGACCAGGUAGUGGAGAAAAUGUUACAAUUUAUAAUAAAGGUUGGCAGAUUUGUUCCCAUGAGUUUUGCUAUUACAUCAUAUUGACAAGCUACUAGAGAAUUGCUUCCUGACUGUUGGUACCUGAUUUAUGAGCAUAAACUACUGUUUCUCCAUUCCAAUCAGCACCAGCAACUUGAGCAAUGACAUCAACAUCGGUGGCACGGACAGAAGCAGUGAGGGUACUAGGAGACUCAUCAUGAAUGCGAGUCUUCUUUAUAAUCUUGCACCAACCUGCACCUUGACAGUUAAACACACCAACCACACCAGAGCAUUUGUUGACAUUCCAAAUUUUGAGCAAGCUGCAAAGAAAAUUAUUUACACAAGCUUUACUUAUAGAGAUCUAAAUUUUAAAAACCAUAUAACUUGGAAAGCAUAUAGAGGGAACAGAACAAACCUGGUCCCAUCUCUUGCUGGAUCAGCAAAGAGACAAUCACGGGUCGGCCUGCCAGGUAAUUGGGCACGGAGGACAGAUCCAUCAGGGAGGACCAGCUUCCUCAAAAGAUCAAAGUUGUGGUUGCCUGGCUUAUCACUGUUAAGAGAAAUACCCAAAAUUAUGCAUCAGAACUCAUACUUCCAUGAAGUGCCUAUAGAAUAAAUUUGUUUGGUGCAUAGCAUUACCUGACAUAGAUUGCACAUCCACCAACAGCACGAGCUGCACCGUGAUACUCUGCAGCUGAAUGUAAACUCUGCAAAAGAAAAGAUUCUUUCAUCAAUAAAACAUGUUAUGCCAAAUGAUAAUAGCAACAAGUUUAUCUGCCCUUCUUCCAAAUAAAUGACAUUGAGUCUCAACAUCACAGAACAUUGCAAAUAACCAAAUAAAUUGCAAUUGUAAAUCUUGAACAAACAUGAAUAUUGAUGUUUCAAGCCUCCACCAACUAACGUAGACUAGUGUGCAAUAGUAAACUACUUUCUACAAUUACAACAUGAAUGUAAAUUUAAUAAGCAUGUACUUCAAGGAAAUGGCUGCUUACUAGCCUUCCAGACAUCAACAUCCAGAAAAAUCAGACAGUGCCAAAGCAUAUUGAGAUAACAAAAUGAGACAUAAAAUACCUCAUUAUUUACUUACAUGAAACAUAUCCCAAUCAGGUUGCAUGAAUUCUCCAAGGAAAAGGGUGUUAUAAGCAACAGAAGAUAUAUGAAUUGUGUGAGAAGCAGGAUCCCGGGGGUAGAAGUCAUCAGAAGCUCUCACCACAGCAGUCUGCUUGGAACUGUAGAGCCCAUCAGUGUUAUGACACAUGCAAGAGAUACAUCCAUUGUCAGGAAAGUUUCGAGCAACCGAAGCCUCAAGUGCCUGGUGGUAGCUGCGGGUCAACGAAACUCUACCACCAUGACCAGACCCAAGAGUCUCAAUGAUGUUUUGAACAUCAACCUUAACUCCAUCCACACCACAAGAAGCCAAGUAGGCAUGCAGCUCAUUGUAGAAAUUGAAAACUUUCUUGGGAUGUACCAGACCAAGGCCGUGAACAGAUAAGCUGUCCAUAACUAUGUCUGGUUGGUUUCCCGUUACACCAGGGGACGACACUGGGUAUGCCAAAGCAGUGUCAUAGUGUUCCAUGCCAGUAGCAGCUGGUUUCACUCCACCCCAGUAACCAGCUAGAGCAUGCCAUACAUACACAAAUCUGCGCAGCAAGUCACAAAUUCAGAUAAUGAGUAACAAUACUUCCUACAUAAAUCUUUUUUUUUUUUCAAAUAAUAAAAUCUUACAAUGGACGAACAUCAGCAAAUGUCAAGCAGAAUACAUAAUCUAGCAUCCCACAAUAUUCAAUUUUUUUCCUUGUUUGCUACUGAUAGUGAGAUUUUAUUCAAACUAAACCCAUCAAUUUAUUAACUAGAAGAAAAGGCCCUUUGUCCCCAUUCAACAUUUAUUCUGAUCAUAAACUCUUCGACAUCACACAUAUCUGUAAUUAAUUUCACAAUAAGUACCCAUUUUCAUGUUAUAAUUCUGAAUAUCAUAAUAAAUAUUUCUCCAGGGGAUCUCUACUCUGACCUACCAUUUUUAAGGAUACGAAAUCAUGGAUUUUUAAAUCCCAGCAAUAUCUUGCUAUGUGUCUGAAGUAGAUAAACAAAUUCUAUGUAAAACCAUUAUAAAAGAACAGCAGGGAGUUCCGUGCAACUUACUUCACAUUUUGAUGUUGCUUGGCUUCAUCCACAACGUGUUUCAGACCGGAGACUUGCUCACUGUGGUGGCCAUUCUUUUGGAAUUUUUCAUUCUCUUUUAUUCCAGUCAGCCUACUUGCAAACCUGCAAUUAGCGUACUCGCAUUAACUAACACAACUACUUUAAGUCGAUAGACCCAACAGCAAUGUCCGGAGAAAAAAUGCAUGAUUGCGUGACGACAAAGGAAGAUCCUUCUAAUUUAUCCAUUCCAAUCAUGUACAUGGAAAGAGAACAUUAUCAAAACUGAUAAAAGAGUAAUCAUUUAAAAUUAAGAAAGAAGACAGAAGCAUUACUGUGCUCCUUCUUGUACAACAGCAUCAGUAUCCUUGUCUUUAUUUUCAAUCUGUUGCCAGCCAUCAUCAACAAUAAGGAAUCGCGGAGGCGUCCCACCGUUGGAUAAGCUGCAAUGAUUCCACAACACAACAUAGUAAUUAAAUAAAGCUGCUUACAAAUUCAAGUUAGAGUAAAUAGCAAGUUAAAUAUGAUAUCGUUUCUUAUUACCUUUUAAGGCCUUGCUCCACACCCUCGGCUGUGACAUCAGUGUAAAAGGCAUCCCAUGUACACCAGCCAAACCAGUCAAGAAAAGAAGGCAACUGCAUGCAACCAAGAGAACAGAUAUUAGAUUCAUUCAAGAAACGGUUGUGAUGCGCCAUUCAAAUUGUAGAACACCAAUUACAGAAGAAGACAAAAAGUGUUGUGGUCUUACCUUUUUCUUCUCACGGUGAACAAAAGUUUUCAUGUGUUUUUCCACAGCCCUGUUUAAUGAAAUUGAAAACAGAGUCAUUUACCAAAAUAAAUGCAAAGCCAUCAUCCUAAUCAAAACCAAACUAUUUACCUUUUCUAGCAAUAACAUAAUCAUAUUAGCAAAACAAAAUUACAGAUUUAAUUGCAGAUCUACAAUGAUGACGAUAAAUUAUUAGAAUGAAAAUUCAGGACUUACUUUACAGCCUGUGUGAUAACCUCAAAUGGAUUGGUUCCAGCAUGGAUGUAAACAAGGCACUGGCCCUGAUUGGUCUGAACAGCAGAAUCUCCUGCAAAACCAAUCACACACCACAAGAAACACGUUGUUUUCGGUUCCUUCGAACUCGAAUUUUGUAUUUUUUUUCUUUUCCCAAAUCCUUUAAACUCCAAUUAUUUGAUUCAUUUGAAUGAUAUUCAUUGUGGGUGGUUUCUCCAGCCUGACUGUAUUCGCAUUAAUGACAGCUCCACCCCACAUUUUCAGAUUGUUCAUCUCCUUCAUUAUUGGCUGGCGGGAUGGGACUGAUUAACAGGAAGACAUGGCCUUAUAUAAUGGAAUGACAGGCAGGGAAGGUGUAAAUAGCCUACACCAGAUACUUGUUUUAUUGCCAUAACCUACUCACCACUCUCGAGGCAAACCUCGACUUCAUUCCUCUCGUUGCCUUGCAGAACAGAACGGAAAAGGCCUUCAAGCAGAGGCAGGAAGACGGUGUAGAUGGUAGAGGAAGAAGAAUCAUCUUCAUCACCUCCUUCGCCAUCACCUUUGCUUUCAACAAGCAUGAAUUGGGUCUCCAAUGGAACAUCUUUCCCACAUGUCCCCAUCCUCUGAGUCAUCCACCAUAACUUGAACCGGAAACAGCACAUGAAACGGAGACCCCUAUGCAUCAUAAUAACGACAGUAAUUACUACCAUAUUUGAAAAAUUGAAAUUCAAAGCAUAGCAAUCAUUGCACCAUUACUCAAUCACCAUCUACGGCUAAAGCUAAAAGAUGUAAACUUUGACAUAUUGAUUUUGACAACCAAAAACACAAGAGAUACUGAAACUGCUUACUCUAAAACACCAAUGGGGAAGGUGUGAAGGCUUUGGCUUUGAGCGGCAGUGGCACCAAUGAAAGCACCAGCAACGAGCCCAACACCAGUCCCUGGUGUAAGCACGAUGUUGUCUGGAACUCCAGUCAAAAUGGUCUUUCCCUGAACCACCAAGUUCCCAUCGUUGAUUGAAAUCUGUGGGAUGACCGUCAUGGUUGAUGACUGCGAAACUACUGUCUCACAACAUAAAACACAAAUUCAUCAAAAUUCACCUUGGAUCAGAUAGAGAAUUCUGGAGCAUGUUUACAAUUAUCAACUACAUCAAUUUCAUAUUUAUCCAUGGGUUUUAUAAAUAAAUAAAUAAAAAGCCAUAAUUUUUGGCAGGAAAAAUAUACCAUCAAUGGAAAAAUUUAAGAACCCAGGUGAAAUGCAUGUUGGCGCACAGGGUUUAUUUGGUAAUUUCGAAAAAUUGAGGCUGCUUGAGGAAAACUGCUACAGAAAGAAAACAAAAACCCAAAAGGCAAAAAGGGAAAUAACUUGAGGGUUUUGAAUCAGCAUCAAGUUUGGUCCACAAGGUGUGGGCCUGUGUCCUUUCCCAGCCUCUAACUUUCGCUGAAAGCUUGAAACUUUUUGGUCUGAAAACCCCCAAAAAUUCAGAACAAUCAUAUGAAACUGACUAACAGAAUAAAACAGGAGCGUCAGGAUUUUAAUCAAAGUUCAAGUAUGAAAUUCACAGAGCCUAAGCUCAAUUCACGGCUAAUUUAUCAUUAGAAGCCAUUCAAGGCAGCUGGAGCUUCAUGAAGAAGUAAACAAAGAGCUAAAAAACAGCUCACACCACCGACUUCACAAUCAAAGCUCAAACAAUUCCAGAAAACCCCAAGCACUCACCGGAAAAGGUAAAAAAGUCUCUGGCUGCCCAAGGAAUUCAAGCACAGAGCUUUGUUAAGCCUCUAGAAAUGGACAGAGAGAUGAAAUGAAAGUGAGGGUUUGGAAAACCAAAACCCAGAGAGAAGAACAAGUGCACCGAGCAAAGGAAUGCUCUUGAAUGCAAUGCUCUCACUGAUCGUUUGUGUUUGCUGCUUUUACACACAGAACGUGAGUUUCCAAAGAAGAGGAUGGUGGGUUUAUAUAUGACUUGGGCUGCGUUAAAUUUCGAGCAAGUUCUUUCCUCGAUGCUUCCAGAUGCUGCCACGUGGGAUACUAUCAUUGGAUUUUUUUUUGGGAAAUUCACUAUUAUACCCAAUAUGGGGGCCCAAAUUAUAAAAAUACCCUAUAUGAAAUAGACUUUAGAAACACACCCAAAGCCCAUUUACAACAUAACAAAAAAGCUUUUAACUUCUUAUAAAUUACAAAACUACCAUCAAUUUCUUAAAACAAGCCCAACCCCAAAAUCUCAUAAAAAUACCCAAAACACUCAAUAGGGCAUCAAAGUAAUUUAAUAAUCAAUAUUAAAUUCAAUAAGGCCAGCUAUCAUCUUUUGGGUUUUUUUUGGGUUUGUUUAUAGAAAUUCAAUUGUGUAGGGUUUAUUUAUAAUAUUAGUGCUAGAAAUGGGUAUAUCACUAAAUAUCUCUUUUUUUUUUUGGUGCACUAGUUAUGAUCUUUUUUUGGUCAAUCACUAGUUACGUUCUCAUCUUAUGAAUUUGGAUUGUGAUUUCCAAUUAGUUUAUUUGAAGAAAGACGUCAUCUCUAUAAAUGUGUACCACAAAUUCAGGUUUUGGACAACAUAAAAAUUGUUAUAUUGCUAGACAGUUUGCUAAGAAACAUUUCUUUAUAUUCGUUUUUUCGAGCGAGGGAUGGGUGACUCGAACUUUGUAUUACUAAAAACUAUGUUUUAAUUGUCAAGAAUUGAUAAUUUGGUAUUCUGAAAUGAUACAAAAUACAGAGCAAAUUGCAAGUUCGAGUGUUUUAGAUUUAAUUUAAAAUAUUUAACCUUUUUUUUUAUACGUGAUUAUACAUUUGAGCAAUUGAUUGAUCGACAACGGAACAAUAUAAUACGUGUCGAUGAUAUUUUUUUUUUAAAUAGUAUAGAUAUUUUUGUGUUAUGGGAAAGUCCCAGUUGAGAAAAAGUAUUUUAAUAUCAUGCUUUCUUUAACAAAGCCAAACAUGGCUCCUGACUCACUCAUCAUUGCCCGGCCAUAGUGCAUUUUUUAUCUGCACCAGAUGUUACAAAAUGGAGAAAUGCUAAUGUGAAAUGGAAGAGUAAUAUUUUGCUAUAUUCGGUUAAUUACGACAUAUCACGUGUGAUAAUCUGUAAUUAAUUAAAGAUAGCAAAAUUUUACUAUCUUUAUUUCAUACCUUUUAUAUGUUCAAAAUGGGUUGUGAUUUUUGUUUUUAUGUUCCGUAAUCUGAAUGAUUUGAUGCCAUUUAUAAUGGUGCCAACUUUUUGGCCAUUAUGAUUUAGCAAAAGUUAGGGCAAGGCCACCUUAUUUUCUAGAUAUAAUAUGGACAUAAACCCAUAUUUUCUAGAAACACAUAAUACAAUAUGGUGUUUCUUUCAAUCAACUUCAUGAGUUCCGAUCUAUUGGACUACAGGAGUCUAAAAAAUUGUGAUCACCCAUCGUUAGAUAUUAAUCCAAUGGUUCAAAAAAGUUUCUUAAAAGGAGUAUAAUAGUAAGUGAACCGUUAAAUUUACAUCCAAUAAUGAGUGACUACAAAUCUAUUAGAUCCUUGUAGUCCAAGAGAUCAAAACUAUCAACUUCAUUAUUGGACUAAUUUGAAAGUUAUUUCCAACUUAAUUACCGGCUUUAGAAUUUGUGGUCACAUUUGUCUUCUCUUUUCACCACCCAACUGCAACCGCAAGUGUACAAAAAUUCACGUUGUCAAUCUUUUGUCUGAAAAUAUCAAAGAGUGCUUUUGGCGUUAACUGUUGGCAUUUUGAGAAGGCAAAAGUCACGAGACAAAAUUAAUGUCAUAUGAUAUGUUUCAUGAGUCAUCACCCACCUUUGUCCAGCCUUUUGGAUUGGACCCAAACAAUGAUGCAUAAACUUUUCUCGUAACGUGUGUGAAGUAUAAUUUCUUUUUUUUAUAGAUUUCUAUUUGUACUCAAAAGUUUAUAGACAAUUGUGUGUUACGAUUUUAUCCUGAAAGCAAAAUCACUUUCCUAAAAAGCAAACAGCGAUAGAACUAGCUCUCGUUUCUUAUGGGGACGAUAAUACAAAUUUAUUACUUUUGGGGGGCCGGGGGGUGAGAACAUUACUAGAGCAUUUGUCUUUAAAUUAGUGGUCUUAAAUUUGAAUUUGAAUGACAUUUCUCGUUCUCUUUGACUAUGAAAAAAUUACUAGAAUUUAAUACAGCCACUUCAUACUAGGUUGAAGUGUGGCUCCGCCCGUGUCAUCAAAUUAAUUACUAGUCUAUAACUACUAUUUAGGUAAUUCUAUUUUCACCCCUUUUACACUAGACCCUAAAAAGAUUCUUUGAACAUGUUCUCAUUAUAUAACCUCACAUGUUAGGAGGGGAAAAGGAGAUAUGCAAUGUAAUAACCUCACAUGAUAGAAUAUUUUCUGCAUCCCUUAAAAAGAAAACAAAGAAAUUCUUUUUUUAUCAGAACCAGCCAUUUGGCUCAUUCGUUCUCAUCUAAUAUGUUCCUUUUUCCAUAAUUUUGUUAGUCAAUCCAUUGUGUUUGUAUAUAUAUAGUUAAGUAAUGAAUAAGGAAGUCACUAUGAUCUUCAAACGAAGGACUACAAAUAUGAUAAGAUUCUCAUUAUUAAUACAAAAGAAUAUGUGCUUGCUUAUUGUGCUGCUUAGAUUCCCAAUCCACUCACAAAUCUGGCAUGAAUUAAUAAAAAGCCAAUUCAAAAUUGUUGCCAAAACGACAUCCACUUAAUUAAGUAUAUUGGGAGGUAAUUCUAGUCCUUUGUGUGCACGUUGAGCUCAAUACGUGGAUUAUUGGUGGAACUAGCAAUAAGGCGACUAUGGGCUCUAGUUUACGUAGCUUUUUAAUAUGUUUCACUCCAUAAAAACUUAGUAGUCCAUCCAAAUGUAGCCUAGUAACCCAUCAUUAUCCAUUCAUCUUUGUAAGUCUAUUAUAACCAUCUUAUAUUUAAUUUGUUUGUUUAAUUAAGAAACAUAAUCCCUUAAUAAACACUCAUAACUUUAACUACGAAUUUUUACUAUUUUCUCCCAAUGUUUCCUCUUGUCGUCAAUAUUCAUGUUAACGGUCAUCAAAUCACUCUUUACAAUUAACUAGAGCGAUUAAUAUAAUUUAAUGUAUACUUUUAUUUCUAAAAACACUAUAGAAACUGUAAGUGAAAAAAAAAACUUUAGAUUUUGUUAAUUUGGUAUCCCUCAUGUUGUUCUGGCAACCCUGCUUGAGGUCAAGGUUAGGACUUAUCCUAGAUCGUGUGGUUAAGCUGCUCUUUGGAGAUGACCUGCACACUUCAAGCGAUUAUCAGAACAUGAGUAAACUGGAUGGAUUCCAAUUAAACCUCUUCCGAUGGCUAAGUUAGAAGUGGUCUUUAAAGUGGAGAGAAGGAUGAAGAGUUUUUAGAUGAGAAUAUUUAUUACAUUCAUCCGAAUACAGGUGAAGAGUAUUUAUAAGAGGAAGAAUGAGAGAUUGUCUCUCCUUCAGUCUUCCUAUCUUUCUCUUUUCCCAAUGGAGGGAUUGAAACGCAUUAAAUGGUCCCUGUUUAUCACCAUGCUGGUUAUCAGGGAUCAAGUGACAAGGCAACACGUGGCUUUGUAUGUAAAGCACAUUAACUGAUUCCUUUCCAUCACCAGACUGUUUAUCAGGGAUCAAGUGGUAAGGCGACACCUGGCUUUGGAUGUGAAGCACAUUAAAUGAUCCCUCUCCAUCACCAGAUCGGCAUUAGGCGCAUGGAGUAAUUUACUCAACAGGGGUCUGGUCGUGUCAUAAUAUUAAUGACUGUCUCUAGUCACAUGGUAUCUCAGUAAUCAGGUCGAUGUUUGAGUUCACAUGGUAUCUCCCAUCAGUCUCGGCUAGGAGGCCCUUUCUCGACACCCAAUGGGUCAAUUUGGUCGGGUCGGUACGAGGGUGACCUGAUUGCUUGUAGCCACGUGGUGCUCUCUGAUAGGCUCGACUUAUAAUGAUGAUAUGAAUCAUCAACAAAUUUUAAGUUAACAAAUUUAGUUAGUCCAUAGGUUGAAUAAUUCUUAAUUUCACCAUCGAUAUGGAUAAUUAUGAAGUUAAAAUUUCCACCCAAAAUCAAUAGUUUUUUUAAAGAUUUAUUAACUUUAUAAAAUGGGACAUUUCUUUACAUUAAAUCUAAACUUCAAAAUACAUUCAGACCAAAAAAACAAAACUCAAAAUAUAUUAAUACAAAAUAUGAUUUCUGUGUCAGCAUCUAUAUAUCCACUUGCCCACCCAACACGCAGGACACCAGAAGACUGUAUGCCUAAUAAGCUUACACUGGGCAGUUUCGACAAAAAAGGAAGCUACCGCACUCAGCAGCAGGCAGACUGGACCCAAACCCGAAUGUUUGUCCGAAUCAUCCAUGUGUGGGGCCCAAACCACGUUGGAACUGACGGAGUAUGUGAUCCAGUCCACCCACCAAGAUCAAUGUAAAGCCGACUUCUUGUCAUUUUGACAUAAAAUUUCUGCUUUCCACUUUACGUAGAAAAGUUGGACCAAAGAAAUAAAUUUAAAAAAAAAAAAAGCUUAGAUAGAAAAAUAGAUCAAAGCUUGAACCCUAAUUAGGAAGAGAAAUUCUCAUGUAACGUAAUACGUAUGAUAAUUUUUUCACGUAUCAUUGUAUUAUUGAUCGAGGAUAACAAAUAGUGUUAUUUCCGUUACAUGCAAGUUCUUUUGUUAAUUAGAGGAAGAGUGUCAAAUCUAAAUGUGUUUGUCUGUACAAUAAUUAUGCAUUAAAGUUUAAACAACAAUGACGGCCGCACAGUCGGUGAUUGGCGCUUGAUACAAUGAUUUGGGGGAAAUCUCCAAUUCAAUAUCUUUUCUGGCUCAAUGACGAACGUGAAUGAAUCCACAAGUCACUUGCAUUUAAAUUAAAUUAAUUUUCCUUUUUGGAAAUUAGGGUUUUUUUUAUAUAUAUAUAUAUAUAAUAUUAUUAUUGCUUUGUCUUUGUUGAUAAUUGUUGCUGCGAAAAAGACUGGUCCAACAGUAGGGGCUGGGUGGGCGGUUUUGGUACUGGCAAAGAUAGGUUGAAUGGCAUUUUGGAUGGUAGCUUAGCUACUAGCUCAUCUUCAUUUUGACUGCUUUUACAACUUUGGAUUUCAGCAAACCAAUAAUUUGACUGUUUUUGCCUCUAGUCCAGAAUAUUACUUGGACUAGUUGAUUGAUUGUGGCUAUACAUCGAAUCAAUAAUUCAACAUGUUUUUUAUUUUUACAUGUAUACGUGUACGCUAACAAAUUGGAAUCUGGAAGUGCAAUCCAAAAAUAUUCACGCUUAUCAACUAGUGUUUAGUCUAAUAUUUUAUUUUCGGUGUAAGAGUACAAUAUAAAUUCGAAUACCAUAGAGUAAGAAUAAAUUUAGUUUCUUUCUCCGUGGGAAGAUAGACUUCAUUAUUAAUAAGUUACAUCCUCUCAUGCCAACCGAAUCUUGCAGGAUUUUAACUUGGAGAUAGAGGUCUCAAAUUCGAAUCUUUUUCUUUUUAUUAGUCAUUUUUUACCUCUUGUACUUUGAAACAAAUAUAUUGUACAAUAUAUAUAUUUUUCGUUUUGUUAGAGAGAUUUCAAGUAGAAUCGAUUAGGCGUAUAAAAUAAUUUCGAAAGAAAAACCUUGAAAACGAAAGAACUUGUCAUCCGGGUCUGGCUGGUUAGUCAACAUCAUCCUGAUCGGCAUUCGAUAUAACGAUCAUAUGGGAUCAUGACACGUGUUCUCUGUUGUUGUUGCAGUGGGGCUGCGUAUGAUCUUCAUGUUUUUGGACUGGACACGUAGGCUGUUGUCCUCUAGCACGUGCGUGGUCCAUCGCAUGCGUGCAGGACGGUGCUUCGUUUUGUUUCGUUAUGGUCAAAGCCUUAGCCAUCACAAGCUAGAACUAAAGCUUACACAUGUUGAAAUUGGAACCACAAUAUGAAAGUGAACUUUCAUGAAAGCUCUGCCUUAAGAAAAUGUGAGUGAAAACAAAAAUUGAAAGUCGAAAGCGAAAUGGUAAUCGAACGAGCUCUUAAUUUCUUUUCAAACAAAAAAAUCAUACACUAAUUUUUUUCUCUACAUCUAUGGAUGCUCAAGUUUGUUUCAUUUAUCUAUUAAUUAUAUCUCUUUCAAUUUCAUGCUUUCUCUAUCAGAAUUUUGUCUUGUGUUGCAGAUGGCACCCUUGGAAUUUUCAGAUGGAUUGAUCAAGAGGCACAUGCAAGAUAGGCAAUCACAUAUAGUCACAAUCAAACCAUUUAUACCAACUUUUCUAAUGGGAUUUUUAUGAGGAGGACCAAUUAUACCAACUUUUCUAUUGGGAUUUUUAUGAGGAGGACCUCUUAACCGCUUGCUUACAUUGCCACAGGUGCUCUCAUGAAUCACACAUAUGUACAAUAAAAUUAUCUGUUUGGGUCUGUUUAUAUGAACAAUAAUGUAUCUAUAUGUGGAAUUAGACAAUGAGACAACGGGCAUGAUCUUGUCUGGCUUAAAUUAAGAACUUGAUGCGAUCACUUGCGUUGCGUGAAAGCCUUAAUUAGCACAAGAAAAUCCAAGGAAAUUGAUAGCAAUCUCUGUGUGAAUAAAUGUCACAUAAUUAUUUGGAAAAAAAAAAAGUCACAUAAUUAUUAGUAUUUGAGAAUAUAAAAAUCUCUCAUCAUAAAUUUAAAACUAGCCAUGUCUCUCUCUCUCAAGGCGAAGGCCUAAGUCUUGGAUUAAUUAAAUAUUAUUAAUCAAGCCAACCAUAUAUAGCCUUUAUUAUCAAGCCCAUCAGCCCACCAAUCUUAUUUAAUUAGUGUAAAAGUAUCAUGCUUAUGAAACAUGUAAAACCAUUUGUUUCCUCCGAUGUAGGACAAUUUGCUUUCAAACUUCCAACACCACCUGCAACUCACCCAUAGAUGCAAACAAUGUUCGCAUUUUUUAAUUUUUAAUUUUUCAAUUUUUUGGUUUUUGAAUUUGCACAGAGAGAGAGAUGUUGGAAAAAAAUUCAAAGUAUAAAGCGACUGAUCGUUUUUGAAAAACGACUAGUCAUUUUGGUCAGAAACUUCAGUUUUUGUCUUUGUAUAAAACAACCAGUCGCCCGAAGGAAAAAUGACCGGUCGUUUGAACACAGAGUGUGAGAUUCUGAAGCACCUCUUCAGUCAUUUGGUGUGCCUCUUAAUGCCUAAAUGUUUGAAUCACGUAUAUGAACGUUAGAAACACUUCAUAUACAUAAUUUAAAAAUAAAGACACAUUCUUUCAUGAAGAGAAGUGUCCUUAUUGAAGUGGUACCUCUUGAUUAAGAGGUACAAUUCAAAAGUUGUAUAGUUUCUGAAUUAGGAGUUAAACCAAUUUAGAAUGGACACCAAUUUCUGUAUAAAUAGAGAUGAUUAUACAUCAAUAAAGAAUAAGAAAAUAAUCCAAGAAAGAUCCAACUGAUAUCUAAGUUUAAUACCAACUCUUCUCCAUCUAGUUUAACAAAGUAAAACCUCCAGAGGUUAUUUUCUGCAGAUUUAGCCUCUAGGAAUCAUAAGUAUCCUUGUUACAAUACUAAAGUGUGUUUGGGGUUGCCUUUGUUGUGCAAGACAUUGACAACAUAUAGUUUAGGCUAGGCUUUAUUGUAUCCACAUGGCUUAUUUGCUUAACCUCUUUGCACACAAGUUGUGAGGGCAAAUAAAGUCUGAAAGAUAGUGUAUUCAUACACAACACACCUUGAAGCAUCUUUCAUCCUCUCAUUACCAUUCAUUCUUAAACACUUCUUCUGUAAGCCAUUCCCACAAGAUUUGUAAACAAAAAUAUCCAACAAAAGAGAGAGAGAGAGAGAGAGAGUUAGAUCUAGCCGGCCGAUGGUCGGAACGAGGUCUGGAGGAUGGAAAGAGAGUGAUCACCGAGCUGGGGUUCUGGAUUCAUUGCAGGUUGAGAGAAAAUCGCAGGGGGGCAAUUGGGGAUGAUUUUUUCUUCUCUUUUUCUGCAAUUUUUUUUAAAAAAUAUUUUUUAAUCAAUUUAAAUUUAACAAAAUGUGAAAUAUGUGGGACCUACAGUGCCACAUAAGCAACUAACGGAGAGAUUUGACAGAACUCUAAUUGCGGAACUACAUUAUAAUAAAUUUAAAAUACCAGGGUAUCUAAUGGUAAAAAUGAAAAAGGUAGAGACUAAUAUGUCUUAAGGAUAUUAACUACAUGGUACCAAAGUGUAAUUAACCUUUUUAUUUAUAGUAUGACGAGGUCGAGCGGGGUUGGGCAUCGAGCUCAAAUAGGCAUGCACCAGGUAUCACAACUCUCCUAAUGAGAGACGCAAUAUAGCGUCACUACUGUCAUCGCCGCCGAUACAAAAACAACCCCAGUCACCUGGAACACUGCAAAAAUAAUAAAACAAAACAAACAGACAAACAGACCUAGAUUCAAACAGAUCUAGACUAUUUGGGGAGGGGAAGGGGAGGAGAAGAGGGGAUAAGAGGAAGGGAAAAUAUGGGAGAAACAUUGAAAUGUAGGUAAUGAUGUUGCAGAAACAUUGAAUUACAAUCUUUUUUUUAAUACAAGCGAUAAGGGCACACACACUACUAAGGUGUCAUGGGGGUUCAAACCUGAGACCAAGUCAAGACCCUUUUUUACUAGGUUAGAUCCCGUUGGCCAUUUAAUUAAAACUCAAAUAAGUAUAUAUAUAUAUACAUAUAUAUAUUUUUUUGUGCAAGUGAUUAGUUAGGGGUUUACACAAACAUUCAUGUGUUUCCUAUACUAAAAUCAAUAACCAAAUUAAAGCACUGAAGCAAGUACAUAAUGAAGUUGCAUAAACACUUCAGUAAAAACUUGAACAGUUGUAGAACACUUUCGUAUUCAAGUUGCCUAUGCUAAAAUCAAUAACCAAAUUAUAAAUACUUUUUUUUUUUUUUUCUCAUAUACACUGACACUAAAAUUUCUUUGGGCUAUACAAUAAUAUGAAAUUUCUUUGGGCUUUGAGCUCUAAAACAUUCCAAAGAAAUUUCUUUUGUGGACUAGGGUGGGUACAGGCCCAGCCAAAAGAAGAUUUGUAGAUUAAAAUUAAUAUGACAAUGAACGAAAAUAAUUUAAAUUACAAUUGUAAUUCUAAGUAGGGAUUUUUGUAAAAAUGUCACCUGAAUUUGUACCGCAGUUUUAAUUUGUUACCUUAAAAAAGAAAAAAAAAGAAAUGUCACCUUAAUUUUUCAAAAUCCAUGAUUUGUCAUCUGACUUUAACACCAUCCAUUUUCAAGGGUAUUUUAGUCUUUUCAUUUUUAAAGGUAUUUUAAAAAUAGAAAAAUCAUUAUAAAAAAAAUGUAUUAAAAAAAUCUCACAUCCCCCUAUCCCAUGUGCGCCACCAACAGCUCCAACCAAUCCUGCCCACCUCCUCCAUUCCCGCUUUCCUCUUUCCCGUCCUCAUUCUCUCUCUACCAUGGAAGAGCUACCCUCCACACACAAAUUCCCUAAGUCCACCCAAACCGAGAGAGAGAGAGAGAGAGAGAGAGAGAGAGAGAGAGAGAGAGAGAGAGAGAGAGAGAGAGAGAGGUUUUGGGUGGGGGAGAAAGGGGGAAAGAGGUCUAUUUUUUAUCUGUUUGUUUUCCUUGAAAAUUGAAAGACUAAAAUACCCUUAAAAAUGGAUGAAAAAUUGGAUGAUGUUAAAGUAAGAUGACAAAUCAUGGAUUUUAAAAAGUUAAGGUGGUAUUUCUCUUAAAUUUUUCUUUGAGGUGACAAAUUAAAACUGAAGUAUAAGUUCAAAUGACAUUUUACAAAAAUCCCUUCUAAGCAAAUGGUCUCCGAGUUCUUAAUCUAUCUUUCCUAGCAAUUAAAUGCGAUACAUUCUAACCACUUAACCAUGCUUAUCUUGAUCAAUAUCUUAAUAGUAAAGACAAUGUUCAAUUAUCUGCUUAACAAAAAUGUGGAAGACCUUCAUCCUCUUGCUGCUAUGUUGUGGGGAUGCCAAGACUAUAUAAACAAAAACUGAAUUUGUUCUAUUCAUCAUGUAUAUCAUGAGUGCAACAUGGUAGCGGAUAAAUUAGCUGAAUUGGGUUCAUGUUUUGAGUUGAGUCUGUCAACCUUCAAUGACCCUCCUAACAGGAUUAGGUCUUUUCUUAGUGAAGAUUUACUUGGAGUUUGUAGGCCUCGAGCCAUUAUUUAAUUUCUUUGUUGAGCGUUAGCCCCGUUUCUUCACCAAAAAAAGAUAAUGUUCAAUUGUAAACGGAAUUUCACAUUCAAUAUACUUUUGUAAAAUUGAUAUAAGUAUUAAAAUUAAUUCAAUACUUACUCAUGAUAUAACGGGCAAUGAACACAAAUAACUGUAGACAUAUUUUAUAAGAAUAAGUAUAGCAUUGAUAGAAAUCGUUUGUCACAAUAGAUAAAGAACAUAAAAAUCUUAAAACAAUUCAUUAAUAUUAUUAAAUCGUCAGAAUAAUAAAAUAUAAUUAAUUUAGAAACCGCAAAAUUAGUAUAAACCAUAAAUAUGAAAUGAAGUUUAUUUAUUUAAUCACCCCUAAUUUCCAACUUGUAUACGCUUUUGUGUAGUCCUUCAUUUUUAUACAAUGGUUGAGAUUUGAUUUUCUAUAUACUAACCACAAUCUCAAUCCUAUUGCAAUAUCAUUAAUCAGUCUGAGGUUCUUCUAACCAUGAGCAAACUACUUGUAUGCUUUUUGAUAUUUUGCAAUGUAGCUCUGUCAAAUAGUAUUUGGUAUGGCCAAACAACUUUUAAUGUGCUUCAAUUUGAUGCUGUUGGAGACGGCCAAACUGAUGAUUCUGAAGUAAGUUUCUCAAUUUUUAGAGUGUGUAUUUUCGUUUCUUUUGUUAUCAAUGACGAAGAAUGAUUCGAACUUGAGAAUUCUUCUGAUAUUGAAAAGAGAAAUAUCACUAAAUUAAUACUUAGUUGAUGUUUGCGAUACGUGUUCGCAAAGGCUUUCUUGAAAGCAUGGGAAGCUUUAUGUGGAGCAACUGAAGCUAAUGAUACAGGGACACCAACGCUUGUAGUACCAGCAGGGAAAACAUUCCUUUUGCAACCUAUAAAAUUCUCGGGUCCUUGCAAAUCCAACUCUGUCCAUGUUCAGGUAAGAAAGUAAGCAAGCACACACCAAUUUUAUAAUAAAUGGAGGACUUCAAAAUUUAACAAUUAAUUUAACCAAAAGUUGGAAUCAAUGAAUUUUCCCGUGCCUAAUCAUGUUUUAGGCUGACAUAAUUGAGGUGGGUGGAUGACAGAUUUUGGGGAAAAUUGUGGCACCCAACACUCUACUUGCAUGGAAAGAGUGUAAAGAAUUCUGGAUAUCUUUUUCGGAGGUCACCAAUCUCACCAUUAAUGGAACUGGAGAAAUUGAUGGCAAUGGUAAACCUUGGUGGAGCAAAGCUAGGCAACUUCACCAUGUUGUAAACAAUGUAAAUUUGUGAACACAAACAUUCUAUUUUCUUUGUUUGUUCUACAUUUUCUUGGUGAAUUAAUUUGAGUUGGUGAAGUCUAACAUGAGAGAAUUUUCGCUCACUUCUAGGGGUACAAGGUGAAAUGCUACCAACGUCCCAAGGUGAGCUCUACGUAGUUUUGCAUGCAUGAACAUUUUCGCACGUAUUUUUUAGGGAAUGUUUCCUUGUCAGAUUAUGAAUCUAAAUCAUUAAUAUAGUUGAUCCUUACCUAAACGUGUGAUUCGGAUUCACAGUUUGACAACAUAUGCAUAUAAGUAUGCCAAAAUCUGUUUCAACUUUUAUCUAAUGACAGAAAACUUAAUACCAAUUCGUGUGCAUGUCUCUAUAAACUUUCUUUGCCAAAAUAAUAUUGGUAACAAAUCAUCAGAAUGUGGAAAAUUGUUGCAGGCUAUACACUUCUACAAAUGUGAUUAUCUUCAAUUAAGGGGACUCAAACAUCUUGACAGUCCAAAAGCACAUAUUACUAUAAACAAUUGCAACAAUGUUAGUGUCUCCAACCUUCAUAUUAUUGCACCUGAAGAUAGCCCCAACACAGAUGGAAUUGACAUCUCCAUGUCAACCUUUGUCAAUAUCCGUAACUCCACAAUUGGAACUGGUAAUGUCAAUGCAUCAAAUCUUACAUCUCUUUCACUCAUUAGCAAUAUUAUUAUCGUCAACUAAUUAUUAUGUAAUUGCAUAAUGGUAAAAUAAUAAUUGUUAUUAUUAUUUGUUGGAUUUGUUUUACAUUUAGGUGAUGAUUGUAUUGCUCUUAAUAAUGGCUCAUCACAUAUCAAUAUCACCAGCAUUGUCUGCGGACCAGGUCAUGGAAUUAGGUCAGUACAUAUUUUGAUUGCUAUAUAUUUUUACAAAUAAUGCAUUCUAAAUGCAAGGGGUUUGUAGCUCAAGUAGUUAAGAGCAUUUACCUUUGCAUCCGAAGUUUUAGGUUCGGUUCCGUCUCCCUCAAUUUCGCUUGUAUAUCAACCACAAACAAAUAAAUGCAUGCUAAAUUUCUAACUCCUCCAUAUAUAGUGUGGGAAGCUUAGGUGAAGAUGGAGCUUAUGAGACGGCAGAAGAGGUUCAUGUGCGAAACUGUACUUUCAAUGGUACAAAGAACGGAGCUAGAAUUAAGACAUGGCAGGUAAUGAACAUUAAACCCAAUACAGUUCAAGAGCCCUGAUCCUUUUUUUUUCCUGAUGUUGUGCUUAUGUCCAAAGCAACGUCGAUUCAUGAUUUUGUUUAAAUAUGAACCCUAAAUCAUUCUAAAUCCUGAAGCGCCAUCGUAUUGAAGUUGAACACAAGCACAAUAUGUCUUGAACUAGUCCAUUUCCCAUAUAACAAAAACAAUCUUGUUUUUUUUUUUUUUUUUUCAGGGCGGUUCUGGAUAUGUCAAAGGGAUAUCAUUUGAGAAUAUCACACUAAUAGGAGCUAAAAACCCUAUUAUCAUCGACCAAUAUUACUGUGAUAAAAAUGGACACAAUUGCAAACCUUCAGUGAGUUUUCUCCAUUAUUUUUUAUUGUAAAGGUCUUCAGAAUGAACACUUAAUUAAUCCAGAUUUAGUUAACUUAAUUCUAAUGCCAAUGGAGUCUAGUCCAGUGAAAAAUGGCCUUGACUUGCAUAUUAGAGGUCUCAGGUUCAAAUCCCCAGUACAUCAUAGUUGUGUGUGUGCGAGUAGUUUAGACUAUCGCUUGUACUAAAAAAAUUCUAAUGAAAAACAUGGGUUGUGAUUUCAAUUUUUUUUUGGAAAAUUGACAGGCUUCGGCAGUAAAUGUAAGUAAUGUGAUUUACAGAGGGUUUCAAGGAACUUAUGCAAAUGAGGAGGAAGCGAUUAUAUUUGAUUGCUCCAACACUCCAGGUUGUCAAAACGUAACCAUGAACCAAAUCAACAUCACCUCCACACUUGAUCCUGGAAAGAACAUUUCUGCCGCUUGCAAGAAUGUAAAUGGAACUUUUGACCCUGCUGUCCCUUGCUCACUAUGGGCCUAUCUGCACCCUUGAUUUUGAUUUGUUUAAUUUUAAAUAAAUUUUGAAGAAAUACUAAACAAGUGUUUUUUUUUCCCUUCAAGGGUUAGCUUUAGAAUAAUUUUCAAAUGAUGUUGGGUGUGGUAAGUAAAUGUAGGUCGGGAUAAAAAAGCAACAAAUUUGGUGAGUUUUCAAAUAUAGUUUAUGGGUGUUGUGAGUAAUUGCAUAUUCUGAUUACAUUUUUUGGGUGCUUGAAGACUUUUUAUCUUUGUGGAGUCCAAAUAGUUUCUUUACCAUUGUGGGCUGAUAUUUUCCUCUGUACGUGAUUGAGUUUGCACUCUUGAUGAGUUGAUUCUCAUCUCUUUUACACAUGAAGGGUGAGGUAUGUUAAGAGAGUAAGAGCUAAGGAACAAAGAGUGAGUCUGUUAAAGGCAUCUGAAAACCAUUGCAAUUUCUCAACUGGGAAGGUUAGACCAAUUUUUUUUUUCUUCUCCUUUUUAUUAUAAAUGAUUUGUUUUUUAAUACAAGUAAAAUUGAGAAAGCGGGGAAUCGAACUUAUGACAUUGAGAAAGCGGGGAAUCAAACUUAUGACAUCGGGUGAAGGGGAUAUCUCUUAUAUAUGAGUUGAUUAUGUUGUUCAAAUGAAUAGAUAGGCCAUCAAAGUAGCUGAGAGACAAGGAUGAGACUGAAUUGCAACUCCAUUUAUUACUCACCUUAUCAACCAAAUAUAUGGCCAUGCAUUCAUUUACAGCUUAGGAUGCACAAAGAAGUGAGAGUAGUAGCAGCGGCAUGUACUAAUAUUUCCAUUGAGUAUUAUAAAUCCCCAGCUAACUGUAUAUAUGUGUCAAUUCAAAUCCACAUGAAACUCAUUAAUUUAUACCAACAAUGACUUUGCUGAAAAUAUAUGCCAAUUUUUAACAUAUUUACAAUCAUAAUGAACUUCUUUCCAACCCACUCUUCCCCAUCCAAACCCAUACAACAAACCAGUUACAUACAUCCCAAUUCAUCAAGACAUGAACACUUUUGGCCCAUAUCCUAUAGACCCACAAAAGGGUGUAAAAAAGAUGAAACAGAGGAACAACACAGAACAAAGAAUUACAAAAAACACAACAAAAAAUGAAAGAUUCUUUCCUUAAUUUGCAUCUUCCCACAAGUACUUUUAAGUUAAUCUUCCAAGUCAUCUAAUCACUUUUUUCUCAUCAAAUGAUCCAUCCUUGAUCAAGUUCAAACUUAGACUAUUGAACCGCUCUCGUGAGUACUGCCUUGAAGCCUUCCUCCAAUCUGUGCCGGCCUUCAUCAUAGCAGCAAACUCCUCGUAACUUAUUCGUCCAUCCUGCAAUCAUGGAUGGGCAUUGAGUGUCAACUCUAAGCAAGCAUAAAAAAUAAAAAAAUUUUGCACAGAUCAUGGAGAGUGGCAUGAUUUUAGAGUAUCAUGCAUGGCAAGAAAAAUUCCUGUUUUUGGCUCAGACUAACAACAUGAAGAUACAAUUUGAAAAGGAAAAUGAUAUGAAUCAUAUAUAGUUUUAAUUAACAUGAGAUUUUACCAACCUUGUCUGUAUCCACGUCAUGAAUAAUGGCAUUAAUAACAUCUUCAAAGUUGUCGUCAACUUCAGUAGCCAAGGCUUCUCGCAGCUCCUCAAUCUCAAUAUACUCACUUUUGUUUCGAUCAAAGAAUUGAAAUGCUUUGCGAAGGUGCACCUCAUCAUUGCCCAUCUUUCUUAGGUGAACAGAAAUGGCUACAAAUUCUCCAUAGUCCAGACAUCCAUCAUUAUCAACAUCACCCUGUUAAAGAAAAAGCACAACCUCUGAUUACUAAGUGUAAUACACAGAAUUUUAUAAUUAUGUAAUUCAGAAAAUAAUCCAAGCAUUCUUCUGACUUGAAUGUACAUAGAGAUGAUACGUUCUGUCAUGUCAAAACAAUCACUUUUAUUCCCCCUUGACCUAAAGUUCAUAACUGAUUAAAGGUCACUUCUGCAGAUUCCUUUUUGCUUAGAUAUAUCAAACAUGUAGGUCGACACUGAAGACCAGCCUAAGAGGAAUUUGGCCACUUAAAAGUAGAGUUUUGAUUUAACUUCUUUUUGUUUCCAUUAAAUAAAAUUGGGGGCUAGGCAUUAGGGGGUUAGAGGACUUGGAAGAAGUUAUUCAUCCAAUGUGAUUUCCUUCUAAAUGUUAGAAGUAUGAACAAAAUAGUUCAUAGCAAGCAUGCUUGGAGAUAAAUUAUGCUAGCAUUAUGCCAUUUUGUCAACACCCCACCCCCGUUAAUUUAAAAAAAUAAAAAUAAAAAUUAUGGCUUUUUGCUGUCCCCUUGCUUUUUUCUGGCCCCUGGACAUUUACAGUUGUAACUGUAAUUGUAUCACAGUUACACCCUCAAGGUUGCAUUUUUACUUCUCGAUCAUCGCUUAAGACUUGGGAGUUCAAUUCUUAAUUUUUAGGCGCAGCCCAAAUCCAGGAACUAAACCUUAGACCUUAAGCUCUAAAAUUGGCCUAAAGUAAUCUAUAUCUCAAAUUCUAAGCUCUAAGCCUCCCUAAACUGUAUAAACCAUACACUUAUUCAGGAUAGUACUUACAGCUUCCAUCAUAAUUUGAAGAUCUCCAUCAGGAAUCUGGUGGCCAAGUUUAUGCAACCCAACUCUCAGCUCAUCAAUGUUAAUCUUGCCCUUGUUGGUAGUAUCCAUGAGCUUAAAUCCCUCCUGUAUGCCAGCAACUUCCUCCAUUGACAAAUGCUCAGCUAUAACCUGUUAAUUUAAAAUUCCAAAAGACGUGGAAAAUAAAAACAUUAGUAACAGAGGACUCAUUCAUAUCACAGUAGAACAUCCAAAGAAGAUGAACAGGGUUUGACAUAUUAUCAAACAGAAAUAUUUGAGGCAAUACCUUCAGUGCUCUCUUCUUGAGCUUGUUCAUUACAGUGAAUUGCUUGAGCCUCGCCCGCACAGUUUCACCUAAAGAAACAUUUGGAGCUUUCUUUGCAUUUAGUAACCAAGGAUGAUCUGCAAGAACAAGAUGUAUGUUUAUUAUAUUAUGAUUCAGAAGUUUUUAAACUCAUAAGCAAAUCCUUCUAGCAACAAAAGUUUCAUUUAUACUAAACAAUAAUGAUUGUCAUUCACAGAACGGAACAUUACCUAGAACUUCCUGGGCUGUAAGCCUCCGCUUUGGGUCAGGAUUAAGCAUCUUCUUCACAAGGUCUUUUGCAUUAUCAGAAACCUUAGGCCAGGGGUCUCUCUUAAAAUCUACAACAGACCGUAUAAUUGCUUGUGCAACUCCCUGUUCAGUUUCUGCACAGCAAGAUAAUAGAUUUGAAGUCAGAAAUUAUCAGAGAUUAUAACGCUAGGAAAGCCAGCAAGCAAAUUAGAAUUCAUAGGAGCAAAGAGAAAUUAGAAAAGUGGAAACUUCAUUCCAUGGUCUUUAUUCUACUUGAAUGCACAUAGAAAUGCAUUUGCCAUAACUAUAAUUUGGUGACUGCCACUUAUGCUAGUAAGUAAAUUCCUAACCUACAGCACAUAAGCUUGUAUUUUGAUAACAGCAAUUCCAAAUUCUGAUUCUAUUCGUUAUCAGUUGAUGAAAAUUAACGUAUUUGGAUAAUAUAUUGGCAAACCAUGGUCCAUGCGUCAACAGGGUAAGCGCACAGAUAGAGUAUACGUGGUGAAUGUGAAGUUUAAUAUAGUGUUCCCCUCUUAAUGUUUUCAGUGAGAAUAUAGGCAGAUGCAGCUUGCAUGGCUAUCUAGAGUGAGUGGGAGUGUUAAGUUGCAAAUACCACUGAAAAUUAUACGUACUUACUUUUUCUGAACAUACUUAAGUCCAAGAAAGUAUUCAUAAAUGUAUACAUGUCCAACAUGCAAGUAUGCAUGUAUGACCAUUGUGUAUAUGUAGACACUUUGGCAUGACCAUGUAAGGUACUUAACAUGCAUAAAGGUAAUCACUGUCCAUCAGGAGUUGUAACUCCACUAAGGAAAAAAUAUUAAACCCACACGUGCGCACACACACACACACGCACAAACCUGCCCAAAAAGGUGGAACUCCACAUAGUAAGAUGUAAAGUAUAACUCCAGCGCUCCACACAUCUACUUCAGGACCAUAAUCGCGCCUUAGCACCUCAGGGGCCAUGUAAUAUGGACUUCCAACAAUUUCAUUAAAUUUUUCACCUGGUAAUGUACAUGAAAAGAUAACACAUCGGUUAAACUAAACAAAACAAGAAAACCAAAUGUGAUAGUCUCGAGAAGACUUUACCUGGUUUAAAGAACACUGACAACCCAAAGUCGAUUGCCUUUAAAGCAGCUGUUUCCUUCUUGUUUGCAAACAAAAAGUUCUCGGGUUUGAGAUCCCGAUGCAUCACACCAUGCUUGUGGCACAUCUGCAACAGAAUUAAACACAUUAACUCAUGCCAACGCAUGUAAAACUAUUAAAAGGUGGAUUCCUCAAAGAAUAAAUCUUGUGAAGGAGAAUCUGUUCUAUAGAUAACAAGGAAAAAGAAUCAAUUCACCUAAUUCCAGCAAUUACAAUCUGACCAUCGAAAGCUAGAUUAACUGAUGUACAAAGAAUAUACUCAUCAAAGAAUUAAACAACCCAACUUACCCGAAAGAAUUUUAUCAGCUACUUCUUUCUAAGUACUACAGGGUAAUCAACUGACUAUUUUCUAUCUAUUCAACAAAGAUCUAAAUUUACAAGAAGCAGAAUUAGUUCUAAAUUUAACCAUAGUCUAGCACUUCCAAAACCAAAUAGUUCUUUUAAAUAAAAUCAAUCCCCCACUGCAUAAAUUCAACAACAAAAACUCAAAAGAAGAUCCAAUCACCAAUCGAACAGCAUCACUCAAAACCACCCAAAUUCUCACCUGAACAACUUCCACAAUAGUCUUCGUGACGGCGGCAGCCGCGCGCUCUGUGUAGUGGCCUCUGGAAACGAUUCGAUCGAACAACUCACCACCCUCACAGAGCUCCAUGACAAGAUGGACAGCAUGGUCAUCCUCAUAUGUGUCUUUCAAGCUCACUAUGUUGGGGUGCUUAGGCAAAUGCUUCAUGAUCUCAACUUCUCUCCUUACAUCCUCGAUAUCCACAGCUGUCCUCAGCUUAUUCUUCGAAAUCGAUUUACAAGCAAAUUUAUCGUUGGUUGCCUUAUCGAUGCAAAGAUAUGUAAUUCCAAACUCUCCUCGGCCGAGCUCGCGACCCAGUUCGUAUCUUUGCUCGAUUUCAACGCCAGUUGGGUCUUUCAGCACAGAGAGCUUGAUGCCUCCAUUGCCCUGGUUGCCGGGGUAGUCUAUUGCAAAUGGGUUCUUCCUGUUCUUCUUGUCUUUCAACGGUGAACCCGUUUGAGGGGUCACACAACAAUUACCCAUCUAUAAUAAUAAUAAAACGCUUUGUGUGCCAAAAUGGUUUCCGAAUUUGAACACAGUUCCGGAACGAAUCGAAAUCUGAGCUCUUUGGAUAAAAAUAGUAUAUGGUUUUUUGUGUUUGAGAUCCAAAUUGCUCUGCAGCCCAAUUGUAAUGAGAAUUUUCAGAUAAAGGAUCGGAAUUUGUAGGAAGUAUUUUUGGGAUGAAAUGGAAGAUGACCAGAAUUUGAUAUGAGGGAGGUGAUUUAAGGAAAUGAAGAGAGAGGGUUUUGGGUUUGGAAUUGGAGAAGAGGCUGAGAAGGAGAAUUUAGCGUGUGAAAACCACCAUUUGAUGAAAGAGAGAGAGAAAGACAGAGAAAGGGUCCAGCCUCUUUCGCAGAGACUUCCGCAGAGACUUCCCUCCUACCCGCUCUUUCUCUCUCUAGACUACCUCUACCUCUCUUCAGACGCAGUUGGAUAGACAGAUGGAAAUUUAGAGAGAGAGUCCAGAUUCCAGAAGGGGAGAGCUUUGUUGUUUCCUAAAAUAUUCAAAACAAAAUUUAAUUAUCUCUAUUUUUUAAGGUGCAUAAACUAUGCCCUCAAUCUAGGUUCAAAAUUACAAAUUACAUCUAAUUUUGUUGUUUACCAUGUCUUUUCUCUUGGUAUUGACAAUAGUACCCCCGUUGCCAUCUCUUAUAUUUUGAUAUAAUUUGUUGUAUAUAAAGAAAAAGAAAAAGAAAAACAAACUAUUUAUUGAUGAAGAAUAAUAACAUCAUUUUCAGGUAGGAUCAAUAUACAUGAAUUCCAAAUGAGGUUUUGUUUGUUCUAAAAAAAGUACAUCAAAAUUAGAGUUCGACAUUUCAAAUCGUAAACGGGUCGACUUAUUAAAUUAAACUGAAUGGUUCGGUUUGGAGCUAUUUUUUUUUUAUUUAUCUAUAAUUUGUAGUGAUAAAUGAAAUUGAGCCGGCUAGCUCAAUCAUGUUCUCAUCUUUUUCUUUCUCACGUGGUGAGACCCUCGGAUCUUCUUCUCUUCUCUUUGUCUCUCUCUCUCUCCGCCUCUUUCAUCUCCUUCGUCAGCUUGAUCCAACUUCAUUAAUUUUUUCAUCUUGCCUUAAUUUUCUCCAAUUAAUCUUAAAUCCUCUUGUAUAGAAGGUUUUUCCCUCUAUGAUAGUAUUCCAAUUUCUUACAUUAACAUUACGUUAUCAAAAUUUAUACAAUGAAUUAACUACUUCAAGAGAUAGGUUAACCUAGUCGAUAUGAGAAAUUAGAUCUCUAGCUAAUGGUUAUUUGCGUUCAUCAUGCGUUGAUUAUCUUCAUCAGUUGAAUCAUCUCCGUCAUACCUCCUUGGUCUUCUUCAUGAUCAGCUUAAUCCAACUCCAUCACUUUUCCAUUAUCUCUUGUUCUUCUUUAAUUUUUCUUUUGUUUUACUUCUUAGGGAUAUCUUGCCCACUAUGAAAGUGGCUCAAUAGUAUUCCAAUAUUCAUGCAUUAACAUAAAUAUAUAUCUCUAAUAAAUGUAGUCCUAAUAUCCAAGACAUUUUAAGUACCAUCAAUUACAUUCUCAUUACUAAUUUGAAGUCACCUUUGUGUAUAUGUCCGGAGAGAAUUCUCAAAUAAACUCAUUGGUUUUUUAUUUUUAUAAUAUGUGUUAUUCUAAACUAAUAUACGAGAAAUAAAAUCGAACUCGGAUGCAAAGAGACUAACACACACUGAUUAACUGACUUAAUCCACAUAUUAUAUGCAAAUAAACUCAUUGAUUCGAAUACUGUAAAACAUGUUCUUUAUAUCAUAAAUACACGGAAGGUACGUACAAAUAUCAUUAGAUUAAGAAAUCUGAGCAAGGUACUACGAACAAUGGGUAAUUAGAAAAAUACAAUUGUAGCCCCUACAAUGGAUAAUCUCUCUCUCUCUCUCUCUCUCUCUCUCUCUCUCUCUCUCUAUAUAUAUAUAUAUAUAUAUAUAUAUAUAUAACACCAUUAUCACCAUUGGCAUACACAGAUCUUAGUUGACUCGAUCACCAUCUUUGAUUCAUAUAAAUAAAUAUAUGAAAUGUAGUUCCUGCAUUGAUCCCAAUUAUAUUAUGUUUACCUCAAAAUAGAGGUUUUCGGUGGGCCUAACUUUAAAGAAAAAAAAAUUCAUGGAUCAAAUUUUAAGUUUUAAAUUUUUGAAAAAUUUAAAAUUUACUUAGUUAUAAUAAAUAAAAAAUAUAAUUGAGAGGUGCUUUGAAAAUUAUAAGUAAAAAUUUAAAAUUUACUUAGUUAUAAUAAAGAAAAAAUAUAAUUGAGAGGUGCUUUGAAAAUUAUAAGUAAAAAUUUAAAAUUUACUUAGUUAUAAUAAAUAAAAAAUAUAAUUGAGAGGUGCUUUGAAAAUUAUGAGUAUUUAAUUAACAUAAUAUGCAUACAAGUUUGACUAUAUAAAAAAUAAAAAUAAGUGCUAGUCUAGUAAAUAAGAAGAGAAGUUAGGGCAAUAUUGUGAUAACGUAAAGGGACAAAAGGCUUGGUCAUUUUCUGGCCGACACGCUUGCAUUCAGUUGACAAAAGUGACCUACUCUCUAUCCUUCUCGUUUUACACACAACUUCUUGCUCUACAUAAAAUUAGAUAUAAAAGACAAAUCUAAUGGAUUAUGCGCACGUGGCUCUAUUUAACUGGCUGGCCUUGUUCAUCGUAGACCUUCUAGAAGCCAACCGAAAACUUUGGUGGGGGCGUGAGAGAGCGACUAAAAUAUACAAGGGGUUGCCUUCCCAAUUUAAUUCAGUAUAUUCCACUGACUAUACAAAUUAUCUCGGAAGGGUAAUUUUGUCCGACCAGGAGAUUUUUAUAGCCUUUAUUGACCGCCAAGGCCCGCCAACCAUUAACUGCCAAAUGAUUAGUAUUUGUCAUAAGGGUUUUUUUUUGAGAAGUGGGCAUUUGAACCCGUGAACCGAGUCGGAAAAAACGAAAAAAAAUUCGUGUUGACAAAAAAAAUGUCAAUCUAGACUGAAAAAUUGAAUUAGACUGGUUUGGAUCGAUUUUUACCCCCGAUUCUUAUCUUGAAAAAAUUAAUCUAAACCAAACUCGACCGGUUAUAUUAAUUUUACUUAUUCAAUUUUACAUAAAAUUAUUAGUAAGCUUAAUUAAUAUUCAACUAACAUUAUUAAUUCCAAGUAAUAUUUAGAUAUUUUAGCACAAUUAAUACUCAGAUGUUUAGUUCUAAUUUAUACCAAACUAAAUAACUAAUUUAGUCCAAUUUAUUUUUCUUUUCGAUGAACCAUACUCGUUCUUGUUAUGCUUCUGCCUUUAUCUCUUUUCCACCUUUUUUUUUUUUUUCAUUUCUCGUCCUCUCUUCUAACUCUUUCUUAAUUUAUACUCAAUUAAUACUCUUUCUUAUAUAUAUAUAUUAUACUUCCUAUUUCUCCAUUCUCCACAUAUUUAUAUUUUUAUCUUUCCAAUUUGAAAUUCGGGCUGAAUUGAACUGGAACCGUAUUGGUCCAUUUUGGUUUGGUUCUGCUAUACACUUUCUAUAAAAACCGAAUCGAACUAGAACAUAUGAAAAUUCUGAUUUCGUUUUUAAUUCAAGAGGAAAACCAAACCAAAUCGGACCAUACCUACUCCUAGCGUUUAUUACAAUUAUAGUUUCAAUCCUUUUUUUAACUACACAAAUCCUCUUCCACCUUUCACUCCUCCAUCCUUUUGUUGUUUCUCUUUGAAUUCAUUCAAUUUGGAAGAUAAUUGGAGCCCUUUGGGCUGUAUAUGGGUGAGUGGAGAGGUAAUUGGCACUGCAACAAGAGUUUUUUAUUUUAUUUUUUAUUUUUUAUAAAUAUAAAUAAUAAUUUAAACUAUAAGAAAAGAGAAAUUUUCACACACACUAUUAAAAUAUUAUAAAAUUUUGAAUAUAAGACUACGAAUCUGCAAACUAAUGCUCAUUUCUAUUUGGCAAGACCCUAUUGGUUUUUUAGGUCGUCCAUGCCAACAAAAAUGUCCGAAUAAAUAAAAAGCUUGCAUCUGUCUCCAAGCAGGCACAGGGGGCCCAGCCGUCCAGGGAUGGGGCAAAAAGGACAGUUUCGUCAUUUAACGAAAGAAAGAUAUAAUGGCAUCAAAAGCGUCGCCCUCCGAUUUUGGCAUAUGGGUGACCAGUCAAGGAUGACGAUUUUGACUCGUGGAUACAACAUGUCGAAUUUUGGAGUUGCCAAGUAGACACAACUUGUAGCCUUUGAGUGGAUUUUUUUAAAAAAAAAAAUCUUCGUGCUCCUUUAUUUUUGUGACUCUUAUUAUGUGACGUCAAGGCACAGAAUUUUAUCCUGAUUUUGGUUGUCAGACCAUGAAUUUUUUUAAAAAAAUAAAAAAAAUAAAAAAAACUGACAGCAAUUGGUUGAUGCUUAAAAUUGGACUCAGCAGCUCUGAGCCAGCUGGAAUACCUGAGGAAAGUGAACGCCACAGAAAUCUUACAAGACAAUGAAGACAAAAUCGUAAAUAAAUUCAAUUAGAAUUGGCAUUUAAUAGAGUGUUUUGUGAAUCGAGAUCAUUAUGUUAGGUUUAUUAUGAUGUCGUAUUUUAGUGCGAUGAUAAUGAGUGUAAUUCCAUCACUCGGUUUAUUACGAUAACAAGUGAAAUUGUUAAAAAGUUAGAUGAAUUCAAGUUACACUUACAAUUAAUGAUCUAAUUAAUAGAAGUUCGUUUGAACAAAGUAUAACUUGAGUUCAUCUAACUUGUGAAUAGUACUUUGUUUGGCUUUGCCGCAUGAUGAGUAAGCAACAUAAUUAGGCUUAAUUACUAAUUUGGACUCAUUAGAAAGCUCAGAUAACCUCAUAUGUUUUGCUAGUAGUCAUUUUUUAUUUAAUGAAAAUAGAUAUCAUUAACUCAUGAGAGAUUACCAUGCUAAAAAAGAACAUCAUGAGGCUCCUCAAAACAAGCACAAGCUUUCUCAAUAUGCAAGCCAAAAUCUAACUAGAUGAUGAGUCGGACCAUUAGUACUAUGACGAACAUGAACAAAGAUAUUGCAGUGACAACUCAUAAAAACUCUUUUGUAUCCUUGAUAAUGGGUGGUGCUAUGCACAGGCAGGCUGGGUGUCUACCCAGCUCAAAUUAUUAUAAUUUUGUUAAAAUUACCUACAUGCGUUAUAAGUCCAUUCCAAAAUUUAAAAAAAUUAAAAGCAAAUUCUGCACAUAUGUUGCCCAUCCAGGUGGUCCUAUAUCUUCUCUCUCGUUGCUAUCAGGCAUUAGCAAGUUUCUCUCUUUUAUUUUUUGGGUCAAAUUCUCCUUCUAUUGGCUAUAUCUUCUAUUAUCUUGGGUGGGCAACUUGGCAACAACAUAUUCUCAUCUCCUUUUGUUAACAACAAGUGUUAUUCUCAUUCUUUCUAUUGCUAUAUAUCUUUAAUUAUAGUUUUAAUUUAAAAUUGAGUAAUUUAGGAAUUAAGGAUGAAUAAUAAUUUUGGAAUUUUGUUGAAAUUAUUUAGGGCUUUGAUUAGUGAUGAAUUAUUGUAUGGAUUUGAUUUGAGAUCUUCUUAAAAUUGAGUAUUUUAGGGUUUAAUUAUGGAUGAAUUAUAAAUUUUGGUUUGGUAUUGUUGAGAUGCUAUUAUGAAAAUUUGUUUGAUUAAAAUUCUUUCUACAUAUUAUUCAUAGGCUAUCCUUUAAGAGUUCCAAGCCUCGCAUAGUUAAAUUUUAGAUUUAAAUAGUGUUGUUUUGUAUUACAUUGCAUUUACUUUUGGUUUUAGUUUUAGCUUUUGUAUUUGUUGAACUUUUAUUUAUGGAUAGAGAUGCAUUUGAGGGUAUGGCUCCUAAGUAGGUGUAUAUUUGUGUGUUUAUUAAUGAAAUGCACUCGUAUCAUCAAGUUUAGUAUGUAAAUUUUGCCCAACUAGCUUUUGAAUUCUGAACUGCCCACAUGCCCAACAAGCGACAUAUAGUGACCCAAAUGAUGAAUACAGUUGAAAUAGUCUGGAAGGAUGCACCCUCAAAGGCAACAUAAUGGAAGCCAAAAUAGAUCACCAUACAAUUAAAUGCUUACUAAUGGGCGGUGCCAACGUUGCUUUGACAAUAUUCCAAGAUAAUGGUUAGGUUUCAUGACAAGUUAACCAAAAUGUUGGUUGAAAUGCACCACAUUUCAUUCAUAGUUGCAUGGAAUGGAAGCAAUUGGAAGCCACGCGUCACUUGUUUAUUUAACGGGGCCUUGUAUUGUGCUUCACCCACAAAGUUUAUAUUGGUCGCAUUUUAGUUCAUCUUCCACAUGCAUUUUUCAUCUCUCUCUCCCAUUUUCAAGUAUUAUUUACGUUUUUCACCAAUGGAUGAUACAGUCUUAUGCACUUGACGUCGAUUGCAAUUAAAAAAAGAGAGAAGGGGUUUGGGUUUUUGUUCUUUGUUCAUCCGAGGGGGGCAUAAGCAAAGUGCCACUGCUAUUUAGGCCUACAAAUCCUAUUAAAGAAUAAUUUUAAUCGCUGUCAACGAUAAUUUCAUCUCGUGAUAUUUAGUCUCUACUUUGUUGGAUAAAAUAUAUCGAGCUCAUGAACAAAAGAGCUUCCAUCCAAAAGAGAGAUAAGUACCCAAAUGGAAUCUCACCAUUUUCACUAUAGCAAUAUAAGUUUCAGGUGAAAAGAAGUAAUAACGUGCCCGAAAUAGACAUAAAAACACAAAAAGAGUGCAUCGGUUGAAUUCUGGUUGGGUAAUAACGAGACAACCAGUAUAAGCCUGGAUCCAAUGUAAUGAUACAAAGCUUUGUUCCUUUACACUUUUACAACAUGCUGUCACUGUUGACUGAACUUUCACUUCAAUGAGGUUGGCAUGGAAAUUGAGUGGAAAAAGUAAGCUUGGAACUUGAAACUUUUGCAAUCUUGGUGGCUUGCACCUUAGCGAUCAUGAGAAGCUAAUGAUCUUUUGCUUUUCAAGUAAAAUUACAAAGUAAUAAUCAUAUUUGAUUCACGAUACACAUAUCAGAAGCAUGAAAGCACAGUAGAAGCUACUAUUUAUCAUUUCUAUCUUAAAGCUUAAGCUAAGUAUUUUAUCUUUCUUAUGAAAAACACCUUUGAAAAAAGAAAAAACCCAACCACAAAUUUGAAAUUUCUCUUCUCCUUUUAUAGAUGAAAUAAUAAUGACAAUUCUAAGGAGAUGCUUCUGGAAAUUUCCACAAGCGCAACUCUGGAAAAUUUCAUGUGGUGGUACUUAUAAUUCUUGUCAGUUUAGCAUACACUAGCAGUGGAGGAAAUCAUUUUGUGGUAGAGAAAGACCAAGUAAAUGCCAUGCCAUGUCAAAUUUCAAAAUUGGUCGCAAGUCAUAUGCUGCCAACCAAACAUGUUUAUUUAUUUCAAAACCAGUCACUUUCGUUGGCGGUACGUGUAAAGUAUUGUUGGUGCCAAGUCAAUAAUGGACUUUGUUGAAUCAGCCUCUCUCUUGUUAAACUCGGAAGUUUUGGUCGUUUGCUUUGCCAGCCAUUCCCAACAAUAACUUUCAUAAAUUAUAAAAAGUCAACGACCUACUGGAGUUUUUUUUUUUUGGGUCAACACCAACUGAAGUUGAAAAUUACCUGGUUUUUAAUUGCUCUUAUGGUCCCCACUCUUCAUAUGUGAUAAACUUAAAUAUAAAAAAAAUAUUACUGAAAAAAAAAAAUAUUAUUAUCCAUUUUUAAUAUUUGCGUUUAGAUACAAAUACUUGUAAGAAUAUAAAACAAGAAUGUGGCUGUAGUUUAGUGGUAAGAAUUCCACGUUGUGGCCGUGGAGACCUGGGCUCGAAUCCCAGCAGCCACACUUUCAAUCUUUUUUAUCUUUUUUAUUUUAUUUUAUUUUUAUGUUCAAAGAAAUUCGACCCUCCCUUAUUCUAGGCUUUUAUCAUUAAUUUCUUUGUUUUAAAAAAAUAAAAAAUAAAAAAUUUAUGAGGAGGUAUAUUCAAACUUGAUUACAAGAGGCCGGACUCACUGUUCUAGCCGAUGGCCUACUCCUUUCUUGUUUUUUGCGUGGAAUUUCUCUGUUUUUAAAAAAAAAAUGAAUGAGGUAGUUGGAUUAAUCCCCUUGUUACGAAAUGCUUCAUUUAUUUAUUUCAUUUAUUUAAAAACAUCAGUCUUAUGAUUAACAUCUAAAUUGUUCUCACCUAUAUUUGAACCCUCUACUGUAUUAAGAAUGGAAUCAGAAGCUUCUAUUUAACUUCAAAAAUACUUACAAGCAAAACAAGAAAAUAUAAUUCAAAUAUAUUAAUGACUCGUUCUAGAUGCCUAAAAAUUUCUUGUGUGGGACCAAGCUUGGUUCUAGACACACAUGAUUACCAUGGAUGACUGACACACCAAAUGAGCAAAAGACCCAGCUGCUUCCAUUAAAAUUGACUUGGCCAGAAGAAGCUAAGAAACAUGAAAGCUGGAACUUUGCUUUGGUCUCAAGUUAACUAACUCAAGCAAAUCCAACUUUCUUGAGCAUAAACAGGCUUUCAUAUCCAAGUCUACUCAAUCCUCAUCUUUCUGGUAAUCUUACCCUAAGACCGUAAAACUUUCUCCGAAAGACCAAAACAAAACGGCAGUAACACUAUUCAUGACCCAACAUAUGAAGACAUAAGAACAGCUUCAGUAUAAAAAAAAUACGUUCAGGGCCACAUCUGUCUCUGUUAAGUGUCAAACAUGGGAUUUUUUAAUAGGAGAGUGAGUGAGCGACAUAACGUACCUGUUAAGCAACUGACUGCAGGCCUGAGCUCGAACAAGAACCAGUCAAAACUCAAAAAAGACAAAUCAUAUUGCAUCACUGGCUAAAAAUUAUUUUUCCAUUAGCUUAAAAUAGCAGAUACAGUUACUCGGUAAAACAAAACCUAUCGUCUUUCGGCCAAUUAAAUGUUUGAUACUUGUAGUCUUCAUUACAACUCAACAUAAAAAAUCUUCGUCAACCCACUCGUCUUCACAUCAUCAGUGAACAUCUUCUAGUAGUACAAUGCUGAAUCUUGAUCUUUUAUAUAUACAACCAAUAUUGCAAAACUUGACUUACUCUGUGUUGAUGUCUAAAAACGUGACUUUCUAUCGUUGAUUUCUCAAGUGACUCAACAAAUAUGUGAUGAGUUUCACAAAUACUCAUCAGCCCACAUGGUAUAUAUUUACAAAACUACCUGUUUGAUUUCUUUGAGAACUUUGGGUUUUUGCACAUUCGGAUACUCGAAGGAGUAACCUCCACCAGUUCAUCCUCUUGAAUAUACUCAAUGCAGUCAUCCAGACUGUAGUCCAAUGGGGUAUCAAGAAUCACUGGAACAAAAAAAAAAGAAAAAAAAGAAAGAAAAGGAGAUUCUAGAUUAUUAAUUGCCAUAAAUAAACUGAGGAUUGUUGCUGCAAAUGUACAAACUCAAAAUAUUGAUUUACUUAUAAAAGAGAAGAAAACAUGUGAACCCAACCAUUUUGUAAGCAAUCAAUUACUAAGUAGAUUAUUGAAGUCGGAGAAUGGAGAGACCUUCAGAAACUACUAGUCUAAGAAAAAGGCUACUGCAUGGAGAGACCUUCCAGAAACUAAUAAAAAGCCUACACUGGUUCUGGCAAAUAUUAUGAUACCACCCCCAUUAAACUUAAGAAAUAUCCUAUGUCCUUGUAAAUAUAGGGAUAAUUCUGUUCUGAGAAAAGGAGCAGACAUUAGAAACACGAAGAGCAAAAGUGAAAUAUUAUGAAAAUUCAAUCCAUGGCUUGCUCCACAGAGAAUACAAUUCAUUAUUGCGUCUAUCUUAAAGUACUGUUAACAAUGGAUAAAAUAGCUUACAAAUACUAAAGUAACAAUUUGUUUAGACAAAAUUGAAAUGUUCGAACACAUUUUAGUCUUUGUUAUUAACUUCUCUUCUCUUUCUUUGUGAGAUGAAGUCGGUGCUAUUAACUUAAAACAGCUAAACCUCACCCAAUAUACAGUCACGGUCAGCACAUCAUAACUUAAGAAAUGUAAAGUUAACAAUAUCAGAAACGGUAUUAACUCUUUUACCCGAGACAUGAGAUAAGUAGAACAGGUACUAUAGUUGCUUCUCACCUGUUACAUCUUUGUUGGAACGGAUGUUUGUUGCAGCCUUCUUCUUACACACAUUAAGGGAUAAGUCCCCAGGCCGCUGAUGGAUGCCAACUAUCUGACCUUUAUAAACUUCCACGCCAGGACCAAUAAACAACUGCCCCCUCUCCUGUGAACUAGAAAUGGCAUAAGAAGUACUCGUUCCACCCUCAAAGGCAACCUGAAAAUAUUGCAAUUCAAUUUAGUCAUCCUGACACAAGGGAAGGGAAACACACAUGCAAACGUGUGCAGAGCACAUAUAUGAUCUUUACUUCUCUUUUGGAUGAUUUGUUCUCAACACUAGAUGUGCAAAAAGGGUGCAUGUGAUAUAACAACUGUUGUGGUCACUACCAUACCAGACAUUGACAAAGGCUUUCCACCACCAGGACUAAUAAAGUCAAACCUUAAAAUAUAACCACAAUCUCAGAAAUUACCAGUGAGCCCAGAUCCCGGGUACUCAUAUCACCAGCCCAAGGUCCAUAGCUAUCAAAUAUUGUGUUGAGAAUCGCAGUGCCACGAGAAGCUGUUAAAAUUGCAUUUCGCAGACCAAGAAGGCCACGAGUUGGAAUUUUAUAUUUGAGGAAGGUUGUGCCUUCCGACCUAGCACAUACAAAAAGUCCAGAUAAUCAGACAUCUGUUGCAUUCACCACGCAGCAAAUUCAACCAAUAACUGCCAACAAAAGUAGAGUAAAAGUACAGAUGUAAAAGUGGAGUAUAUAAUAACACUGUGACACCCCACAGUACCCGUGCGCUUGGGGGGAAUUGAACAGAUGACAACAAAAUAUUAGUCCAUUAAUUUUCUUUUGGUUACAUAGCUUACUAAUUUCAAAACCAAUUACUUUAUAAGAGCGAUCUACAUUGAUACUGUUGCUGCACCAGUUUAGGAAAAGAGUGAAAAUGAUAUCCCUGAGUAGCUGACAAGAAAUGGCGUAAAAAAUGUACUAUACAAAUAUCUACUGGUGAAAUAAUCUCUCACGAGGUCUUCAUUAUGGGCUGGGUAUUCUUUUUUUUUUUUUUUUUUUUUUUUUUUGCCAUGAUUAUGGGCUGUUCAGUUGCAUUAAUGUUGCACCUGCAUGUGCGGAUGCAUAAGAUUGGUAACCAAUCUUAUUUUUGGGCAUUUACUGUAUAUCACAUCUGUAGAUCUAUCCUUUACAUAAUGCAAACUUCUGUUGAACCUGUAACCAAUAUGCUGCUACACAGUUUCAUUGGUAGAGUUAUAAAGACAGUUAUGUAAUAAUCAAGCAUAGUUUUUUGCCUUUGGUUCUAAUUUUAUGCAUUACUUUGAAUUUAUUCAAAAGAUGAUUAGUCAAAAAUGAAAAUAGAAGCAGAAAAAUUCUACAUACCCAACCCCUUGCAUAUCAAACAUCUGCCCCCGUCUUUUGCCAAGAAGCUCAACGACAGCGCCCAUGUGUUCUUCUGGAACCUCCACAGUGGCAAUCUGCAAGCAAUCCACAUGAUACAAAUGACUGAUAUCAGAAGAGUGGUAGCAUGAUUUGUAACUUAUCAGGAACAUUUUUGACCAAAAAGAAACGUGAAUCAUUUGGAAAUAUCUGUGCUAUAUUUGUAAAAAGCAAGGCAUCACAAUUCUUAAGAAAUAAAUACUGCAUUUAUUAUUAUUUUAAAGUAAUAUCACCAUGUGCCUUAUUUCUAUUCAAAUUGUUUCGAAACGAAGCAUAAAUAUUGGUCUUCAACUAUAACCGUAGCUAUUGACCUUUCACCCUUUACCUAAACAUCAACCAUUAAAAAAACAUUUAAACAGAAAUCACCUCAUAUGGUUCCAACAACUUGUCAUUCACCCUUUUGUUAAUGACUUUGGGAGGUCCCACCAUGAAUUCAUACCCUUCUCUUCGCCUACAUUGAAUAACCAUUUAAAAUUGUGUAUGCAGAAGAAUAGGAUUAUGUAAUAACAACAAAAUAACUGUACUUACAUGUUCUCUAUCAAUAUGGUAAUAUGUAAAGUACCCCGUCCACUAACAAUGAAGGUAUCUGCUGUUUCACCAUCUUCAACCUUCAUAGCCAAGUUACGCUCAAGCUCACGAGAAAGACGAUCUCGUAAGUUCCUACUCGUAACAUACUUCCCCUGAAAUAUAGGAAACCAAUUUCCAAUCAAAAUGCCAAACAAGACAACAAACCCUCGAUCACUUAAUAUGGUACCACCACUAAUUGACACAGACAUGUUAAAAAGAGAUAUUGAUUAGGGGGCACCUUAUGCUGCCAGAUAAUUUGGCAUGCUAUGUUGCAAGACUGUCAAUAUGGACCAUGAUUAAAUGGACCCGGAUUCCCAUUCUGACAUCAUAAUAUGCCAAAUAUCUGGCAGGAGAAUUACCCUAUGUAUGUUAUAUGGAAAAUUGCUCAUCCAUUGCAUUUUUAAAGUCCAGACGCUAAGCUCGAAUCCCCUUAUAUCUUCUGCUCCAUUACUGACAGGUUUAAUAUUUUCAGGUGUAGAAUCUCCUCAUUAGGGAUCAGGUUUUGUAUUUUAACUCUCAGUUUUUUGAUGCACAAUUUAACAACAAAAUAAAAAUGCAUUCAAACAAUCGUAUUAUGGCUUUCUAACGCCAACACAUUUGAAGUGCAAGAACAUCUAGGCAUCCAUAUAUGUAAGAACAUACCUCGCGUCCAACAAAUGGUGAAGUGUUUAUAGAGAAAGCCAUUUUCACAGUUGGUUCCUCCACCUUAAUUGCAGGUAAUGGUGUCCCAUUGGUCUUAUCAGCAAUUGUCUCGCCAAUCUAAAUAAAUUAAAAAUAUUAAAAUCAGCCAUGAAAUAUCUCUGAGAUUUUAUAAAAAUCAUAUGCCAUAUAUCAAUGCAAAACUAUUAAGUUGUCACCUGAAUAUCAUUAAUUCCACAAACAGCACAUAUAUCACCAGCCUCCACACUUUCUGCAGGAACCCUACUGAACUUCUCGUACACAAAGAGCUCACUAACUCUUGCAAAUCGACAUGAAUCUUCUGAGGUGCAUACCUAUAAAAAUCGAACCAUAACCAGAAAUUAAGAAACAUGUUUCUUUUUCUGUAUAGUAGCCAAUGAAUGCGAUCACAAAGCAUUAACAUAAACUACAGUAGACCAAAAGGAAAUACAUAGGUAUGGAUAAGAUUCCAAAAUUCUAUCCGAGUAUCAUUGGUUUUAUGGGAAUUAGUUAUAGAUCCUUGCAUUGCAUUAAUAUGUUAGCAACCAGAGAUCAUGUAAUGAAAAGAAAAAGGCUAGAAUGUAGCAUAGAACAUAUUCAAGAUUUGGCUCAAAAUCACCUUCACAUCCAUCCCCUUCUUCAGAAUCCCAGCAUGCAAGCGUCCAAUAGCUAUUCGCCCUUUGUGUUCAUCAUACUCGAUAUUUGUAGCCUGAAAUAUUAAAUACAGAAUAAGAUAUAUGAUGCUCAUGCAAAGUAAAGUUAAAAGUAAAUGAGGAGCUAAGGUUUAUAGUAACAAUUUAAAGCCGUACAAUAUCAUGCAACAUUUAAUUAUAAUGUAUAACAAAACAAGAACGAUUAAUAUAAAAGGGUCUUGUUCUUCAUCUUCCACUAAUCAAUUUCAAUUAGUCAAGAUAUUAAAGAGUCUGAGCCUCCUUUGACUCUUCUCUCAUACUGAAAUGGUGUGUACUGCAUCCAGGUCUUUAUAUGCAGACCCCUGUAGUUUCAUUAAUUGAUCAGCCUUUCUUGAUGCAAUAGUUCGUUGUAAAGGUCAAGAUCAGUGAAUGAGCAUUAUAAAAUAAAAAGAGAAAGAAUGAUGACAUUAAAGAAAAACCACUAACAAGCAUUUGCAGUGAACCAUCUUUGUCGAUAGCAGGUCCAGGUAUGCAUCUCAUUAUGCUCUCAAAAAGGGGCCCAAGAUCAUCUGCCAAAUUAUCCGCUGACAACCCUGCCUUUCCUUUAAUCCCACUAGCAUAUAUUGCUUGGAAAUCACACUGCAUGUAAAAUGAAUGUCGGAAUGAGGUUAGACUUUUACAUGCAUUUAACAUUGAAGCAGCAGUGCAAUCCAAAAGCGUCAUAGACAAGACAAUUAAUAUAAAGAGGCGAUCUCAGGGAUAGAUCACUUUGUAGCUUUCCUAAUGUGAUCGACAUUUCAAACACGUUUUAGAAGGAAAUUUCUUGCCAUUAUAUCCCAUAGCAACCACAAACUAAUUCCAUGUAGUCCAAGAUGCCUUUUCACUGACCCAGAUAUAUCGAUUCAAAGGCAAUAGGUUUCAAAUACAGGGCCAGGUUUGAGAAACAAACAGAAUUCCAAAUGGCCAAAAUCAACCAGUAAUGUGAAUUCUAUGUACGCCACUCCUUCAACAUUUAGUUACCUGUUCAUCAGUCGCAUUUAAUUCAAUAAAGAGUUCAAAAGUGGAAUUGAUGACAAAAUCUGGACGAGCUGAAGGCCUAUCAAUCUUAUUGACAACAACAACAACAGCAUGGCCAAAUUCUAGAGCCUUCUUCAAAACAAAUCUUGUCUGCGGCAUUGGGCCCUCAACAGAAUCUACCUAUAAAGAGAGAAAGAGCAAGCAAAUGAUGACAAGCAAGCACCAUAGGAAAGGAUUAGAUGCCAAAGCAACAGAAGGUGCAAAAGGGUACCACUAGAAGAAUCCCUUCCACCAUAUUGAGGAUCCGUUCGACUUCGCCUCCAAAAUCAGAAUGGCCAGGAGUAUCAAUUAUAUUAAUCUUUGAAUCUUUAUACGUAAUAGAUGUAUUUUUGCUUAGUAUAGUAAUUCCCCUUUCACGCUCUAUAUCAUUUGAGUCCAUUAUCCUUUCCUGAACAAAUUGGUUAUCGCGAAACACCUGCAGAAAAGCCCUAUCAAUCUCAUUUGGAAUUUAUAAUUGACCAACUUAAAUCAUAUAGGAAUAAAAAAAAUUCUACCUUUGAUUGCCUCAACAUUGCAUCAACCAAAGUUGUCUUUCCAUGAUCAACAUGCGCCACAAUUGCUAUAUUCCUUAUGUCACUUCUCCUCAUCAACUUUCUCCUCCUUUCUAAUACAAUAACCCAAAAUUCCCAAUUAGACCAACUUUUCUAAACACAGACAUAAACACAUUUCUUCUCUAAGACAAUAACUCAGUUCCUAAUUAGACCAAACUUAAUCCAACCAACACACACACACACACACACACACACACAAAAGAAAGAAGCAAGCAACUUCUAUGUGACUAAAAUGAAACGUAAAGAAUUGCUGCAGUAAACAGAAAAGAACAGAAACAUAGAAAUGAAGGAUUGCAAGAGAAGAAGAAGAAGUGAAAGUACCUGCGGUGGCGGCUUCGGUGGCUUCAGAGACGGAGCAUUUGAUUGGUGGGUGAGUGGAGAAGGGUUUUGGGUUUCGGGUACGGAGUUUGAGUGUGGUGGUUUUGACCGUUGAAGAAGAAGGUAAGCUGAAACCGAAGAGUUGCUUGGAGAGUGGAAGAGUAGAGGAAAGGCUGGUUCGAGGGUUAGAGUUAGGGUUUGGGAGGGUGAAAGAGGAGCUGUGGAAGCUGCAGGUUGCCAUCUCCAUGGCUCUCUCUCACUCCUCACUCUCUGCUCGCUCACAGUUGCUCAGGCUCAGGGAGAGAGAUAAAGAGGAGAUUUGGCAAAUGAGGCUGCUAUUGGAACUUCCAAAGCAAAGAAAUACAAUUGUGGGAGGCCCUGUUUACUCCACGUCAUCGUUGAGAGGGCCCAAGCUAGGUGCGUCCUCUGUCAUUUAAGAGUCCACAUAGGCCCAUUUUAUUUACCGAGGUGGAUUUUAAAGGAUUUCAAAUUAGUUUAAAAAUUCUGAGAUAUUCAACUAGGAUUUAAAGGAGUAUAAAAGUUUGGCAACGACUACUCUCUUCUUCUUGUUAGCACUCUCACUCGUUGUUCCAUUGUUGCUAUAUCUUCUUUAGUUGGGUUUCUUAGUUCGAACAACGGCUUGACUGGUGGAUAUCAAUUGGUGGAUCUUUAAGUCAAGGUGAGUAUAGAAAAUGUCAAUUUGCUUUGAGGAUUGGGUUUUUUUUUUCCCCUGAAAAGAAACCCAUUGUGAUUUGAGGUUUUUUACAUACAAGAAACCGAAUAUUAUUAAUUUGUAUCUUUUUUUUCUUUCAUGUUGGACAUAAUGUUGAUGUUGAAAAUUUUGUGACUUAUUCGAAAAGCAUUAAGUAGAAUUUCUUAAUUGUAAUGAUAUUAUGAGCUCUGACAUUGAGUUCAUCUUCAACUCAUCUUCAUCAGAAUUGUUGUAUUAUAUAUUGACGUUUGUUAUAAUAUUUAAGCAUGCAAUUACGAAAUUGUAAGCGGAUUUUUGCAAUUUAUGUACGUAACUUGGCAUGCAAUUGGCAAGCUUAUGCAUUUUCAGAAUGCAAUUACCGGCUGAUUAUCCUGUUAUUACAAUUAGUGUACGCAAAUGUCAUGAUAUUUGUAGCCUUGCAUUUUGGUAAUGGAAAUGCAAUAGGUACUUCGAUAUGUCAUAUUUUAAUCCAAUUACCAAUUGGUUAUGCCGACUUUUGUAAUUAGUGUACGCAUAUUGCCAUGUUAUUAGCAGCUUUUUCAAUUUUGAGAAUGUAGAUACAAUAUGUGAUUUGUCAAUGUAAUUGACAAACAGGUAGUGUCAUUUGCAUUCUAGUCUUCCAAUUGACAAACAAGUUGUCCCUUUUGCAUUCCAUUCGAGCAAUUGCCAUGUGGUUGUGAGGGUUUUGAAUUUUCUGUGUGCAAUUAUGAAACAUAGAAUAUCUCAAUAAUGGCAAAUCCUUCAUAAUUAAUUGUAUAUUUAUACUUCUACUAAAUGCAAUUGAUGUGUAUCCAUUUAUUUUCAUAUUAAUUAUAACAUGAAAGACAUGUUACCUAUUUUCAGGAAAUUGAGGUAGAAGCAAGAAAAAACAAUGGAAUUCAGGGCCAAAGCUCCGUACCUACCAUUGAAGGUUAUUUUGCGGAGGUUGAGUCACUCGAAAAAACAAAAAAUGUCUCAUCUUUGCAGUAUUUGGAUGACACAACAGAAGAAAUUACCGAGAUUAGUGGAUGCUUGGAGUAUGAUGAGUUAAACUUCUAAAAUAUGCCCAUGAAUGAUUUAGAGGGGAGGGAGUUUGCAAAUUUUGAGGAAGCAAAAAGAUCUUACUCGAACUAUAGUCUUGCAAUUGGUUUUACCAUAAGAAGAAGCCGUUUAAGACGUAGCAAGGGUGGGGUUGUGACAAAUAGACAAUGGUUGUGCUCAAAAGAAGGGAGCAUAUCAAAGAAAUGGACAAAUAGAGAGGAUAUAGUUCGUACACUAAGGAAAAAGACCAGAGAGAAUCAUUACACCGCAUUUGCUGUGCAAUAUUGUCAUAAACGAGAUGUUUAUAUUGUGAAUAAAUUUGUAAAUGAGCACAUUCACCGACUUGCUCACUCACAUAAGGUGCUUUUUCUUCGCUCCCACCGAUGUGUUAAGGAAUCCGACAUUGCAUAAUCUAUUUCUAUGAGAAAAUGUUCUAAUUUAAAACCAGUUGGACGACUAUAUGGUUGACCAAGCAGCCAGAUAAAUGAACGUUGGGUUCACAAGUAAGGAUUUACAUAACAUGUUGGAUUUCGAGCAUCGACAAGUAGUAUUCGAUAGUGAUGCGCAAGCAGUAAUAAGCUACAUGAAUGCGAAGGCAGAAGUGGACCCAGAAUUUUUUUUGCAUGUUUAGUGUAGAUGAGGAGAAUAAAUUAGAAAAUUUAUUCUGAAGAGACUCUCAUUCUUUACACCAUUAUUGUUGCUUUGUGGAUGUGUUGAUAUUUGAUAGUAUGUACAAGACCAACUGAUAUGACAAGCCUUUAGUGGUAUUUGUUUAUGUAAACAACCAAAACACGACUACAGUUUUUGGUUGUUCAUUUCUUGUUGAUGAGACUGUAGCUACUCCAUGUUGACACGUUGUUAACACGUUGUUGACACGUUGUUAAAACGUGGUUCUGCCGUUAAGGUUUUUGUCAGGUCUCUCUGUUAGUUGCCUACGUGGCACUAUAGGUCUCACAUUUUUCAAUUUUUUUAAUUUUAAAUUGAUUAAAAUAUAAAUAAAAUAUUAAAAACAAAAAAAAAAAAAAAAAAUUCUCUCUCUCUCUCUCUCUCUCUCUCUCCCUCUCUCCCUCUCUCUCUCUCUCUCUCUCUCUCUCUCUCUCUCUCUCUCUGUGUGUUCUCUCGAUCAAGCUCCAACACCCAACCUUCAAACCCAUACCACAGCCACUCGAUUCUCUAGAUGGUGAUGCUUGGUUGGAUGGGAAGUGUUUGUACCAUAUCUGACCCCCCCCACUCACGUCAUGAUGCGUGGAAUGUGAACGAAGCUAAAGACCAACUUGGUGAGCCAUGCCGAAACGGUAAAUCAGCACACAUCACCUAUUCAUACACGGUCGUCAAAAUUAGUAAGUGCUAACGACCGACUCACCUACACCAAUCUUCGGCAUCCCAUGCCGAUCGACCAGUCAGCACGUUAGGCCGAUUCUAACAGAUCAUCUCGGAACUCUCGCCAGAACCUGUCAGAUCACGUGUCGACCGUCGAAGACACUCCCACAAGUCCUAUAUCGAAACUAAGUACUAAGAGCAUCCUAAGUGCUCUCUAUAAAUAGAGCCCCUUGGCCUAGCUAAGAGGUAAGACUGUUUACUUGACUUGUGCUUUCACACUGUCAAUAGAAUUGCUCUUGGUCGCUAACUUUGGCAUCAGAGGGUCGUUGGCUGGCGCCACACCGGUGUCUUAAGACUUCGCCUGCCGUUCCUUUCCCCAGGCCGAAUCCAGCAUCAUGCCUUAAGGAAGGACACCACGGACCGAAGGCUUCUCGGGUCGAAACCAUCCACAUCACCUGUAUGUUAGCUUUAUUUCUAUCUGUUUAGAUUUAGCGUGAGCAGGAAGGAUAGUGGUGGUUCGGUUUCACUAUCCUCUGGAGAACGACGGAAGGGUUUUGAGUAUCAUGCUGAUGACUUAACAAUGCAAGAUGGAAGGAUAGGUAUUUCUGUUUCAAAAGUUUCUAAUAUCACAUAUAUCCCAAAGCAAUCUUUUAAGAUUGGUGAAUGUAUCCAGAGAGUUGCAAGUCAAUUGACAGGGUCUCCCAUAGUGAAGUCCAAUAGUGAUAGACCUACUGGGGAUGGAUCUGAUGUUGCUUUCCAAAGUUCUGGUGAUGGCCAUAGAGCCUGCAACCACAUCCCCAUAAACCCAGAAACCUAGACCCGAUUUCUUUCCCUAACCCAGAUUUCUUCUCCCUCUCCCAAUUUCUUCCCCCCCACCCCACCGCCCCAAUUUCUUCCCCCCACACAGAUUUAUUCCCCCAUGUUUGAUUUCUUCUUCCCCCUCAUCCUAGAUUUUAAUAUGAAUAAAAUAUUAAAACAUUAGAAAAAAUUAAAAAUAAACGAAAAUGGAAAUGAACACCAAAACCCACAAACACCCACCUCGUAUCUAAUCCGUCCUCACCACCCAAUUCCUCUCUUCAGUUUGAUUAGCGCAACCCCAACGACCUCUCCUAGCUCGCCUCCGACGCCGUUGUCUACAACCCCUCCAACCUCACCUCCGAGGUCGACUCGCUCCUCUCCAUGUUCAACCACCAGCCCCUUAUCUCGCUCCCCUCUGAUCUCGACUUUUCUGACGCCAUCAUCGGGGAGGGGGAGGAGAGAAAUUAGGAGGAAUUGAGGGGAAACAAUUGGAAGGAGAGAAAGAGAGAGAGAGAGAGAGAGAGAGUUUUUUUUUUUUUUAAAUUUUAAAUUCCUUCGAUUUUUUAAUAUUUUAUUCAUAUUAAAAUUUAAAAAAUAAAAAAAAUGUGGAACCCAUAGUACCAUGUAGGCAACUAACGGAGAAAUCUGACUGAAACCUAACGGUAGAACCACAUUGUAACAAAUUUAAAAGACCAAGGUAUGUGAUUGUUAAAAUUGAAAAGAUAGAGACUAACACGUCUUAAGGGUGUAACCAUAGGGUACUGAUACGAUUUUUACCAUCCAUGCAAAUAAGGUUAAAAUCACAUAAAAUACUUACAAGAAUACAAGCUAUUGUAGUAUAGAUGCUCAUGCAAGGUCGUUCUCCUCAAGGACUAUUUAGCAAUUUAUGUAAAAAUAAUUGCCAAUUAACUACCUAAAAUUAAAAGUUGAGAAAGAUGAUUAUGAAAUUGUUUGAUACUAAAAACAAAUUUUAAACAAAAAUAAUUACAAUUGAAGGAAAGAGUUUUAAAUACCAAUUUAUGAAAGCACCUAGCAAUCCUAUGAUUUUUUACCAAUUACUUAUGAUUUGCACAUGCCACUUUGAAGGUUAGGUUUUCUUAAUUUAAAUUCUACUUGGAACCUCCAACAUAGAAUGUAUAUCCAACAUGCAACCCGUCCGGAUAUUUAGAUCAAAUUUGAACAUGAAAGACUCAUUAUGUUUUGUGAAAAUCCUUUAAAAAACUAUGCAACCCUUAAGACGUGGUGUUCAUCUUAAGUGAAAUUACAAUUAUUAAUCACAAGAAGCCAUCAUCAAUUUCAGGGAGCCUUCCUACCAAAAUUGCAUGUUGGUGUGAGGUGCCAAUUUCAAAGUAUAAUUCAUGAAUUAGUGUCUAAGAAACAAUAAAUAGAAAAGACUCUACUGUGGGAUUAAUCUUAACGUUUAAAAUAAUAUAUGGAUAUUAACUUAAAAACGAAACUUAAAAAAUAAUAAUCUAAAAUUCACUUUCCCACCCCCAAAUUUUAUUUAUUUAUUUAUUUAUUUUUUUGAGAAUGAGAAUUCAUUCAUAAAACUGUAGACGUAUAAAGAGCGACAUGAUACAGUGGCCUCGUUAAAACCUUCCUAGGACAAGAAUUGCGUAGGAGAAAAGAGUACCACACAUGUCAUGGACUAACAGGAGAGUCCAAUUCAGGUAACUUUGGACCAUUACAAUAAAAGAACAAGUCAAAAAUAAAACUUAACACAAAAACCUCCGAUGAGAACCGCAACUAGAGACCAACACAGUAGACCCAGAUGAGAGGACCGUAGAAAUUCCAAAUAGUAAACCCACAUGAGAGGACCGCAGAACAUCCCAAUUGUCAAAAGAAGCCUUCUAUGAGCAAAAUCAUAGUCCUUUGACACCCAUACAAACUGUUAGUCAUAUCAUAGCAGAAACUAGGAGAAAACACAGAGGACGAACAUAGAAACAACAGUAAAAAGACCCCAUGAGAAGCACUCCACUUCAACUCAGACCUUGACAAAGAAAACCUCUUAUGACUAAGCAUAGUUCUUCGGUCGGUGUAGAGUAGAGAAGAGCACCACAUUCCAACAACCACCACCAACGUUGCUGCUGCUGCCGCCAUUAAAACAGAAACAAAACAUUAGCCACCAAGUAUCACAACUCUCCCAAGGAGAGACACAAUCUAGCGUCACUACUGUCGCUGUCGCCAAGACAAAGACAACACUAGUCACCUAGAACACUGCAAAAAUAACCAAACAAAACAAACAAACAAACAGACCUAGAUCCAAACAGAUCUAGACUAUCUGGGAAGGGGAAUGGGAGGAGAAGAUGGGAUAAGAGGAAAGGAAAAUAUGGGAGAAAAAGAAGGGAAGAUGAGGAGAGGAAGGGGAAGAUGGGUGGAGGGGAGGAGGGACAGUGGCCACUUCCCCUCCUUAGCGUCCUCACGGUUGGUUGUCAGCAAGGAGAAAGGGGAUCAAAGUGCGGCUAGGAUUCAGAGUGUGUAAUCAGUGUACUUAAUUACUCCUCCCACCCCCAAACUUAAAUCACACAUUGUCCUCAAUGUGUGGUAAAUAAACAGAAGAAACAAGAGGCGCUAACCGACUCGUACAAGUCCACACUUAUGUCAUUUUUGAGCAACAACUACACUAUAAUGGUAUAGCAGCUGCGGUGUCAUUUGAAAAACAACUAUUCUGGAACAUGCAUUGGAUCCCUUCCACCAACCUUUAGCCAAGAGCCACCCGCAUCUCCUUUUAUUGCUCGCAUCUCUUAUUGUAAAUUAGAAAAACAUCUCGGAACACAAAUAUUAUGAUAUAAUAAUAAUAUUUGUGUUAAAAGCCUAAGCCUCUCUCUGUGUCAGAAAAGCAUUAUUGCUCUCAGUUCAAUAGCCUUGAGCCCAGAGCCCAGCGGCUCUCCUUUGUCCAAUCCCUUUUCACAAACUGAUAGUUGUCCACUCCAUCUCAUUUUGCAAAAGAAUAAGAGCAAUAAUGAUAUUGCUUUUUAAUGCCUCCUUUUGCUUUAUUUGAAAAACUUGAGUAUUGGAUUCCUGAGCACGCAUAGAGCCUAGACCCACUCAUCUAUCCACUCACGUGAGACCCCUACUCCAUUCACGCCUCUACUGCUUCUUCAUAACUCAUACAAUACAUUCUCUUCCACUCUAAUCUCAUUAUUUCAUCCGAUAUGACAAACCUUCCAUCUCUCUACAGUUUAUUCUUCGUCCUAAACACUGCACUCGUUUUGCAACCCACACCCCAGCAACAAACACACCUCCGUGAGUGGUAGGUGCAAAGAUUAAAGACAUGAACAGCUCGGAGAUCUCAGAAUUUAUUUUUGGAUCCUGAUCUGCAGAGAUGUUUAUUCUAUGUCCCUGCAUGUACUCAAAUUGGUGCUCGUUGUGUAAGGUCUGUGAAUCCAGGAGAGAUUUAAGGGAAAGUGCAAUAAACACACAAGCUCAAAGGGCAAAAAUAGCAAAAGGCCAUGAGGACCCCAGAUAUGUGCAGCUCGUAGGUAUAAUUUCAAAUCCCUGCAACUUUUGUUGUUGUAGAUCUAGUAGACUUGAUGCUGGGUGCAUGAUUCUAGUAUAGGAAUAUCUGCCUUUGAUGUUAAUGGAGACUUGCUACUGGGUGCAUGAUUCCAGUGUAGGUUUAUCUGCUUUUGAUGCUUGCUACUGAUUGCUGUCCUACAUUAAAUUAAAUAUAUGUUAGGAGUAGAAAAGAAAUAAAAACAACUAGAUAAAGAAAAUAACAACAAAUAUUGUUUAAUUUUUUUUUCUUUUUUUCUUCUUUCUCAAAAUUGCUGACAGUUUCAGCAACUCUACCAUGGGUGAUUUUGAAGAAAAAAAAAAUGCAGCUCUCGAUCGACUUCCAAUUCUGUCACCCAAAAUGACAUGACAUUGCAUAUCAUGCAGGAUAAAUUGGAUGGUUCCAAUUACUCUUCUUGGUCCUGUAGUGUCAAACUUUAUAUUCUUGGAAGAGGAAAAUAGGGAUAUAUCACUGGCAUAAAAGUGACACAAACAGAAGCUGAUGUUUUGUAUUCUACUUGGAAAGAAGAAAAUGUCAUGGUUCAGUGUUGGCUUCUCAAUUCCAUGACCAGAAAUUGAAGGGCUAUUUUCCUUAGCCUUUCUAUUGCGAAAGAAGUGUGAAUGUUGUUACCCAGACCUAUUCUAUUGGUAAAGACACAUAAAAAUUAUAUGAGCUUCGGUAUAAGGCACUCGCAAAUCGUCAAAAUGGUACGUCUUUAUCUGAUUAUGGUCCCUUACAGUUAAUUUGGCAAGAAAUCGAUGUCUUGCGACCAAGCGAAAUGAAGUGUUCUGCUGAUAUUGCUACAUGCACAAAGGAAAUUUCGGAUGAACAAUUACAUGAGUUCUUGGCUGGACUUGACCAUCAUUUGGAUAGAAUUCGAGGACAAGGUCUAGCUGAAGAUCCUCUCCCAAGUGUGCAAGCCGCAUAUGCAUAAGUGUGCUCUGAAGCUAGUAGGCAAGCAACUAUGUUAGCUGGCUCACAUGUUGACGGGUUAGCUAUGACAACCACUUUACAUCACCCUAUACCUAAAAGUGGUCAUCCUCGGUCAGGACAAAAGGAGCCUGACACACGCUAAUGUACCCAUUGUGGGAAGAAAAAACACAUACGGAAAACUUGUUUCGAAUUGGUUGGAUAUCUAGAUUGGUGGGCGGACAAACAAGAAAAAUUGAAACAAGAAAAGGAAAAAGAGAAGAAAAAAAGUGUUGCAAAUUUGGCUUCACAACUUCUACCUCAUGGUUAUUCACCACAUAUGGAUCAAUCUGCUCUCAAUUUUCCCCCAAUACUACUUCCACUUCCUCACCAUAUCCAGGUAAUAGUCACUAUGGUUUAGCAGUGAGCAUGCCCUUCAAUGCUAGUGAUAAACUCUGGAUCAUUGAUUCAGGAGCUUCCGAUCAUAUGACUAAUAAUACUGCUUGGUUUGUUUCCCUUAGUCAUCCACAUAUAAAAAGUGUUAAAGUUGCUAACGGUCUUUCCACUCCGGUUUUAGGAGCAGGAUCUGUUUCCCUAACUCCAUCUUUGCCUUUGUCCUCUAUUUUACAUGUCCCUACUCUCUCCCACAAUUUGCUUUCUAUUAGUCAAAUUACUAAAAAUCUCAAUUGUUUGGAUAUUUUCUCUCCUACCUUUUGUUUAUUUCAGGAUCUUCAGACAAAGGAGCAGAUUGGUCAUGGUAAGGAAAGUGGAGGAUUGCACUACUUGGACUCAAAACUGCUUGAUCCUCAAAUAAGAAGUGGUUAUCAAGUUAGUACAGAAAAGGCUUACGCUGAAGUUUGGUUGUGGCACAAAAGAUUGGGUCACCCAUCCUUUCAAUAUUUACAACAUCUAUUUAAUUCUUUAUUUGCUAGAGUUCAUGUGUCUAACUUUCAUUGCGAAACCUGUAUUUUUGCAAAAAGUCAUAGUGCUUCAUUUCCUGUAAGCUCCAAUAAAAGUCAUGUUCCAUUCCCUCUUAUUCACUUCGAUGUGUGGGGUCCAUUUCAUGUUCCUACUUACACUGGUGCUAAGUACUUUGUCUCCUUCAUUGAUGAUUGUACUCAUGUCUCUUGGGUUUAUUUGUUGAAAAAUAAAAGUGACGUUUCAUUCAUUUUUCCUAUAUUUCAUCAUAUGAUUCAAACACAGUUUUAUGUACCAAUGCAAGUAGUCCGAUCUGACAAUGGGGGUGAGUAUUUGAAUUCUAAACCUAGAACCCUUUUUUUUUUUUUUAUUUAUAGCAAAAUGGCAUCUUACACCAAACUUCCAAUCCAUAUACUCCUCAACAAAACGGUUUAGCAAAACAUAAAAAUCAUCAUCUUUUGGAAGUGGCUCAUUCUUUAUGCUUUGCUAUGCAUGUUCCAAAACGUUUUUAGGGAGAUGCCAUUUGCACAGUCGUGUACCUUAUAAAUCGUGUAUCAUCUCGGGUUCUCUAGUACCAAACACCUAUUCAGACCCUUUUUUUAAUAUCAUUCUAUUCAUUUAGUUCUUCAUAUUCAACCUAAAGUGUUUGGAUGUGUUAGCUAUGUUCAUGUUCACCAACAUAGUCAUAACAAACUAGAUCCCCGUGCCCUCAAAUGUGUGUUUGUCGGUUAUUCUGUCUCACAAAAGGGGUACAAAUGUUACUAUCCCCCAUCUGGGAAAUUUUUUAUUUCUAUGGAUGUUACAUUCUAUGAAGAAGAGGCUUAUUUUCGGUCACUCCUCGUCUGGGGGAGAUUGAUGGAAAGGAAGAGUAGUUCCUUGAUAUUGGAUAUGUACCAUCACCUAAUAAUGAUAUACAUGAUACAUAUGAAAAGAGUUGCAAGUGUACCAAAAAAGGAAGAGACAUGAGGUAGUAACAAAUCCUCCACUUCCUGACCAUGUUCCAAAUCAACAUGCUGCUUUGCAUGAAAAUCAUUCUGAGGUAAUUCCACAAUCCCGACCAUCUUCCAUACAUAUUGAUAAUGUUGUCAACCAUGAUAUUUUAGCUAGGGAUAAUCUAGAUGACUCAAAUGAGUCUAUAUAUGUCUCUAAUUCUCCUCAUUUUCCAAUUCGUAAAAAUCGUGGGAUACCUCUAUAAAGGUUUGGCUACUCUAAAGUGAAAACUGUUCAAUAUCUAAUAUCUGAUUAUGUGUCUAACUAUUGUGUAUCCAGUUCUUAUAUUGUUUUUACAAACCACAUAUCUUCUGUGUCUACACCUAGUAGCUUACAUGAUGCUCUUGGUGACUCAAAGUGGAAGAUUGCUAUGGUUGAGGAGAUGGAGGCACUAUAGAAAAAUUGUACCUAGGAACUUGUUGACUUGCCUAAAGGCAAGAGACCCGUUGGUUGUAAAUGGAUGUUUACUGUAAAACACAAAGCAUAUGGAUCAGUUGAGAGAUACAAGGCAAGAUUGAUAGCAAAAUGCUACAUUCGAACUUAUGGUGUUGAUUACUCAGAGACUUUUGCGCUAGUAGCUAAAAUCAACACUAUUCGAGUCCUUUUAUCCCUGGUUGCCAACAUAGACUAGCCGCUACAUCAAUUUGAUGUGAAAAGUGCUUUCCAACAUGGUGAUUUAAAAGAUGAGAUGUAUAUGAAUCUUCCACCUGGGGUUGUUACGGAGACUGAUGUUGGUAAGGUGUGCAAGUUGAGAAAAUCUUUAUAUGGACUAAAACAGUCACCUAGGGCUUAGUUUGGGAGAUUCAGUUUGUCUAUGAAAAUAUUUGGGUACAAAUAGAGCAAUUUUGAUCAUACACUGUUUCUGAAACACGAAAAAGGACAAGUGACAACGUUGAUUAUUUAUGUGCAUGAAAUGGUUGUUACAGGUAAUGAUGAAAAAGGAAUCAUAAAACUUCAUAAUUACUUGGCUCAAGAAUUUGAGACGAAAAACCUAGGGGUACUAAAAUACUUUCUUGGAAUUAAGAUGGCAAGAUCUAAGCAUGGCAUCUCUUUAUCUCAAAGAAAGUAUAUCCUAGAUUUGUUAAGUGAGACUGGUAUGCUUGCUUGCAAACCAGCAGCCACUCCAAUGGAACAAAAUCAUAAAUUAGGAGAAAACCUUGAUCAGAUUCCAACACAUAAGGAAAGGUAUCAGAAGUUAGUUGGGAAAUUAAUCUAUUUGUCACAUACAUGACCUGAUAUAGCCUAUGCUGUUAGUGUGGUUAGUUAAUUCAUGCAUGGCCCUAGUGAGAGUCAUAUGGAAGCUGUACUUAGAUACUUGAAGUCAGCACCAUGAAAAUGAUUGAUGUUUACUAAACAUGGUCAUCUAGAUGUUCAAGCCUAUACAUAUGCUGAUUAUGUCGGGUUCAUUGCUGAUAGAAGAUCCAUAUCUGGAUUCUUCACCUUUGUUGGGGGGAAUUUGGUUACAUGGCGUAGCAAGAAACAAAAGGUGGUAUCUAGGUCAAGCGUAUGAAUCUACAUUGUGAUAACAAAGCUGCCACACAGUCCAGUUCAAUACGAUUGUACUAAACACGUUGAAGUGGAUAGACACUUUAUUAAGGAGAAGUUGGAUGAUGGAAUUGUUGACUUUCCAUUUAUUAAAAUUGAAGAUCAAUUGGCCGACAUCUUGACAAAAGUUGUAUCAAAUAGAAGUUUUCAUUCAUGCCUCGACAAGUUGGGCAUUCAAAACAUCUAUGCACGAACUUGAGGGUGAGUGUUAACACAUGGUUAGUCUGCCAUGAUGAAAACAUCAUGAUGGAAACAACAUACUGCCAUAUGUAAAAGGAGAUGCUGCAAGAUGUAAAAAGAGAAGCCAUCAUCAUGAAGACUGCUGUAAUAUUAUUAUUAUUUUUUUUUUUUGUAAACUGAUCCAUUGUACAACUAUUACUUUAAUAGCUAUUUAUGUAACUCCAAAUUGGUGUGAAAAGAAAUCAAAUCGAAGAAAACCAUUCUCUGGUUUCACACUCCAUUCAUAUUUUACUUCUAUAAAGGACAAGAAGCCAGUAUCUAUUGCCACAGACGGGGAUAAGGCAAUGCACUUUGUGAUUGAUGAAGUUUUUCCAGACGCACAUCAUCGUUUAUGUUCAUGGCACAUCAUGAGGAAUGUGAACUCCAAUGUAGAUAACCCAUAAAUUGUAAGGGAGUUAAGCUAUUAUGUGCAUGGUGGUUUGACAGUAGUGGCAUUCGAACAACAUUGGCAACAUAUGAUAGAUACGCAUGAUCUAAAAGGCGAUUAGAUCAAAAUGAUGUACCACAAACGAAAAAGAUGGGUUGAAGCUAAUUGCUCGGGGCAUUUAUUUGGUGAGAAUACCACCACACAAUGUGUUGAGGGUAUGCAUAAGAACUUGAAGAAUGGAAUUGGUAGAGGUAUAAAGUUAGUGAAGUGUAUCUCGCAGAAUGAAAGAUCCCUAUUGAAGUUGAGAAGUGAGAAUGUGAAGGAGGACUUUGAUUCGAAGAAUUCACACCCACUCCUUCUUACGCACCUCCGAUCUCUAGAGGAACAUGCAAUUUCUAUUUUUACCCACGACAUUUACAAGUUGUUAAGAAAUGAGAUAAAUAAGGAACCAAAAUUAAUUCUGGUUCUCCCCGUAAGUAACAAUGACGAGCCUUGAGUAUACAAAUUUUCCAAAUUUGGAAGGCUGGAUGAGAAAUGGAUUGUAGUUACUACCAAAAAGACCAACAUCUUCAAUGUUCAUGAAAUUAUUUGAAUCUGAUGGAAUUCUAUGUUGUCGUAUGUUUGGAGUCAAGAAAUGUGAGUGCUGAGGUGUUUUAGACAACCUGCAAAACAUGAAGAUGUGAAGGAGAGAAAAAUAAGAAGAAAGAGAAAAAUCGGUAGAAGAGAUAAAAUAAGAGAGAAAGAGGUAGAAGAGAGAGAGGUGAAGAUAUAUAAAUAAAUAGGUGGAAAAGAGAGAAAAAUGGGUAUGGUUCACGAAAAAGAAAAAGAAGUUGGGUUAGAGUUGUUAUUAGUUGGAUAUAAAUUGGAACUAAGAUAUUUUGGUAUUAAUUGGGCUAAAAUAUUACUUAUAGUUACUAAUGUGAUUUGAAUAUUAAUUAGGCUUACUAAUAAUUUUAGAUAUAAAUAAAUAAGUAAACUUAACAUAACUAAUCCGAUUAGGUUUAUACCAAUUUUUCAAGACAAUAACUGGGACGGGAACCGAUCCAAAACGGUCUAGUUCAGUUUUUGAGCAUAGGUUGAAUUUUUUUGUCAAUAUGGUUUUUUCCUUCUUUUUUUUUGUUACUCGGUUCGACUCAGUGCACCUGUUCAAAUGUCCACCCCUAAGAGUGACACAUACGUAUUUAUCAUGGUUCCAAAGCAAGUCUAGGACACUUUAGUGAGCAAACCACAAAUUUAAUUUGAGUAAAGAGCCCUAGAUAUGUGCUAAACCUAUCAAACAAAACUCAAAAUAAGGCUCUAAAACAGUAUAACACAAUCUGCAAGGUUGUAUUGCAACAUCACCUAUAAUUGCUUACAAAUUCACCAUCACUAAUUCACAAGUGCAUAAGGGUCUAAAACUUAGGUAAGUCAUUCUAGAGAAGUGGAGUUUUGUUCCAUAAAAUUCCAGAUUCAUUCUACACUCAUUUUAUAGCCUAAUUCAAGUCAUUCAUAUCAAUUAGUAUCUAUCAACAAUUGAAAUCUAACUGACAUAGUAUACUAGUCAGUAUCUCGGAAGAAUCUAGAGAGACUGACACAAUCUGAGAGAGAGAGAGAGAGAGAGAGAGAGAGAGAGAGAGAGAGAGAGAGAGAGAGAGAGAGAGAGAGAGAGAAGACUCAGAAUAUUGUAUCAUUGUAUAAAUUGAUAAUUUCAUAGUAAUUAUCUAUGAAAUAAUGAGUUGCUCCCUAUCCUCUAAUAACCUUCUACAGUACUUAAAAACACUUUACAAAAAUUAACAACAUGGAUGAGAGAUAUCGUAACAUGAAAGCAUUGAGUUGAUGAGUGGAGCAAUUGAUUGAGGAAGGUGAGAGAUGAGAAGGUAAAAGAAUCCCAUGCAUUGCUGGUUGAUGUUGAUCUCAAUUUCAUUCUCCAUUUUUGGACAAAUCACUUUUACCAAGCAAUUUACCAAAAAAGAAAAGGAAAUUAACUUGCGGACACCAACACCACAAGUUCACAACUAGCAAGAUGGCCUUAUCACUGAGUUGGUUUACAUCAAAUAUAUAUAUUUAAGGCAAGACUGUCAACCCUAUAUUGAGUAUAUGAUGUGCUUUCAUUCAAGAAGUGCACAUGCAAUUGUGAAUCUUCGAUUUCAAAUGUAUGGACUCGGAAAAAAGUGAAGAGUUAUGAAUGGAUGAAAUUAGUUGGUACCAAAUAUAUUCAAUUCACCUAAAAUCAUAAGUGAAGUCAAUAAGAAACUAGAGAAACCAUCUUUAGUUGAUGAGUUCUUCCUCCUUUCUUUUAUUUGUUUCUUUAGUCACAGGUUGCAUGUCACAUGUCACAUGUAGUUAAUCUUUAACCUUAAUCACGUCUCAUAUUAAAACAGAAAAGGAAACGGUCUAAUGCGUGAAAAAAAGAAAAGAAAGAACCCAUACAGUAAAAUACAUGUUCUUCAUAAUCAAAAUAUAUAAUAUAUGUAUUAUACAUGUACUUAUACAUUUUUCACGUUUUCUUUAUAAAAGGUUGAAUAGUACAAAUAAAAUUCAAGUUACACACGGAUAUUUUUCGUAUACAGUCCCCUACUUUUACUUUACUAAACCAUGAACACCAGAAAUUUGCUCUCUCUUUUUUUUUUUUUUUUUUUUUUGUAUCCUUUUCUUUUUCUAGGUCUGAAGUCACUUUCCCAUGCAUGUGCCCAUUAGACGUACUUUCCAAAUCCAGCAGGAAUAAAACAAACGAAUUCAAGACAAAGCAAAAAUCCAAACUGAGCUUACGCACACAAGAUCUAAUACAUAAGUUACAGAAGAGCUUCUUCUCCUUAAAAUCUCCAUAACCAAACAGUUGUCGUCACCACAAUUGAAGAACCAGAAAAAAGCUGUUCCUGAGAGCUCCUCAUUUGGAAACUGAAACUAAACACACUGCUUGUUCAAUCUCUAAUCUUCAUCUUCAAAACAUUCCAGCUUAUCAUCCAAAUAAUGGGUAGAAAACCAACUAAGCCUUCACCAAAGAUACCAUCAUUUUUCAAGGUCCUGGUUGGUGAAUUCUCUCAGCGUUUGGUAACAUCCGGUCCUACCUCUCUAUUUCUUUCACUUUAUAUUUAGUAGAUUUUUAUGUAAAUUGUCUGUUUUUGUUGGUUUGCCAAAAAGAGUUUUGUUCUGUAAAAGCAGAGUUUUUUUUUUGGGAUUUAUAUACGAAAUCCUCUAAUUAAAUGAAACUACCUGACUGAUUCAACUGAAAGUUGCUGAUCUUCUAGGUUCCUAACAGGAUUUGUGUUGUUUUUUAAAUUUCUUUCUUCCAUUUCUGUUUCUUUUUCUACGUUCUUGUUGGUUUUAAAAGGACUGCAAUAUUAUGGCUUGCCUUUUUCCUUUCUUCCAUUUCUGUUUCUUUUGUCUCUGCAAUAUCAUGGCUUGCCUUAGUUUUUUCUUUCUUUCUUCCAGAUCUGUUUCCUUUUUCUCUGUUCUUUUUGGUUUUUAAAACGACUGCUGCAUAUCAUGGAUUGCCUUUUUUGUUUCUUCCAUUUCUGUUUCUUUUUUCUCUGUUCUUUUUGCUUUAGAAUGACUGCAAUUUGAUCGAUUGUUUAACUGAUUGUGGUUUGACCCUUUUGUUGAUCUCAUAGCCUAAAACUUUUGUUCAGGAUGUGCUGAUGUCCACAGUUGCUUGGUUUUAAUUAUUUAUGCUAUAUUUAUGCUAGAGUUUUAUUGAAUUUUGUAGAGUAUACCACCUGCAUUUAUGUACCAUGUCAAUGGACGAUUGUCUCCCAAAUGUACUCUUAGAGAUCCUAGUGGAGACUGUUGGACAGUGGGUUUGGAAGUGAGAGGGGAUAGAUUUUUCUUCCAUGAGGGUUGGCAGCGUUUUGUGAAGGACCAUUCUUUGGAAAUUGCAAAUGUUUUGGUUUUUGAUUAUGAUGGCAAGUCCAAGUUUGAUGUCACACUGUAUGAUCCAAUUGGCUCUGAGAAGGAGUUAGAACCAGCCAAGAAGAGAAGGGGAAAUCGAGCUCGAGUAAAGGAGGAGAUCAUUGAGCUUGACACUGAAGAACCUGACAAGGACAGUGAAGAAGAUGCUCGUAUGUCAAACAUAAGGAAGCGUAAGUUGUAUACUAUUUUACUUCUUUAAAGCUUGGGGAUUUUUAUAUGUGCUAGUUUUCUUUAUAGGCUCUUUUUAGAUCAUGCUCUGUUUGGAAUUGUGUAGGCAAGUCUUUCAAGUCUGGAAAGAGGAUUGCAAGAACUGAUGGUGGGAAUGAAACAUCAAAUGCACCUAUUGUGUUCAGAUCGAAGCAUCUAUGCUUCAUUCGAGCUAUGAGGAAGAACCGCUAUCGCAUGGUGAGUACUUUCGUCACCCCAAUCCAUAAUCCAAUUCUGUUACUGAAUGGAAAAAAAUGGUAAAAGAACUCUUCAGAAAACCUUUUGAUGGACUGAAAAAUGUCCAACUCAAGUGGCUGACCAUUUUCUUUCCCUUCAAUAUUGUUCAUAUUUGCAGAAUUUUCCGAAGGAGCUGGCUGUGGCUAAAGGUCUCAUUAGAAAGAAGAGUGUAAGGGUUGAAGACCCACAUGGGAUAUCAUGGGAUGUUAAACUAAGGCUUGAUGAAAAAGAACAUAACGGUGGUCGUUUGCUCAUGACAAAAGGGUGGUCAGAAUGUUGUUAUGCAAACAACAUUUCACUUGGGGACACACUGGUUUUUGAGCUUGUCAACGCCAUGCACGGUGGAAUGAAAAUGCAUAUUUUCCGAGGAAAUAGUUAUGUUGUAUUGGAUGCCUCUUGUGUCAAGUAUCAGGGCUAUGUAGUUGAGAACCUGGCAUUGCAGUGAUGAGUAAACUAUUAGUUGUUGCAGAUUUCAGUUGUAAGACAUGUUACAUGUAAGACUUAAUGGUAAGAUUUGUGAAUGAUCAGCAGAUUUCAGUUGUUGCAGUCCUUGUUUUGCAAGGUUAAUACUAACCCAUGUUUAAUUAUGAUAUUGACUGGAUAAUAAACUAGGUUUUCUCAAAUGGUCUAUGUUGCUACAACUAUUUCUUUUGCCUAACAUUUAUCUAGAUUGUUGCCAAGUUCACAUCCUCUAGCCACACCUGAAAAAGAAGAACAAAGUUGAAAUGUGAGUGAUCUCAACCUGAAAAUACACCUUGAACUGAGUCAACAAUUAAUAGAGAACUUGAAGGAGUAGCACAAAAUGUUAUUGUGUCACAGAGUCUAACUGUUAUGCUGUGAGACUAUUCAUCUGAUGUAUGUAUGACAAGAUAACAUUAUUCGGGAUUCGGGAUAAAAGUAUACAAGUUUGAAGGAUGUUCACUUACCAUUCCAUUGUUGCAGAAGGAAGGGACAGUUUAAAGCCCGCGACUAUAUAAUCGAGAGAUUCGAAUAAAAAUCCUUCCCAUGUAUGCUCAAAACUCUUUGUACAAUUAACAUUGAAGGCCAACAUAAGAACAGAUAGCCAUAGAGAAUUGAGGCUGCAAGUGGAGCUCCCAAAGAAACCAAGAGCUGUCCAAUGUACCAAACCAUAUGUGAUGCCAAUAUGCAGAUUGUGUCUGAAGAAACUCAAGAUGUUUUGCAGGAAUCCAUAUGCAUAUAAUCCAAGGAUCAGAAAUUUCAAAAAGAGAGCUGCACAUUUGCAAAUUUGAACCAGAUGCAUGAUGCGGAUAGGGGUUAUUUUGAAAUUAGUUGAAAGAUUUGUAGCCUUUUUUUAAAAUUAUAAUAAAUAUAGGGUCAAAAUCUAAUGUUCAAAACUUGGCCAAGUCACACCCAGCCUCUUCUCGAGAGACAGAGAAAGACGCAGAGGCCAGAUUUUCCCAUUUGAAAAUAAACGGCGGCACCAACCAACUCAAAGAACCAGAAGAAGAAAGAAAAAAGAAUGUCGAACGGACUUCUUCUUCUCCGCUGAAAGCUGCGCUGCUGCAUCUGCUCCACUCCACCAGGUUUUUUAUUUUAUUUUAAAAUCAUAACUGACGUUACCUUGUUGCUUCUUCACUCUUAAUCUCGAAUGUAAAAUUUUAUAUUUCUAUUAUUUGAUCGUUUGGGCAUAUUUUCAGUCUAUUUGAAUUUAACUUACGGUACUAUUUAAUAAUCUCUGAAUAAUUGGCAUUUUAUUGAUGUGGGCAGUGCAAUUUUGUGCCGAACAAUGCGGGUUCGGUUUAUUCUAUCUCGGAAAUACUGCACUAGUAUUGCAAUUUCUUCCAAUUCUCAAAUUUCUCGGUAUGCUCGGCUUGGCCAAAUUGAGAAAGCCCGAAGGGUGUUUGAUCAAAUGCCUGACAAAACUAUUGUGUCUUGGAACUCAAUAGUUGCAGGUUACUUCCAAAGUAAUCAGCCAGGAGAAGCCCGAAAACUGUUUGAUAGAAUGCUGGAGAGGAAUACGGUUUCUUGGAACGGUUUGAUAUCCGGUUAUGUCAAGAAUGGGAUGAUUAUUGAGGCUAGGAAAGUGUUUGAUUCGAUGCCCGAAAGGAAUGUUGUAUCGUGGACUUCGAUGGUUAGGGGGUAUGUUCAAGAGGGUAUAAUUUCAGAGGCUGAAUCACUCUUUUGGCAGAUGCCUGAAAGGAAUGUUGUUUCAUGGACAGUGAUGUUGGGUGGCCUGAUUCAAGAGGGUCGGAUUGAUGAGGCUCGUAGGCUUUAUGAUAUGAUGCCCGAGAAGGAUGUGGUUACAAGGACUAAUAUGAUUGGUGGGUAUUUUCAAGUUGGCCGUUUGGCAGAAGCACGUGAGAUUUUUGAUGAGAUGCCACGAAGGAAUGUUGUUUCCUGGACUACAAUGGUAUCUGGGUAUGUGCAUAACAACCAGGUGGAUGUUGCUAGAAAGCUUUUUGAAGUGAUGCCAGAGAAAAAUGAGGUUUCAUGGACGGCAAUGCUAAUAGGUUACACUCAGUGUGGACGGAUUGAAGAGGCUUCAGAGCUUUUUCAUGCCAUGCCGGAUAAGUCAGUUGUUGCUUGUAAUGCAAUAAUACUUGGGUAUGGCCAAAAUGGAGAGGUAGCUAAAGCAAGGGAAGUUUUUGAUAAUAUGAGAGAGAGGGAUGAUCGGACAUGGAGUGCGAUGAUUAAAGUUUAUGAACGGAAAGGUUUUGAAUUGGAAGCACUGGACUUGUUUACUUUGAUGCAAAGAGAAAGUGUUAGGCCGAAUUUCCCUUCUUUGAUAAGCGUUCUAUCUGUUUGUGGCAGCUUGGCCAGCCUUGAUUAUGGUAGACAAAUUCAUGCCCAGUUGGUGAGAAACCAAUUUGAUCAUGAUGUAUAUGUUGCCUCGGUUUUGAUGACAAUGUAUGUUAAAUGUGGUAACCUUGUGAAGGCAAACCAGGUGUUUAACAGGUUUGCUGCGAAGGAUAUAGUUAUGUGGAACUCAAUGAUCACUGGUUAUGCCCAACAUGGUUUAGGAGAGAAAGCUUUACAAAUUUUCCAAGAGAUGUGCUCCUUGGGCAUAUCACCGGAUGAGAUAACCUUUAUUGGAGUUCUUUCAGCAUGUAGCUAUAGUGGGAAGGUAGAACAAGGUCUUGAAAUUUUUGAGACAAUGAAAUCAAAGUACCAGGUGGAGCCAAGAACUGAACAUUAUGCUUGUAUGGUUGAUCUGCUUGGUCGAGCAGGAAAGGUAAAGGAGGCAAUGGAUUUAAUUAAGAAAAUGCCAGUUGAGGCAGAUGCCAUUGUUUGGGGUGCCUUAUUAGGUGCAUGCAGACAACACAUGAAAUUGGAUUUGGCAGAAGUUGCAGCGAAGAAACUUACAGAACUUGAGCCCAACAAAGCAGGGCCUUAUGUCUUGCUAUCAAAUAUUUAUGCAUCACAGGGUAGAUGGCAUGAUGUCGCAGAGCUGAGGAAAAACAUGAGAACAAGAAGCGUUAGCAAGUCUCCUGGCUGUAGCUGGAUUGAGGUGGAGAAAAACGUUCAUAUGUUUACUGGGGGAGAGAGCACGGGACACCCGGACCAUGCGAUGAUCAUGAGAAUGUUAGAGAAACUAGGUGUAUUGUUAAGAGAAGCUGGUUACUGCCCUGAUGCCAGCUUUGUAUUGCAUGAUUUGGAGGAAGAAGAAAAGGCACACAGCUUAGGUUAUCACAGUGAGAAACUGGCCAUAGCAUAUGGACUCUUGAAGGUACCCCAAGGGAUGCCCAUUCGGGUGAUGAAGAAUCUUCGCAUUUGUGGUGACUGCCAUUCUGCAAUUAAAUUAAUAUCCAAAGUUAUGGGAAGAGAGGUCAUAUUGAGGGACGCCAACAGAUUUCAUCAUUUUAAGGAUGGCUUGUGUUCUUGCAGAGACUAUUGGUGAUAGCAAACCUUGUGUUGUGGGGAUAGAUCCUAGGACAGACUGGUUUUGAGACAGGAAUCAUGCCUAGCAGAGUUAAUUGGUUAAAUUUGUUUUUAGACUGAAAAACUUGACCAUACUUCAAAAUUGAUGAUACUAUAUUAUGCCAUGAGGAGACCUUGCUAAAAAUUGUGUUGGUAUAUGGUUUUCAAAUCAAUCGAGGAAUUUGAGGUUCAAGUAUGAUCUAUCCUCAAGGAAACACUGUUUAGAUGCUCCUUAUGGCCCAAUUUUAUUGCAUUGUCCUCCAAAUUAUACAAUUGAUAACUUAGUUUAAGGCCUACCAUGAGGGGUCUGGAUUUGAAACGGUUAUGAACUACUUUUCAGUGUAUGGUCAUGUGAGAAAGGCAUGGGAUGAUUGCUUAUAGAGGUGAGGCUCGUGUUCAUCUGCUGUAUUACUAGAAAAUUCUCUUAUGUUUAGGUAUGUUUUCCAACCCGAGUUUAUAAUAUUAUAUUUUGUUACUUUUUCUUGUAUAAGCUGCUAACAUAUUGUGGCACAUUUGCAGUUGACUGUAUAAUUCAUGGCUGGAACAUGACAUGAUACACAAGGAGUUGAGCCGAGGAGGGUGGAAUAUAAAGCUUUUGUUGCAAUGAAGUUCAUUCAAGAAGAGGUCGUCUUUUAACUAAUUUUAAAUUUCCCCCAGUUCCUAACGUACUUUGAUUUGCUUAUUAAUUUUUUGUUAUCAAAACCCCUAGUUUCCUUUAGGCCCAGCUAUCCACCAUCAAAUUAGUGAGUGUGUGUGCAUGCAUGAACUAGUAAAAGAUUUGAAUAGUGUUAUUCACAAUUGUUGUGAGAUUCUUUUGGAUUUUUCUCUCCUCUUAGUGGAAAAUCUGUUAAUGAUUGCUUGCUACAUCAGUUGUUGCCGACAUGAUAUUGUCUUCUAGAGCAUCUGGCACUACAUAAUGUUGCUGACUUUGUUCUUUUUGUACUUUGUUGUUUCUUGCUUUAUAAGAAUUUCUAUUCUUCCUACUGAAUAUAACGAUCAAAUUCGGGAGAGCCCCACUGAAAAUUGGGUAGGUACUCUUCUUUAUUCAAACUUUCAAUUCCUACUUUCAUGACCAGAUUUUCAUCACUUAUCUUCAGGAAUUGCCUCACGAAGAGGGACCUUCAGAAAGGUAUCGAGAUGACUUCUCAUGACUAUCCCUGAACAGGUGCAUAAAUUGUUGUAGAUCAUGUUUAGUUCUUGCUGUUUGUCUUCUACCUCAUCUUUACGAUACAAUUGGGAUGUAGGAACUUGCAGAAGUAGUGUAAAUUUAUUUUUCUACAUUUGAGACAUAGAAUGAUGUAAGAACUUCCCUCCUCCAUUUAUCAUACUGUCGAAGUGUUUAGAUUCAGAGGAAACGAAAAAAAUUGCGGUUUUUUUAAACGCAAUUUGCACUUUUGGAUCGUUCUCCUUUCUUGUCAUACCAAUUUGUCUCUUCAUAUGAUUGACAGACCAAAAAUUGGUUGAGUCCAAAAGCAAAAAGCAAAAAUAAUUAACAAGAAACAAUGUCAAGAAUCAUGGUGGCCAAAGUGUUGCCUGCACGCAUAAUUAGAACAUGAUUGAAGGACAACUUUAUAUCAGUUCAAGGAAUGAGUGAGAACCACUAGAAUUGCAUCUUUAGACAGACAAUGUAAGAGGUAAAAAGUUAGAAAAGCUACGACUGUAACUCGUGGAAAGAAAGAAAGGGAAGCUCACAACAAAGUUUUGCUAGAGGAACGUUUGACGAUGCUGGUUUUAAGAUUUUAGGAGGACAAACUCCUGACUCAAUACUACAAAUAUUGAUAUUGUUCUCAAUUUAACCACAUAUAUAUUCGGCAGGUGUAAGAUUUUAUACAAAAAAUUUCGAUGUUAUUAGUAUUAUGUGUUGUACGUUAUUUUGUCAAGUUUCCAAUGUAGAACUUGAUAUUCUUAGUUAGAAGUGUUUUGAAUGCUUGAAAGUAGAUAAUAAGUUUCAUUAUUUUGUCGCAAAGUGAUAUGGCCAUCCAAGAAAUUAUUUGCAAUGCAUAGCAACUUUGAAAGGGAGAUUUUUUGUUGAAGAUCUUCUUUGUUCGAACUCGAAGAGAGAUUUUUCUUUUGGGCCUUCUUUAACUAAACAACUAAUAACUUAAGUGGUGACAAUACGUCCAAUGUCGUGACAUGUCGGUGAUAUAUCAUUUUGAUAAUUGCUAAAGCAUUGGGCAACACUCAAUGGUCCAAGUUUGUUGUCACAUACUGAACACAAAAUGCUUUAUACUGUUAAAAUCUUUUGUGUAUUUCUUUUUUCAAAUAGUAUAAAUUACUCUAAAUUAAUCUAAUUUACGAGAAGGACUCGAAUUUAAGUACAACGGAAUGAGCUUAUUGCUCCAACCAACUUGCCUAACCCACGUCUGCUUUAUCUUAUGCUUUUAGAUCUGGUGUUGCAUUUUAUUAACAUAAGUUCUUUCAUUUGUUGUGGUUAGGUAAGUAAGAGGCUAGUCAAGCCAACUCAAACUAAUCUGAUUAUGUGUUAUGCAACCAUCUUUUGGUUGGUUCUUAAAUACAAUUUUUUCUUUCAAAUAAUAAUAAACAGUAAACAAAUUACCAUUGCAUUUCAUAGGUGAAAGAUACACCAAAUUAUGCUUAGAAAAUUACAUGUAUUACAACAAUAAACACUAACUCCUGACCAAGAAUAAGAAAACUGUACAAGAUCCAGAAGCUUCUUUCACCACUACAACUAACAGAUCCAUCCCAAAAUUCCAGCACACUUAAAAGCACUCAAAAAUACCCAUCAAUCAUAAGCACUCAAAAUCCCUAAUUUAUAUUUUUCUCUUAAUGCCACUCUUCAUUGCCCAAUUUCAUCAUAUUGAGGUGCUUUCAUUCAAAAGGAAAAGGCCCUUAUAUGAUUGUGGGGCAUUUAUUUUCCCUAAUGAUUUUUUUUUUUUGGGGGGUAUGGCAUAUGGAAAAUGGUAAUUUAAGGCUUAGAAGAAGGACUUUUUUGCAGGUGCUCUUCCAACAGCUCUCAUUAAAUUGGCUAUUUCAAGAACUCUUGCCACUUUUGUUCCCCUUUUAGCCUCAGCUGAUGCCUUCCUCUCCUCUGCUUUUCUAUGAGCUUUGGCUAUAUCAUUCUGCAUCUUUUCUAGGGCCCUUGCUCUUUUCUCCUCCAACUUCCUCUGCACAAAUUAGACAAGCACAAAAAUUGAUGAGAUAAUAGUUUCACCAAAAGAAAGUAUGUCAUAACAUUAUGAUGAUGAAGAUGAUGAUGUUUAUUAUUGUCAUUAUUAAUGUUUGAUAAUCAAAAUUCUGAUUAUUUGUUUGACCAAAUACAUGCUCAAAAAAUAUUGGAUGGCAAAUAGUAUGCAAUCAAUGAAAAAGAAAGUUGCAAACCAUCCUAAUCUCAACUAGUCAGAGAAACCAUCAUGAGCAAAAUUUCCAACAUGGAUAAUUAGGAAAUAAUUAACCCACAUGCAGAACAAUAAUAGCACUUUCAUCAAGAUUAAUUAUGCCCACAUACCUCAACUUUCUUCAUCCAAGAAGAAGCUUUCUGAACCUGCUCACUUUCCCAACCAUUAAUGAUAGCAUCCUCCCUCUUAAACCUGUUAUUAAGCUUGGCAAUCUUGUUGUUUUGCCAAGCUGAUAUCUUCGUCUCCACCUCUUCUUUCUUCACCCUAUGCACAGAAAUCACCUGAUCACCUCCUUGAUGAUCUUGAGUCCCAGCAAUGCUUGAUGAAGACCCAACUGCAUAAUUCCUAGCCCCAGCUUGUCUUGGAGAAGCAAUUGGAUCCGAUGGGUUGUAAUUAUCUGGUACUAUAGCCAAGGGGUUAAGUUCCUCCUCAGGCAUAUUGUCCUCCUCUCCAAUCCUGCCCAAGUUAUUGUUCCCAUGAUUUACAGCACUAUCAUUUUCAUUGGUACUAUUAUUAGUCCCAAUAGCUGAUCCUGCAACCACUAGAGCACUGAACUCUCUACUUAUGCUACUGAAAUUCUCACUUGGAGCACCUUCUGAGCUAGCCAUGGACAAGGAUGAUGAUCUAUGGCUACUAGUCUCCCAAGCUUCCCUUCUUCGGCCGCGAUUAGCCAGCUGCGGCGGUGCGUGAGGUGGUGUCAAGGCGUGGAUGUCCCGGAUGAUUUGCUCAUCUUCAACAUGAUCAUCAUGAUCUUGUAUUCCUUGGCUUGUGCCAGCCCCUUGAUCAUUCAUAGCAGAGUGUUUGUCAAGUGUAUUAGAAAAUGAAAUGGGAUUGUGACCAAGAGAGUAAGGGCUUUAAGUUAAGACUUGUAUAAGGGUCUUGACUGUCGACCAUUGUUCAAAGAGAAAUUUAAGCCACACACAUGGAAAUAGAAGUAGGAUUAAAAAAGAGGCUUGAAGUGAAAGCCCAUAAUGUAAAUAGGCCAAGGGAUGUUAAUUAUCCAAAUGGGGUAAUAAAAAAAAGGGGCUUUGAGUUAGGGUAUCUUUUCAGGAUAUGUUAAAAUUUUAUUUAUCUAAAGACCCUUCAGUUUGUCUUAUUCUUUUGUUGCCACACCUUGUAUAGAUUCUUUUAAUUCACACCCUUACUUCCCUACCUUCAUUGAUUCCCAUCAAAUGUAUGCUUGGGGUGUGAUAUCUUUAUUAGUUUUGAAUUAAUUAUAACAUUCUCAUACAACUUUCAAAAAGUUAAUCCACCAUGCAUAAUGGAAUAGUCACUCAAAUUACUAUUAAUUUACCCUACCUCUAGCAUCCAGAGUCAAAAAGAAAAUUACUAGAUAAGGGGAUUUGAAGGGUGUGGGGGCCAGUCUAUAUACACCCCUAUGCUAAGAGAUAAGACCCUACUCCCGCCUUAAUAAGUAUGUAGUUUAUUCCAAAAUGGUUGAUAAUCAACUGUUGAAAAUCAUCUCCUUUUUUGGGUUGAGAAAUGAAAGGAAAUUGGAUUGGCACAUGCAUAUUAGCAUGAAAUUGUGUUGGCAUUUCCUAGAACUUAGUACAGGUUUGGAAGUGUAGGAUUAAAGUAAAAUUGAUAUCUCUGAUUUUCAAAAACUAUAAGAUUGAAACAGCUUAGUAAUCCCUGAAUACCAGUAUUGUGACUUAACACGUAUGAGGCACAUGAUCUGAAGGGUAAGACAUGUCAUUUUUCAUGCAUUCAUGAAAGGAAUGUUUUUGUGUAGUAUGAUAUGAUUUUAUUUUCUUGAUUUUUAAUCAAUUAGAAUCCCUUUAAGAGUGCAUCUCAUUUAAGCAAUUUUUGCCCAAAUCAAUUUGAUUAUCUUGCUUUCAUGUUUUAACAUUCCCUUAAUUUUCUAACACGUUUUGGUUGCUUAGAAAUCAUUUUUUCAAUUAUAUCAUAAUAUCAAGGAGUCAAGAUACUAUUAAUAGUUUACCUAAACAUAGAAAGAUACCUUUGAUAUUGUGAUUGGUCAAAAUCUUCUUUCUUGAGCAAUCUCCUUUCAUGAGUGCUUGGUUUACACAUGAUUUGCAUUUAGAAUAGGACAUAUUCUAUUGUGGAUUUUGUUUAGCCUUGAAGAAUGGAGAUUUGGUACGUAAAUUUCUUCCUAUGAAGAAAAUCUCUAUAAAAACAAGGUUUUGUGUUUUCCUUUAGAUAGAUUUUUCAACAAUAGUUUUGUCUGCUUACAUGUUUAAGAACGCUAGGUUUUUUAUUUGAGAUAAAUCAUCAAGUGUUCCAUGUUUACUUGGUGAUUUAUCACAUACUUCAUCAUUCAUAUUGCAUUCAUUUGCAUAAUUCGGUGACUCAUACAGUUUAGGGCACCAAAACCGUGGUAGCGAUUUUUCUCCAAUGAGCUUGAAUCGAUUGUGACCAGUAUCGGGUUCAACAUAAGGAGAGUUGAGAGGUCAUCUCGCGACAAAAGUUGAAUUAUGAAGAAGUCGGUAAACAUUAUCUAGAAUGUGUCUAUGAUAAGUGUGUGAGUGCUUCUUGUAAUUAUCAUUAUGUAGUGGAUUUUUUUUGGACUGAGGAGUCCCGUGGAUUUUUUCCAAAGGUAGGGUUUUACCAAGUAAAAUAACUCUCUAUGUGUUCCUUUAUUUUAUUCUUUGCAUGUUUCACGAUUGAUAAGCCAUAUCAAUCCUGCAAUGAAGUUCAUUUUUAUUUAUUGAUUGUAAUUUUCAUUUGGCCUAGUCACCCCUUCUAUAGACAUUAUUAGUCAUCCUACAAGUAAUUUCAAUUGGCAUAUGAGCAGGUUGCUUAACACACUCAGCAAGAUCCAACAUACCUUAAGAUGGAUCGUGUCGCGGGCUCAGUUAUACAUCCACCAUAUUGUGGCUUAAUACGUAUGGGGCACAUGAUCUGAAGGGUAAGACAUGUCAUUUUUCAUGCACUCAUGAAAGGAAUGUUUUUGUGGAAUUUGAUAUGAUUUUAUUUUCUUGAUUUUUAAUCAAUUAGAAUCCCUUUAGGAGUGCAUCUCAUUUAGAUAAUUUUUGCCCAAAUCAAUUUGAUUCUCUUGCUUUCAUGUUUUAACAUUCCCUUGAUUUUCUAACAUGUUUUGGUUGCUUAGAAAUCAUUUUUUCAAUUAUAUCAUAAUAUCAAGGAGUCAAUAUGCUAUUAAUAGUUUACAUAAACAUAGAAGGAUUCCUUUGAUAUUGUGAUUGGACAAAAUCUUCUUUCUUGAGCAUCUCCUUUCAUGAGUGCUUGGUUUACACGCAACUUGUAUUUAGAAUAGGAAAUAUUCUAGUGUGAUUUUUGUCUAGCCUUGAAGAAUGGAGAUUCGGUACAUAAGUUUCUUCAUGUGAAGAAAACCUCUAUAAAAACAAGGUUUUGUGUUUUCCUUUAGAUAUCUUUUUCAACAAUAGUUUUGUGUGCUUAAACGUUUAAGAAAGCUGUGUUUUUUAUUUGAGAUAAAUCAUCAAGUGUUCCAUGUUUACUUGGUGAUUUAUCAUACACUUUAUCAUUCAUAUUGCAUUUAUUUGCAUAGUUCGAUGAGUUAUACUAUUGAGGGCACCAAACCGUGGUGGCGGUUUUUCUCCGAUGAGCUUGAAUCGAUCGUGACCAGUAUUGAGUGAGUUCAACAUAAGGAGAGUCGGAAGGUCAUCCCGCAACAAAAGUUGAGUUACGAAGAAAUCGGUAAACAUUAUCUAGAAUGUGUCUAGGAUAAGCGUAUGAGUACUUCUUGUAAUCAUCAUUCUAUAGUGGAUUUGUUUUGGACUGAGGAGUCCUGUUGAUUUUCCUCAAAGGUGAGGUUUUACCAAGUAAAUAACUCUCUGUGUCUUCCUUUAUUUUAUGCUUUGCACAUUUCAGGAUUGAUAAACCAUAUCAAUUCUGCAACGAAGUUUAUUUUUAUUUAUUGAUUAUAAUUUUAAAUUGGCCUAUUCACCCCCCUUUAUGCAUUAUUAGUCAUCCUACAGGUAAUUGCAAUUGGCAUAGCAGAUUGUUGAACACACUUAACAAGAUCAAACAUACCUUAGGAUGGAUCGUAUCGCGGGCUCAGUUGUACAUCCACCAUAUUUCGAUGGCAACAACUAUGGUGCUUGGAAGGCUAAAAUGAAUUCAUUCCUCUAGUCUAUAGAUGAACAUGUAUGGUAUACAAUGGUUCAUGGAUUUUCUGAACCUACAAAGAAAAUCAGAAAGAUGAGGAAGAAAAAAUAGUCCUCAAAACUAGAGAGGAAUGGACCACUGCAGAAGUCAUACACAGUACUAAUAACCAAAAUGGGUUAAAUAUUUUAUUUAUUGUUGUCUCUUCUGAUCAAUUUGAAUAUAUAUCUGGUUGUGAUACUUCUAAGGAAGCUUGGAACAUUUUGCAUGUUACUCAUGAAGGAACAAAUACUAUAAAGGGCGCCAAGCUUCAAAUGCACACCUUACAGUUUGAGACACUCAUAAUGGAUGUGAAUGAAACUUUUUCUGAAGUUUAUGCUAAAAUUUGUGUCAUUGUGAAUGCAUGUUCAAGUUUAGGUUAAAAAAAUACUAUAAGAUAGGGCUGUGAAAAAGAUUUUGAGAUCCUUGCCUCAACGGUUUCAACCAAAGAUCACGGCCAUUGAAGAGAUUCGUGACUUGAACACCUUGAAAGUUCAGGAACUCAUAGGGUCCUUACAAACUUAUGAGAUGAAACAUCUAACUCCUAAAAAUAGCAAGUUUAAAGUGUUGCUUUUAAAGUUGUGAAUGAAGAAGAUGAUGGGCAUUCAAAUGAGGAUUGCAAUGAUGAGGAAUUGGCGAUUCUCACAAGACUAUUCAUGAACUUUCUCAAGAAUCAAGACUCAAGGAAUCGAGAUUCAAAGAAUAGUUCAGAUAUAAAUUCAAAAAAUAAUUUUAUUGACUCUAUUGAUGGUGUGUCUAAAUCUCACAGGUCAAAUGAACGAAAGAACUGAAAAGAAAAUGUCAAAUGCUCCGAAUAUGAAGGCUAUGGUCACAUAUUUUCGGAAUGUGCCAACACCUUAAAGAAACAAAAGGAUGAUAAGAAUAAGGCACUAAAUACUACAUUGAGUGAUAGUGAUUUUGACUUUGAAAAUGAUGAGAAGGCCAUUAUACUUAUUACGACUAUAAGCUUGGAUGAACCAACGAAGAAGGAUGAUGAUUGUGAAGAAAUGCAUAUUGAGUUUAUCAUGAAGAAAUAUGAUGAUUUGUUGGUUGCCUCACAAAAUCUCAAUAAAUAAAUAAAAAUGGUGAGCUUGUCAAAUCUAUUGCUGCAUUAUAGUUGAAAAAUAGCAGGAUUGCAAACGAGGUUCAAUCCCCUGACGUAGAUGCCGAAAAGGUAAAUGAAGGUAUGAACGAAAAAUUGAUGUUUUUGCAGAAAAAGUUGACUUAUCAUAAUAAAUUAAUUGCAUUUCUAAUUUUUGACAACAAAGCCCUUGAACUUAAACUUAAAAAUGCAAAGGAAAUGAUUGUUUCUUUAACCAUUGGUAUAGAAAAAAAAACUGACAAGAUGAUUAGCAUGGGAAGAAGAGAUGGUGACAAAUGAGGUUUGUGAUUUGCACCAAGCAAUAAGCCUUUCACGGUUUCUGCAACGAAGUUUGUCAAAUCCUUUCUACUAGUUGAACAUGCUAAACCUGUAUCCACUCAUGAAUUCAAGAAAUUCAUUCAAAUUUGUCAUUUUUUUUUACACUCAUGGCCACAUAAGAAAAAAGAUGCAAUAAACUUUUGUAAAUUCAAAUUCACAUGUCAUAGGAGAAAGUUAAGUAUUGAACAUAAGAUUACAAAUCUUAUAAAAGAGGUAAAACACUUAUCCAAACUAUCUUCUUUUUGUUCUUUACCGAAAACCAGUUUAGUUUGGAGGAAAAUCAUAAUUGUAUGUUUGCCUCCACUAAUGUUGUGCAUGAACCUGCUGCUUUAGAAAAUAUGAAUGUUAAAUAUCUGGUCACAAAACCUUUAGAUAAUCUUCCAUUUGACACUCUUAGAAAAAUUUUAGGUAUGUGCUCCUUUGAAUAAUUGCUUGUGUUCUAAUGCAUGCCAAAAGGUUCUCAUUGUUUGUGUUUUUCUGGUCAAAUAUCCUUUCGUUUAUAUUCUAAGUAUUUUGUCCAGCAUAUGCAGGGAUUGCAAAGAGAUAUUCAAUCUUACUAACGUCUUGGAGUGUUUGCUGAUUAGAUUGAAUUUUUGGCGUUGGAUCACCUUGGGUAGAUCAAUAUUGGGUUUAUGUGAAUGGUUUUCGACUGUCUUUAUUUUUUUAUAAAGUCAAUAAAAUUCUCUUUAUAUGAAAACUCAUAUCUCACUCAUGGCACACACACUCUAAUGGUUCUUAAUAAUCUUGAAUGAAUCUUCACCUUGUCAUUGUCUGGAUGCUAGGUUUGCAGUGUACUUCUUACUAUUGGGCUCAUUACAAAUUCAUAAUCUCUCUUUAAUUAAAAGUAAACUAAAAUAAGUAUGUGAUCCUAGCCAAGUAACCAAGCCUCUUGUCUAACCGAUGUUGAGGUUCGUGUCAAAAAUCUUUGAUUUUUUGUAGCCUACAUGACUUGGGUUAGUAUAUCCGAGGGGUGCUUUUACACCUAUUGUCUUAAAGUCAACUGACUUGAGCACUGAUUAAAUACAUGUUAUGUGGGUCUUAUAGAAAGCUUAAUAAAGUUAGCAUUUAUAAAUAAAUAAAUAUAUGAAAGUGGUGAGCUCUGUAUGCAUUAUAUGUAUGUGUGUUUAUCCUACAUUCUUGGUCGGAUUUUUUCUUUGUUAUUAAGCAAGCUUAGUCAUAUAACACGAGAUUGGGCUUUAAUAUUUGCUCAUUCGAUGGACUUUAUUUCUCACAAAUACUUUUGAUUCCCCAUUUUACAAUCCUUGUGUUUGAUUAGAUCUUUGUGAUUCGAUGUGCCUUGGAUCUUGAAAGGCUUUGCUUCAAAUGCUUCUAGACAUAUAUUAGUAUUGGUUCUCCUUUUCUAUCCUCAAGCAUCAUGUUGGCAUCUACUCAUGAACAUUACCCUUGGCAUAUAUGAAGGGGGAGUCUUGGUAUGGCAUUGAAAUAAUCACUGGUCAAUUCCUGUAUUUCCCACUGUGUUUUUUUUUUUCCUAUUUCAUGUUCAUUGGUGUUUACUUUUGGCUCCUUUCACUUUAUUGUUUUGUUUUCUCAAUCUUCUCUAAGUGCAGAUAUUUCCUCUAAUUUUGCUAGUGUUUUAUUUUUUUAUUUUGACGUUAAUUUUUGUUUGGCUUUCAAUUAUUAAAAAAUAAAUAAAUAAAUAAAAAUCACACUUUUUCCCACAUGAUGUCGUUUUAUGUUUAUUGUUUGAUGGUGCAGCUAGAGUUCACAUCAUCUUGCACCUCAAACUUACUUGUAGCAUUAUCGCCUUCCUCUACUCCAUAAUUGACGACAAGGAAGCCACAAAAACUGAUUCUCUGAAUUGCAGUGUCAUUUCAAUCUUGUCAUUUGCAGUCUUGGAGGAAAGGAAAUUCAAAAAGACAAUUGUUCUUAUAUAUUUGGAAACGUGAAUGACAAAAUGUCAAGAUGAAAAGGAUACAAAGAGGUAAGAAUCUUGUGUUAUGUGUUUCCAUGAUUGAACCUAAAAUGUAUAUGUUAUUCUUGUAAAUGAUGACUGGACCUUGGUUAUGCAAGAAGAGACAUUUGCACCCGUUGCAUAUUUGGAAUCAGUGAGGCUACUGCUUGUUGUUGGUUGUCAUACCAAAUGGACGUCAAAAGUGCCUUAAUGGAUUUUUCAAGAAGCAACACAUGUUUAGCAAUCUACAGAUUCAUAGAUCCUCUCGUAUCCGUCUCUCCCUUAGUCACGACAAGACACAAUCCCUCAAGAGCAUCAUGGGUUAAUUUCUUUGGCUUUUGGUGAUACUCAUUCUCUUAUGUUUUUGCCCUAUCCAUGCAUGUUACCAUUAUCUCUUUCUCUUUGUUCUUGACAUAUUUCCAUACUUGACAUAUUUCUUGCCUUUGGAUUUCCUGACAAAAAGGGGGAGAUAUUGUGAUGUAGAACUAAGGGAGAGUAGUGUUAUAUUUUUGGGGAGAGAUUAUGAUGUAGAAUUAAGAGGGAAUGGUGUUUUAAUUUUGCUUUGAAAUAACAUUUAUUCUCCCACUUACUUCACUAGUUUUAUUGUUUCAUGUUGUGCAGGGAUUAAGAGCUUUGAGUUUAGAUAGAAUUUCAUUUGUUAAAUCCCAUGUAAUUUCUUUUGAUUGUAAUAGGUGCUUUGUCUAGGAAAUGCCAAAGGGGGAGAUUGUUAGUAUGAAAUUAUGUUGACAUUUCCUAGAACUUAGUAUAGGUUUGGAAGUUUCAUUUAGUUGUAGGGUUGAAGCAAAAUUGAUGUCUCUGAUUUCUAGAAUUACAGGAUUGAAACAGCUCAGCAAUCCCCGUAUACCAGUAUUAUGACUUAACACGUAUGAGGCACAUAAUCUGAAGGGUAAGACAUGUUAUUUUUCAUGCACUCAUGAAAGGAACGUAUUUGUGGAGUCUAAUAUGAUUUUAUUUUCUUGAUUUUUAAUCAAUUAGAAUCCCUGUGGGAGUGCAUCUCAUGUAGGCAAUUUUUACCCAAUCAAUUUGAUUAUUUUGCCUUCAUGUUUUAACAUCCCCUUGAUUUUCUAACAUGUUUUGGUUGCUUAGAAAUCAUUUUUUCAAUUAUAUCAUAAUAUUAAGGAGUCAAGAUGAUAUUAAUAGUUUAUCUAAACAUAGAAGGAUUCCUUUGAUAUUGUGAUUGGUCAAAAUCUUCUUUCUUGAGCAUCUCCUUUCUUGAGUGCUUGGUUUAUACAUGACUUGCAUUUAGAAUAGGAAAAUAUUCUAUUGUGAUUUUUGUCUAGCCUGGAAGAAUGGAGAUUUGGUUUAAACCUCAAUAAAAAUAAGGUUUUGUGUUUUCUUUUACAUAGCUUUUUCAACCGUAGUUUUGUGUGCUUAAACGUUUAAGAAAGAUGCUUUUUUUUAUUUGAGAUAAAUCAUUAAGUGUUCCAUGUUUACUUGGUGAUUUAUCAAACACCUUAUCAUUCAUAUUGCAUUCAUUUGCAUAGUUCAGUGACUAAUAUGGUUGAGAGCACCAAGACUGCGGUGGUUGUUUUUCUCCAGUGAGCUUGAAUCAAUCGUGACUAAUAUCGGGUUCAACACAAGGAGAGUUGGAAGGUCAUCCCAUGACAAAAGUUGAGUUACGAAGAAGUCGGUAAACAUUAUUUAGAAUGUGUCUAGGAUAAGUGUGUGAGUACUUCUUGUAAUCAUUAUUCUAUAGUGGAUUUGUUUUGAACGGAGGAAUCCCGUUGAUUUUCCCCAAAGAUGGGGUUUUGCCACAUAAAAUAACUCUCUGUGUGUUCCUUUAUUUUAUGCUCUACACAUUUUAAGAUUGAUAAGCCAUAUCAAUCAUACACAGAAGCUUAUUUUUAUUUAUUGAUUUUAAUUUUAAAUUGACCUAUUAACUCCUUCUAUGCAUUAUUAGUGAUCCUACAGGUAAUUUCAAUGCAUCCCAGAGAUAUUGUAGACUACGUUGUUACAUUCCCUAUUUUUGUUUUCAUAAUUUCUAUAAAUCGAUUAUAAGGUAUAACCAUAAUAGUUGGUUUCUAUCACUUUAAUCAAGUUUAAUCAUUGUCGGAAGUUCUAAUUUUACUAGUUGAACAAUUAUUGAAUGAACAUAUAAAAUCAUGAAAAUUUACAAUAUUUUGAUCCACUAUCGUUUGCAGUAUUUCAGAUAAUAUAGAAAUUGCAAAUGCUUUCAAUUAAAGAUUCAAAAGGUAUUUGGCCUCUAGGGAACAUAGAAUUUCUAGGGCCCCCAAGAAAAACAUAGAAUUCCUUGGGCAGGUAGUUGAAAUAAGUACCAUACAAGGGUACUACAGCAAAAGAACUGUUUAUCCAAAUCUUUCUGUAAUUUAUUUAGGAACUCCUUAUUUAGUGUCGGCCGACAGAUUAUUAGGGGUACAUUAAAAAGAAAACAAAAGAAAAGAAAAGGAAGGAUUUUCGGAGGGCCCACCAAAUAUUAGGUUAGUGGACAUUGACGAUUCAAACGCCGAUCACGCGUCACACAGUAACUAUCAAGCUACUGUUUAUGGAGUACACGUGGUAGAAACCCAAUGGACUAUGAGCCCAUCGUAUGUGCUACGUAAGCUCGCUCUCCAUGCAAGCCAUGACAUCAUACCAGCCGAUUAGGGACAAGUGUACGGUGGUGGAUAGUUAUUCAUUUUAGGUCUUCAAAAUGCCCACGUCUCACGUGAUAGAUUAGUUAAGCCCCACACUUAAUAAAACCAUUAUUUAUUUUUUUGGUGACAUGUAGAAUAAUGCUUCGAUUUGAUUUAGAAAUGGGCCAGUGACUUCACUCUCUCCAAACUUAAUUUUUUUGGGUGGGGUUUUGGCAACCAAUUAGGGUUCAACAUUUGGGAAUUUGCUAAUUUUGGAGCUAUUUAAUGAUGUAAUAGAAGUGUAAAGGGGGAAGUGGAAUUAGACAAGUGUCCACCAUUAACAUUAAAAUAAUAUCAAAGUUUUGUGUUGAGUUGUUUGCAUCUUGAUUGGAAAUUUGGAACUGAAAAUAACCCACUCAUCUGUCUAUUGUGAAAUCAAGAUAAUAUAUAUUUGUAAAGCCGAAAGACUUGGAACUUGCCAUAGUUUUAGAUUACAAAUAUAAGUUUAAUUAAUUACACCCACUGAUGUGGAAAUAUAUUAUUUGGUUUUUUUUUCACCUGAUAGUUUAAACUACAGAAGAUAGAGGAUUUUCACACGUAUAAAUAACCAAAAUGUUAUGGGAGUUCGAAUUUGAGAGCUCUAAUAUGCAAAUUAAGACAAUUUUCCAUUAGGCUAGACCCAUUAGCAUUACUUGUUCUUUUUUAUAGAGCUUGCUAUAUGGAUCUUAUUUCUUCACAUUAAGUAAGAAACUAACAUAUGAUGUUUCACAUUAGAGUAGAUUAAAGUGGUUUAAAAUAUCACUUUUAUAAAAAAAAAACACACACACACACACAUUAUGUUGCACAUCAAUUGGUAGCCAAUAAUUGGGAUAAUAGUUUAUGAUUCUAGCACUAGCUAGUUUUGGUCAUCUUUAUGAUUUUCAACGAGUAAUGUGCUUGCACUGACCAAAAGAACAUGAAAUGUGAUGCAAGAGUUUUGAAUGAAGCAAUGUCAGAAUUUGAAAAUUAUGUUAUUCCUUCGGUUCUAUAUAUUUUGUUUGAAAAUUUUCCUCUUCCAACAAUUUUUUUUAAAAAAAAAAAUUAAAAAUGUGACUGUAUUCAGUUAUACGUAAAUUAUUAUAUUUUCUUAUCAAUAAUAAGAAGAGAAGACUCGAGUUUGAAAUCUCUGAAAAAGAGAAAUACUACUAAAUUAACAGUUCAUGGGUAUAUCAGUAAUUAUAUUUAGUUGUUACGUCAGUAAUUAUGUUUAGUUGUUAAAAAGACAUGUAAAAAUAGAUAGAUACGAUAGGAGAGAGAGAGCCUCUAGCUACAAGCUAUUUGUUGGAGAAAGUCACACCCAUGGGUGCAGGUAAUAACUUUAGAAUGGUAGAAUUAGGAUUGGAUCAAAUUAUAUAGAAAUUGUGUAAUUGUUGGUCAAUUUCCAUGUAUCAUUAUCAAUCAGCAUUGUUUUGUUUGUCUUCAUCAUGCAAAGCAGCAUCAAUUGGACAAAACAAAAUCUUUACAUUAUCAAAAUUGCAAAUGGAUGAUGUCGGCAACAGGCACCUACAUUAUUGAACGCCAGUGCGUUUAGUCCAAGCCCAAGAAACUUUUUUUCUAUCGUAGGGUUUCUUAUGAACCCAGUUAACCCAAAAUGUACUACUCCAAAAACCAGAACCCAAAUAUCAUACGUUAUUAUCUUUUAUAGGGUUAAGACGCUGUCAAUAGAGUAUAACUCAGUUAGUUAAGCUCUUUCACCUUUAUCUAUAUGAGCGGAAGUUAAAACCCCUAAACAACAAAUGAAUACUUAUGUAAACCCCACUCCCCAAUCGCUUAUACUUAAAAAAAAUUGGACGGCAAUUGUUUUACAGGUUAAUAAAUUCAAUACAUGAAAAUAUAUGACACAUAAGAAUACGUUAAAAAUAUGGUGAAAUAACAAACAAACAAACAUUAUACGGGUAUUAGGGAGAAAAAAAAAUGUCAAUAAAAAGAACAUAUAUAUAUAUAUAAUGUAUCGAAAUUAAAUACAACAACAUAAGAAAAAUAUCCCUUUAGUUAUAAUAUCAAAUUAAAUCUCACCUCUGAAUCCUAUUUGGUGUAAAUGACUAGCUGCCAAAACACAAUCUCAUCAUAUGUUAAGAAAACUGAGCUAUAUAUCAAAUGAAUUAUUGUCAUCUUCCUCAGCAUGAUCGUGAGGGAUCUGAGAAGAAGUACUUGGAUCAGCCAAUGCCGUGUCAUUUGCCGGCUCCAAAUCUGUGCUAAAUGGAGAAGAAAAGGUGUUCAUAGGCAGCCCAUGACUUGUAUAUGCAGAGUCUAAAGUUCGAUGAUUGUUGAAGCUGGUGAUGGGCCAUGGAUAAUUGCUCCAAGCUCCAUUUUGGAAAGACUCAUUAUAAUACGGGGGCUCACCAAAUUCUGUGUUCACUGUUGUGGAAGACAUACCAGCAGCAGUGUAAUGAUGAUUUAUUGAUGAAGAGGAUGAAUUGGAAUUGGCAAUAAGAGGAGAUGGAUAUUCUUGAUGAUCAUGCUGAUGAGCUGAUUGAACUGAAUCUGCAAUCCCUUUAUUUUUAUUUUUCUUGACUCUUUUGUUCUUAUAAAUCUUACACAAAACACAAUCGUUCAACUACAGAAGAAACAUAUACAAGUUAAUAAUUAGAUAGGCAUAUGAGAUAUACUGAUAUGAAUUAGGAUACAUAUAUAUACACACAUAUACAAAGACAAUAGCGGAUUUAGGAAUUUUUCAAGGAAGAGGCAAUAUUAAGAAGGCUAAAAGGUCAACAAAAAAAAAAUAUAAAACAACCAAAUAGCCUUACAAUUUAAACAAUACUAAUGUUAUUCAUAAUUAAAAUAAAUAUGAGUUUUACGUCUAAGUCUAAUUGACUAUGGUCUAUUUUGUAUAUCAAUUAAUAUGCACAAAAUUUAGGUUACACAAUUAUUUACCAAAAUUCAUAUCAAAUAUGAACAAAAUGCAUGUCAAUUACUAGUCUACCAAAAUUCAUAAGAAAUCAUCUAUUAAUCUAACUAAAAUCAAUACCAAUUAAUCUAACGCAAAGUACAUGUGAUUUGGAGGUCACAAGAUAAAAGUACAUGUGAUUACGAGUUCGGUGUAAUUUUUGGUAAAUUUUUCGAAACACAUAAGAAUUUUUAAUGAAUGUUUAAAGUCUAGUUAAAAUUUGACACUGGCGCCUUGAUAGAGGACCAUAUUAAAAAGGAAUUAAAGUUGAGAAGCACGGAUUCUAACUUCUCACACUCCAGUCGUCUUCUUCUUCGACUUAGUAUGCAACUUAUGAAAAAAUUUCAAAAUCUUCUCAAAUUUAUAACUUUGGUUGUGGAGGUCCAAUUGACAAACCGUUUUCUCAUGACCGUGAGAUUGAGCCCAACAAUCUAAGGUAGAUAUUUAGGGUCUCACACAAUAGCAACAAAAUAGCCUCUUUGAGGCUUUUAAUCAAACACUUAGUGGGCACAAGCAGAUGUGCAAAUUCCAGCAUCUCCAAUGCAUUUUCCGGCGAGGAGAGUUGCAGUUGCACCUCCUUGCGCCUCUGUGGAUCCGUAACUGUACACAGAACUUCCAUUGAGGGAUCCCUCAAAUAAACUUAUUUAAGGGUCCCCUACGAUUUUUUUUUCAAUGAUCCAAACCAUCUAUUUUUUAAGUCUACAUUUAUAGAGCAUCCUUGUAAAAAACUAGACAAAUCAGAAACCGUUUUAAGAUCUAAUUGUGUUCUACAAAAUCAAUGAACACGGUGCCUCAAGAAAGUACUAAAAUUUCAAUAAUUCAAUUGAGUGGUCAAAUAAUAUCGGAUUUAAGUGAUUUUUUUUGUAAAGAUGAUCUUUGAAUGAAUAUCUACAAAAUAGACUGUUUAGAUUAGUGAAAUACAAUACGGAGUGGACUCUACAUAAUUUUCAUGAACCUAGCUAGUGUAUGCUACUAAUAAAAAGUCAUAACACACCAAAGAAUUUCUCCCAUAAAAACACACACGUAUAUCCCAUACCUUCAUGUCACCGUUGGCUUUAUGGCCAUUUGAAGGAGCAAUAUUUCCACUGAGAACGUAUUCAUGCAUUUUCCAUUCUGUCUUAACUCCUUCCCCGUGUUUCCCUGCAUAAAAAUCUAGAAUCCUCUUCUGCCCAAUUACCUCAUUGUUAACUUUGAUCUUGUCAUCGGUUCCAGUUGCCUUCCAAUAUCCAUGGUUGUCUGCUGCUCGAUUUGGCCGAGAUCCAUUUGGGUACUUUCGUUCCCUUGAACUGAAAAAGUACCACUCGUUUUCUCUGAGUAAGUUGUGCAUCCCUAAAGCAAAACAGGAAGAAAGAGCAAAAGUUACUUAACAAUUAGUAUAAACCGUUUAGUAUAUUGAAAUAUUAAUCUCCUUCUCUAAACCAAAAAUUCAGAAUCCAUUAGGGCAAAUCGAUAUCAGUACUCAAACGUGAUUUGUCUCUGCCCUAGAAAUAAAACCCUAGUUGCUCUCUUCCAGACUUACGAAGAGUCGUUCUUACUUUUUAGUGUUGGUACAUGAAGUGUGGUUUAUAUUAAUUGCACGCAGUGCUCCAAAUUCUUAAUCCAUUCAGUCUUGAAUUUGUGAGUUAAAAACAAAAUAACUACUAAGAGUACUAACAACUUUUUUUCUUUUUAUGAAAGGGAGAACUGGAGAUACGAACUUAUAAUCUCUUUCAAUACGAACUUCUCCAAACUUCGAUAUCAUACGUCAUGCAAAAACUUCUACUAAAGUGGUGCAAACAAUUAAAGAGCUUUCAAGAAAAUUAGCAAAAGAUUACAUACCCCUUCUUUCAAGAGUAAAUCCUUUUCUAUAAACCUUUUGAAUAAUAACUUAAAGUAGGAUGCACGAAACUUGACGACUUGUAAGAACCCUAAUUUCUUUUCUGCUGUUCUUGAAAAGUUUUCUAACUAAAUAUGCUACUCCUAAAGUUCUAAACGAUGCAUGUGUAGCUUAGAAGAAGCAUAUCAAUAUCACGAAAAACUAGUUAAGGUAACCAGUAAAAAAGAAGAAAUAAUUAAUGGAUAUAGAAGAGGAUCAUAACACUAACCAGUAAGCUCUUCAGGAUGGUAUUUGUAAACAUCAACUUCACGAAACCUGUUGAUGGGCAGUAGCUCAUUCUUGAUCUUCUUCUUUAAGUACUCUUCAACCAAUUCUUCGUUGGUUGGGACGAAUCGAUAACCACUUGGAAGAUCAUUAAUAUAUUUAUCGGUUAACCAUGCUUCAUCAAAAAUUUCAUGAGAAACCUGAAUAUUGCUUUCCUCCAUUGAAACUCACAAGUAUAGAGUUCUUAAUUUUUUUAUUUUUUAUGGAGCCUAUAAUGUAGGAAUAUAGUUGAAAGGGGGAGGGGGUGGGUGGGGUGUUGGGUGUUUUCAUUAGGUGUUUGUGUGGGAUUUGGUUUCUUUACUUUCUUUGUACUGGGUCCGUACUCUGUAAUUUUUAUUUAUUUUGUAUUUAUUUAAUCCGUACUCCGUAUUUUAUCUUAUAUGUGAUAAUAACUAUAAUAAUUUUCUAACGACAAGUAAUAUUGAACAGAGAAUUUGUAUUACACAUGAAUUUCUUUGGUUCAUGGAUUACACACAUUUAAACAAUAAUUAAUUUGCCAACGGAAGUAGGGGCGAGUUAGAAUUGAAAAUUGGGGGGGUCAAAGUAGAAAAUAAAAAUAUAUAAAACACCUAAGUAUUCAAUAAUUACAUGUUUAAAGUUAAAUAUUUCUAAUUUAGUCAUGUCUAAUCUAUUUUAGAAGGAAUUUUAACUUAAAUUAUAAGUUGUUUGUUACUAAUUAUGUAUGUUAUAUCUAUAUAUAUAAAGCAAAAGGCAGAGAAUGGUGAAACAUUCAAAAUACCAGAAAAUGCCCUUUGUUAAUUCAAACAUUAAGAAUUGAAAUUAUUAAUUAAAUGAGGAUAAUAUAGUAAAUUCAUAUUUUUUAAUAUUAAAAAAAUUAAAAUUAAAAACAAAAUAAGAUAAUAGGUCCUACUUUGAUGGAACAUAACUACCCUGUUAUCUUUUAUUAAUUCUAAAAAUAAAAUAAAAAAGAAAAAGAAAACCAAUUGGCACAUGCGUGAGCAUGUGUCAAGGGGCUAGUAUAAUAUAAUAGAGGAGAUAUCAAAAUAUAUGGCUACUGAAUGGGAGUCUAGCCCAGUGAAAAAGCCAUGGCAUUAUAGAGUUUUUUUUUUUUUUGGGUGUGGGAAAUUCUCAUCUCCCCUCUAGUUUAGAUCAUUGCUUGUAUUAAAAAAAAAUAAUAAUAAUAAUCAAUUUAAUCGUUAAAAAAAUAAAAAUAAAAAAUAGAUAAAAUUCAGAUAUAUUAUCAGGUGUAUUGUCUAGGAUUGGAGCUUGCAUUGCGCUUGGUUAAUGGGGCUCAUAAUUUCAAAAUAAGCAUACAGCCUUGCGAAUUUGAGUUUAUCGGUUUAACACACCUUGCAUUUAUUACUUGAUUAUUUUAUUAAUCAAUUUCUACAAUAUUCUCGAUUUAUUGACCGCCCAAUAUAUUCAAUGUUUACAGAAAAUUUUAAAUAGAAAUUAAUUAAAAGCAGCCAAUAAUGAAAAGAAAACCAUGCAUGCAUGGCAUAUCCUCUCUCUUCUCCACCCUCCAACGACCGAGAAGAUUGGAAGGGCCUUUUUUUUCUUUUUGGGUAAGUGGGAAAAUAUAGCAACUGGAGACAUUCCUAAAUGUAUAUGAGUAUAUGAACCAAGCGAAAACCUUGCCUGCAUUGCAUGGCAUAUAUUUCACCUUUAGUUUUUGUUUUUAAUGAUUAUUGAAAAGAGAAAUUAAUAAAUAAAAGUAGAAUUUACAUGGUAAUAUUCAUUAAUUGAUAUGGCGUGAUUAUAUUAAUUGCCACAUAAGGUAGUCAGUUAGUGGUGGAGACACCUGAGGACCAUAAUGAGCCUAGCCCCCUCUCAUAUUUUUUAUUUUCUCAUAUUUUUACUUAUAUAUGUUGCUAUAUGUUUGCUUUUUCUAGUAAAAAUUAUUAAGAUUUUUUGUCUUUCCCUUCCUCUUUUGAUUAACUUACGCUUCGUGAAUAGCACUUGAGCUUAAUAGGACACCUUAAUAUUGGGAUUUAUGAACAUUUUUUGUAUUUCUUCUCUCUGUUGAAGUAUAAAUUAUUAAAUUUUGAGUCUUUAAUAGUAUAGAUGAUGAGAUUAAUAUUCAACCAUUUUAACAUAUAAAAUUCAGGACAAUUAUGAUUGUAAUAAAUGAACAAAUUAUUAAUCAAUAUGAAAUAAUAUUAUUAACUUAUUAACCUAUUUAGCACUUGAGCGCUACUAUUUGAAUUACUUUUUAAUUUUUUUUGUGAAGGGCCCCCUUUAAUGUGAAAUUAUGACUCCGCCACUGUGGUCAACUAAUGUGGUCAAUCUUGUGUGUCUGAAUAGCAUUACUAGUGGGAAAAUAUAGGUAAUAUAAGACAUUCCCAAACCUAUAUGAGUCUAUGAACAAAACCCAACAACAAGCCAAUAUGAGAGUCUGGAAAAAUACAUAGGUAAUGAAAAAGUGUUCUUGGUUAGCACAAGAUCGCACCGACAAUAAGUUGUGGAACUUAUUUAUUCACAGUAAGUACGAAAUUGUCAAAUUAAUUGGUAACAAAAAUUUUGUGUGACAAGUUUGGUGAGUAUUAUGUUGAUUUGGCAAUGGUAAGGAGAGCUCCGCAACUUCACAACAACGAAACAAUUUACUUGAAAUGAUCACCAAAAACAAAAAACAAAAAACCAACUCUAGCCAAAAAGAAAGAAUCCGCCCAACCAAAUUCUAACCUAGACUAAUUUACAAUUUGGUGUACUGCUAGGGUUUUGCCUAAACAACUGCUGUUGAUGAUGAUACCAAUGCUCUAGUCUUUUGUCGAAAUCACCAUCCUUGUUUCUAGCCGCAAGUAGUUGCUCAUAUAGCCUGACAUGCACAGGUAACUGCAUAGAACUUGAAUCAACCAGUGGCAUUUGAUCCGCAUACGUGGAAGUCUCCAUGUGUGGCAAAAAUCCAGGUUGAGAAGAAAACGACUCCCUUGGCUGAACAUGGCUCUCAAUAUUGGCAGACUGCGUGUCGUAUUGGGUGAGGUUUUGAUCGUUUUGAUCGUAUUGGGUGAGAUUUUGAUCGUUUUGAGCGUAUUGGGUGAGGUUUUGAUCGUUUUGAUCGUAUUGGGUGAGGUUUUGAUCGUUUUGAUUGUAUUGGGUGAGGUUUUGAUAGUUGUUGUGGACUGGUCCCGGAGGAUUGCCAGACGUUUGAUUUUGGAAAGGGUACUGCUGGUGAGGAUAAUAUGUAGGGUUUCCAACGUAGGUGUUCAAUAUUGUUGGGGUUGGCCUGCCACGAGGUCGUUUGUUUGCAGUGGAGGAAGAAGAAGCACCGCUAGAUUGACUAACAAGAUAUUGAUCAUGCUGAUGAACGGGCUGGAUUUGUUGGUCUGGAAAAGCUUGAGAUGCUACAACAUUUGUAGAUGGCUCUGCUCUUUGAUCAGAUUGUGUAGUGCUCGAGUCAUUGUUCCCGCCUUUGUUAUUCUUGUAAAUCUUGCACAAAACACAAUUAUCCAGCUGCAAAGAAAACGUACAAGAGUAAAGUUAAUUAGAAUCAAGUUAUAUGCAAAAAUAACUCAUUAAAAUUAUAAAAUAAAAUAAAAGUUUAUGCACACACGUUUACAUUUCCUUACGUACCUGCGUAACACGAGUAUUGCUUAUUUCAUUAGGAGGAGCAUCGAGCGUGUAUUCAUGCAUUUUCCAUUCUGUCCUCUUGCCAUCUUGAUGGUUCCCUUGAUAAAAAUCUAGAGUCCUUUUGGACCCAAUUACUUUACCAUUACUAUCUUCGAUGUCCUGAGCUUUUCCGGUUGCCUUCCAAAAUCCAUCGACUGCUGAUCGAUCUGGCCGUUGUCCUUUCGGAUACUUUCGUUUCCUAGAAGUGAAAAAAUACCACUCACUUUCUCUAAUUAAAGUGAUGCGCCCUAGAAAGAAAAAGAAAAGUUAAAGUUGUCUCACUGCAAAAGAAAAAGAAUAUAAAAUUUUUUAACCUAAAGUGAGCAUAUAGAUGAAGACACAAGAAACUAACCAGUGAGGUCUCUAGGAUGAUACAAGGAGAUGUCAAGGUCAAGAAACCUGUUUUUGGGGAUUUCCUUGUUCAAGACCUUCCCCUCUAAGUAGCUUGAAACCAACUCGGCAUCAGUUGGGGCAAAUCGAUAGCCACAUGGAAGAGAAUUAAAAUAUGCAUCGUUGGUUGGAUCGUUGAUGAACAAAUCUACUUGUUCCGGAAUCGGAUCGUUGAUGAACCGAUUGUUUUCUCCCAUGGCGAUUACGCGAAUGCGAAGCUCCUAAUUUAAGAUUAGGAAGCCUAUUAUAGGAAGAUACUUGAAAAUUGCAGGUGUAAAAAGCCUUGAGCAUGGAGAAUUGGUGUUUCGGUCCAUGUUUAUAUAGGAUUUGGUUUCCUUCUAAACUGUUUUUUUUUUCUUUUUUUUUCUAAAAUAACACAAGUGUAGCAAGUUAUAUGGAACGAGGUUUUAGGAGUUUUAAUUAGAUUAUGUUUGCUUAAUUUGGAGUUAAGAGAAAUGAUAAUCCUAUAGUGUCAUAAACUUAUAUUUGAAUUUAUUCGACCAAAAAAAAUGUAUUUUCCACGUAAUCCAUCUUAACCAAAACAAUUUUUUUUUAUUAAUAUAAGAAAAAUAGAAAGAUGGAGCAAGGUUGCAACUUUCUAGGAUUACCAAAUGUAGAUUUUAUAUAUGACUCCAUGGAACUUGGAAGUUUUGUUUGAUAUAUAAUUGCUCCUAUUGAAUUUCAUAAACUAGGGUUGUGAUAAGAAUCUGUAUUUUCGACAAAAAAGAAAAAGAAAAAGAUAAGAAUAUGUAUUUUGGGUGACUUGAGUCAGAUUUUGGGUCACUUAAUUUAGGACAAUUUAAGUGAGUUUUUUACUAUAUUUGAAACUUUUUAAAAAACUAACAUUUAUGAAUUUAUGGGCUAAAUUUGAGCAAAAUUCAGGAGAAAGGCUCAAGAACUUUAUUUUUAAAAAAAUAAAAAAAUAAUAAAAAGACAUGGCUUAAACGUCGUCAUUGUGGUCAGGCCUUUUUUAAAACAAAGAAGCAUCACGAGCCUAGUGCUACUGAAGACUUGUGUAGAUUGGUUAGGGCAUUCUAUGGAGCACCUGGUUUGCCCCUAUGCGGCUCUCAAGGAUUACAUGUUAUUGUAUCUAUUUCUUAACAAAGUAUUGCUAAAAUUCAUUAGGUAUUUUAGUCAGAUUCAUAUUUCUAUAUUCAACUUUGUGUUUAUACCUGAAAUUUUCCACCUAGGCCCUACAAGAACUGAUGAUGUGGCAUUGGCACUCAAGCCACAUUUGUGGCCCAAGUGACAAAUUUCAAGCCCAAGAGCAAGAUAAAGAUGGUUGAGCUGUGAAGCCCACGACCAUGGUAAAAUGGCCUCAACCCAAAGACAUCAUGGGUCGUGAGUUGAGUCCAUGACAGCCUAAACCCAGAAGUUGGACUUCAAAGCCCAAAAUUGUAACCCAAUAUUCUCGGCCCAUGGUAGAUUUUUCCCUGCUAUAAAUCUUUCUUAUUCUUCUUUUCUAAGUCACUUCUUCCGGUUCCAAACUCGGUUCUUCUAAUUUCGAGACCUCUUUUACACUUGUUGAAUAAUCAUCCUCAUUUUCUUUUGAUUCUCAUACUUCAAAUCUUCAAAAAUCUAAAUUUUAUUCGAGGAAUGGGGCUUUGCAAUGGAAAUCAAUCAAGAGGUAAUUUACACCAUUUUAUAACUAAUCAAAAGGAAAUAACUUUUUUCGUGUUUGUAGAUUUGUGACUCUAGAAAAGGGCCUAAUUGUUUACUUUCGCCCCGGGUUCUCAAAAACUUAAGGCGAACCCUUGCCACCAUGGAUUUAUUAAGGGAACUCAUUAAGCUGAAAGUGGUGUUGAAGAGAAUUGUAAUAUGACUCAUAAUUUAUUGAAUAACAUUCGUGUUCUGGGUAAUACUUGGUUAAGGUAGAAAACAUAUUCUAUCAAAUUCACUUCUACGACCUAAUUUUAUGGGAUUCACCCACAGCCAUUUUCAAUGUGAUUGAUUUCUUUUUGGGUUUUAUCAUUGUGAUUUCAGAUGAUUUUGGGUGCCAAUAGUUUCUGGAAUUUUGGUGGCUCAAUGACUCUGGAAUUAUCAAAGUAAUUAAGAUUACAAAAAAAUCACCAUUAGGAUUGGUCAUCAAUUGAAAAUCGUACCAACACACCAAGACAACGGUGUGACGGAGAAAACUUCAAGCAGGACUCCACCGUUGGGAUGAUGAUAGAAGAAGACUGCUGAACUUUUAGGAUGAUGGUUAAAAUGAAGUAAUUCAAAAUAAAUAAAAAAAACAAAAUCACAUAUUAUUUCUUGUCCAACAAGCAAGCUUACUAGAAGCACCACUAUGAUUAAUACUCCAGAGAAAUUCUGGCCAAGCCCACAGUCUAGAUAAAGAUUGCCUUGGGCUUUUAUUAAAUAAAGUCCAAGACCAACUAUUGACCCACUUAAGUCCAGCCUUGUUCCAUAGUUGGGCUUAAGAGCAACUCCACCUAUUUGUCCUUUGUCAUGGCAAGGGGGUGUUAGGGUAGCCGUUAUUCACGUGAAUAGUGGUUGCCUUUGCAAAAAGCCAUUUCCUUUUCCACCCGUUGUCAUGGCAAAGGGCAAUUACUAUUCAUUUUUUUGUUUUUUUCACAAAUUUUGUUUACCUUAAUAAUUAAUUUGGAUAAUAUUUUCGGAUAAUAUUUUCAGGUUCCUACGUGUUAAGACUAUUUAUAAUCGGAUAAAAUAUCCGGAUAAAAUUUUUGGGUUCAAAUUUCGGAUGAAUUUCAAAAUUCAAAAUUCAAAUUUUCAGAUAAGAUUUUCAUCUAUCAAAUCAAGCCACGUGGCAUUUCUAUCUGGCCAAAAUUUUCUAUAAAACCAGAGGCUCAGCUCAUACCUCUCACACCACAUCUUUCUAUAUUUUCAUUUCUCAAAGUUUAGAAUUCAUACUUCAUUCUCAAUAGAAGAUUUGAGGAGAUGCUUGGAAAGGCAAGAGCGAGAAACAAAUCAGACAAGUCAUAGAUGAGCUGAAAGGCAAAGGUUGCAGAGAGAAGAGGAUGAACAAGUUGUCAUAGCAGUGGCUUUUCUUGAUGAAGAGAACUAAGGUCACUGUUGUGGUUCACAAGUCAGUUGUGGCCCGAAUGUGGACAAACAUAGGCAUUCUCGGGGUAAGAAUCUUUUGAAAGAUUAUUUUAUCAAAACCUCUUUGUACUCUGAUGUUGAUUUUCGAAGGCAAUAUAGAAUGCAACCUCAUUUGUUCAAUUAAGUCAUGCAUGAUAUUUGCAAUUAUGAUGCAUACUUUGUUCAAAAGUGUGAUGCUGUUGGGGUUUUGAGACUUCUUCCGGAGCAAAAGUUUACAACUGUUAUACGAAUGUUGGCGUAUGGUUCAUCUGCUGAUCAGAUGGAUGAAAUUACCCGGAUGGGAAAAUCCACUAUGUUAGAGGCCUUGGUAAGAUUUUGUGAUGUAGUCGAAACUCUGUACACUCGGGAGUACCUGCACAGGCCUACUCCUAGGGACCUCCAACGACUUUUACAAAAAGCCGAAGCUCCAGGAUUCUUAAGCAUGAUUGGUCGCAUCGACUGUAUGCACUGGCAAUGGAAAAAUUUUCCAACUGCCUGGCAAGGAGAUUACGGAAAUAGAAAAGGCUAAAAAAGUAUCAUCCUUGAAGUCGUUGCUAGCUUCGAUACAUGGGUUUGGCAUGCUUUCUUCGGAGUUGCCGGAUCCCAAAAUGACCUCAACGUGCUGGGUUAAUCUCCGAUCUUCAACAAUGUUUUGAGAGGCUAAGGCCCCAAUAUCACCUAUCAAGUCAACAAUACAGUCUACCAGACGGGGUAUUAUCUAGUUGAUGGCAUCUACCCGAGGUGGACCACAUUUGUCAAAUCCAUUCCGAAUCCCCAAUCCCAUAAGCAAAAAUUAUUUGCUUCCUAUUAAGAAGGAUACAUGAAAGAUGUUGAAAGGUGUUUUGGCAUCUUUCAAGCUCGAUGGUUGAUUAUUCGAGGUGCGGCCCGUAUGUUUAAUGAGGAGGUCCUCAAAAGCAUUAUGAUGACUUGCAUCAUUCUCUAUAACAUGAUUGUGGAGGAUAAGUAUGAUUACGAUGCUGCAGAGGUCCACGAAUAGGAUCCCAUGAACACGGCCUUGACACAAAUUUAUGAAAGGCCCAUGGGGCCAAGUGGAGAACCAUUUGAGCCGGAUCCGUUGGUUAGGGAUGGUUAUUUCAUGAGUCGUAUGGUAGAUCGAUAUACAGAUAUGCAAUCUUCGUAUAUUCAUGAAAGGCGCCAACUUGACUUGAUGGAGCAUCUAUGGGCGAUGAAAGGCAAUGACGGUGAUUGAUGGAACAUAGAUGCUUUGGUUAGGUUUUAUUUAGUUAUGGUUUGGUUGUGGUUUGUUAUUAUUAUUAUGCUUUGGUUGUAGUUUUUUAUUAUUUUUUAUUAUGCUUUGGAGGUGGUUUUCCUUUUAAUUAUGCUUUGGUUGUGGUUUUUCCUUUUAAUUAUGUUUUGUUUGAUGUAUGGAAUAUGUUGAAUAAAAAGGUAUUUAAUUGAAUGCUUUGUUUAUUAAAUAAAGAAAGCCAAUACAAGUCAUUAAGAAUUACUACUACUAAAAUAAAAUACAUGAAUUACAACAACUUUAAUACAAAACAUGAAAAAUACAAAUAAAUAUAAGGUAUGCCAACUAAUUUAAUGGUUUUGAUCAUUUAACCAAUCCGUAUUGCUAGGCUCAUCGUCACGGAAAAGUCUUCUUCUCAUAACAUCCCUUCGUUCUAGCUUCCAAAAUUGUUUUGUUUCAGGGGACAUAUGGCCUGUAUCCAUAGCCAUGGUUUCCCGAUCCUUCUUGUCAAUGAUUUCUUUGAGCAAAAACUCCCUUUCUUGAAGAUUUUCUGCUCAAAUUGCCAUCUCAUUUUCUUGGUGUUUCCGCUCCAUUUCAAUUCUUAUGGCACUAUGUCUAAAAAUUUUGAUGUAUUACUACUAAAAUUACUCCAUUUCUUCGCCUUCGCAGCCUUUCGGCCAAUGGGCCUCGGCUCCUUUUCGACAGGCGAGUCUUGACUCAUAGUGGAAUCGAGAGGUGAAUCCGAUGUUGUUGAAUCACGAAGUGGCAUCUUGUUUAACAUAACGGCGAGACCCGUGGGAAUAAUUAUGAAGCGUUUGUAAUUUUUCACCACCUCACAACAUUCAUGAUGGUUGAACGUUUUUUUUGCCUUGCCCAAUUGCAUUAAACCACAUCUGUGCUUGAAUCGUCUAUUAAACAAAAAAAUAAUGAAAAUGCAAGAAAUAUUUAAAAUAUAUUGGAUAUGCAAGUAACAUUAAAAAAAAAUUAAUGGAAAUGCAAUUAACCUUACACAUAUAUUGGAAAUGCAACAAAUAUGAAUAAAAUAUUAUUUAUGCAAGAAAUAUUAAGAAACAAUUGGAAAUGCAAGAAAUAUUAACAAAAUAUUGAAAAUGCAAGAACUAUUAACAAAAUAUUGAAAAUGCAAGAAAUAUUAACAAAUAUUGAAAAUGCAAGAAACAUUAAAUAUAUAUAUAUUAGGACAUUAAACUUAAUAAAACGAAAAUUAAAAAUAUUUACCUUGCUACUAAGAUUUUCCCCGCUUCUAUGGUUGUCCCUCGCUUUUGCUAAGGCAUCUCUCUAUUUUGCCAACUCUUUAUUGAGAAUUUUCCACCUACUCGACAACGCCAUUUCCGUUCGAGUAGACCCCGGAUUUUUUUCACAAAAUUCGGCAUGAAUUUUUUUCCACAUAUGACAAAAUUUCAUCUCAUUGCCUGACAUGGGACAAUGACUAAUUUAGACCCAAGACUCUGACAAAAAAAACAUCUUCCAUGGUGCUCCACGCCCCUCCGAUUUCGAUAGAAGAAGCCAUAAAGAUAAGAAAUAAAAAUACAAUUUGAAAGAGAGGAAAAUGUUGAGUAAAGAGUGAAUAAUAGUAGAAGUAGAAGAAAAUGUAUGAGGAUUGGUGUUGAAAGUGAAGGGUAUUGAUAGGUAUUUAUAGCAAAAAAAAUUCAGAAUUUUUUGAUUUUUUUAAUAAAAUUUUUUGAUUUUUGUUCAUAAUUUUAUUGUCAAAAAAAUGCCAGUCGUUGGAUUAGAGGAGGAGAAGCAGAUCGGAGCGCCCAAGCCUUGACACAUGUCUUCUAGCCGUUGGAGAUUGCGUAGGGCUGACGUCAACGCACGCCAGGUCAAAUUUUUUUAACUGUUGGAGCGUGCAUUGCACGCGCCACAGUAAAAAAAAUUUGAAACUGCGCGCUAACGUCGCACAUGACGUCAUCCCUUCUCGGGCUCGAGCUCUGGCGAAACUGGCCUUCGUGCCAGCCCUUCUUCGUGGAUCCCACUCCUAGCCCGGGCAAGAUUGGCCCGCUGGAACUGGGUUUUUCACGUAGCCCCCCCAGCCUCGGGCUUGGGCUGCUCGGUGGAAUGGCUCUAAUCAUGGAACAAAAUACUUCAUUUCCAAAACUAAUUAUCAUAGAAAAGUGCUAAUGGACCAUGGAAAUCUGGGAUUUGCAAAUGGUGCUUUUGGAAAAUUGAGGGUGAUAUAAGUAAUGUUAUUUUCUUUGUUAUAAGAAUAUGGGGUUCAGAGUAGGCUCAGAAUUGAAUAAGUAAAACACGGCCGGAUCAUUUGGUGAAUAAAUUAGUGUGUAAAGUUCAUGAAAUUUUUUUAGCGCAGUGGUAAUGAUCUGGUGUUAUAAUUUUUUGGACUUGUAAGUUACAUGGCAUUUGACUUUGGUGUUACUGUCACAUAGGAUAAUCUUUCUAAGUUAUUUGGUCUAUGCAAUAAAAACUUAUGUACGGCUAACGGUAAAAUUACGUGGCAUGCUUGAAUGAAUGUUAUAAAAUUCACACAAAUUAUAAAGUAGUUACCGAAUAUAAUGUUUUGUAUUGGAGUUAAGAAUUUUAGAAUUUCAGUAAGUGUGUUAAUUGGGUGAAUUACCACAUCCAAGAAUUUCUUCUAAGCAAUCAAUCGUGCAAAUCUUGUCAAAUGAUUUUAGGUACAUCUGGUUUCGGCCGACAAUUUGGGAAAAAUUUCCAAUACUGGAAUGAAAUAAUAAGUUAAUAACAGUGAGAAAAAAGUCCUAAAGUUGAAAACCCUCAGUGGCUUUAUCUAGAUCAUUUGGAGAAAGGUCUAUGUGCUUUUCAUGUCAAGUUGGCCACUGGGGUCAUGCCAAGUUGGCCAUUGGGUGCUAUUUCCCCCAAAAAGAUUUUUGAAAGCGAUCCAACUUGAAUGGGGAAUAGGGAAGAGAUGAGGGCUAGACCCCUAUAAAAGAGCAAUUAAAUUUAAUCAGAAAAAAACAAAAGAAAAAAUAAAACUAUUCUUGUCAUGAUCAAUGCCUUUUCUCUUUAUAAAAUUUUCAGAAGUGGGUAUUGCAAUCCUAUGUGGGUGAUUAUUGCAUAUAUAAAGCACCAAAUAAAUAGGCG